rnacentral:lncRNA from 1 species
AUUUAUAAAAUUUUACAUACAUUUAGAGUUUCAAUAGUGUAAAUGUGUAAUAUAUUGGUAGAUAUGUAUAUUUUAUAAUAUUGAUAAAUUAUGUAUGUAUGUAUGUAAGUAUGUAGUUAUGUACAUACGUAUGUAUGAUAGUGUGUAAAUAUUUGAUGUAACUUUUGUUCAAUAUAUAUAUAUUAAACGGGUUAUUGGGUAACCCGAUUAUUUUUCCGUGUCGGGUUUGGGUCUCAAUAUUUUGACACGAUUAUUAAAUGGGUCGGGUUUGGGUCGAUCUAAAUUUAACACGACACGAAUACGACUCGAUGACCCGUUUUGUCAGCUCUACUAGAGACUGGAUAUAUAAAAAUGAAAAACAGAAUAAAUCUGACACAAAAUUUUAUUUAAUAUAAUAUACCCCUGUCCAUAUCAUAACCAAUUAAAUCACCGCUUCUUUUUUGGAAAAUUAUAAAUAUUAAAAUUAAAAAGACAAGAAUAAACAAAUCUAGAAAAAAGCACAAAGAAGCACUACGUAUCUAACAUUGGAUUGACCCCCGGAUUCAGAGAAGUGCUUUUCAAGUCUUUUCUGUGAUGAAGCCACCAAUAGUUGAGCAGCUAAACUAAAAGGACAAAAGAUACCUGCCAGUUCAUGAUAUCCACGGACAUUGGCCAUGCAAAACCAAUCUCUUUCCAGACGAAAAAGACUUAGAUUCCACUUUAUAAAUAGUAAUUAUAAAUAUUACAUUUAAUAUGAGGGUUUUGAUAGAUAUUUAUCAAAACAGCUUCAGGUUCCCAAUAAGCCACCAGAGGAACAAAUCCACAAGCCAAUAUUCCAAAAGAUUUUUGCUUUUCAUGAAUUAAUACUAUUAAUUUAAUGGGUCUGCCAUCGCUCCCUUAUCUAUGUCUUAAUUAUAAUUAUGUGACUAGAACUUGAACAAAGAUUGACUUGUCGAUGUGUUGUCCGGCCGAAUCCACUUGUUGGGCAGUGAGGGUAAUUGCUUCCGGUGGAAAAAGAAAAAAAAAGCUUAAAUUUAAUGUUAAUUUUGGGAUAAUUAAUUUCAGGAGUAAUUUUUUAAAGAGAUGAAUCAAUUUUAUAAAUUGUCUUUUUGCAGUGGGGAUAAAUUAAUAUUUUCUAUUAAUUAUUUUAAAUCAGAGUCAUCACCUAGAAAAAUUAUUCUGUAGAGGAUAAAGAAUAAGAACAAGAUUGCAAGAGAAGAAAGACUCCAUUUUAUUUUAGGAGUGAGAAAACUGAAAAAAAAAAACCAGAAAAACAAAACAAGACAACAGAGUAAGUGGGUUCAAGAAGCAUUUUUUUUUUCUAUACGACAUUGUCCACACGAACUUGAGGACCCUUUGAACUCUUUUAAUGCGUGCCAGCUUUUGCUUGAUUUGUAUACCGAAUUUCUAAAACGUCAUCAGCUUUAAAUAAUAUUAAAAAGAAGAAGGUACCAUUUGCCUUAUCGUCUUUGUAAUUAGUUGUGGGUUUGUAACAAAUUUAAACUACGAGUAUGCGUGAGGGCAAUAAUCUCCGCACCAUUUAAUCACUGUGGAGAUACAUGAGAUGUGAAGGAAGGAAUUAAGUAUCUUCAAGAGAAAAUAUUUACUGUUUUGAUUCUUUUGGAUUUUCAGCCACUUGCAUUACCAAAAUCAUUAUCUCAAUUUCUCAUCAAUUGACCCCUUUGUUAAGAAUAAGGUUAUUAAGAAUUAAAUUAGUAGAAAAAUCUUGGGAAAAAUACUUCAAAAUCCAUCAAUUGCGUAUGAAAAGAAACAACCAUGUUUAAUCUUUUGCAAGCAUAGCUCAUAUAACGAUUUUAAACAUUUAAGCAAAACAUUUUCCUUGCAAAAUAUAUGGAUGACUCUACAAAAACCUCAAAACCAUCAAGAUUUUCGCUGUUUCACUACCACAUGAGAAAAAAACAAAUGGUAUUUUCAAAUUAAUUAUGAAAAGAAAAAAAAGUUGUUCAGAAAAUAUAUGUGAAUAAAUUAUGCAUCUUCCAAUAAAUAGAUGCGUCUAACAAAUAUAAUUGAUAUAAUAAUGGAUACAAUCAUAUUAUAUGUAUAAGCUUUGUGUGCUAAUAUCACUAGUGUCAGUGACAAAAACGACCAACAUACACAAUAAUCUCUAUUAAAUUUAGAUGGAUCUAAAUUACCAAUUUUGUAACUUAAUUAGACCCAAUUAAUACACAUACAUACAUACAUACAUACAUAAAUAAAUAUGUAAGCUCAUAGUACAAUCGUUUUUGCGCUAUUCAUUAGUUGUUUUUAUUUAUAUUUUUAGUUAGUCAAUCUACCUUUUAUAGAACUGGGAAACAAAUUGUAGUUUAGGGAAUAAAUUUAUAUUUAAAAAAAAAUUAUUCUGUAGAGGAUAAAGAAUAAGAACAAGAUUGCAACUUGCAAGAGAAGAAAGAUUCCAUUUUAUUUUAGGAGUGAGAAAACUGAAAAAAGAAACAAAACAAGACAACAGAGUAAGUGGGUUCAAGAAGCUUUUUUUUUUCCUCUAAACGACAUGGGGCCUUUGUGAGGAUAUCCAAAAAGCAGUACGUAGGUUCUGGUGGGGGACAAAACAGGAGAAAAAGAGUAUCAUUGGGCGAGGUUGCUGCCUGCUCGUGUGGAGAUAUGAGACGUGAAGGAAUAUAACAUUAAAAAUAAAACAUUUAAGGGACACGUGAUGAAUCAUCUUGUGGCAGCAAUUCAUCAAGAUUUUCGAUCGUUCGUGCCAACUCCCACAUGAGCAAAAAAGCAAACGGUAUGUCAUUAACCAGGAGCUGGCUAGGUUACAGAUUCUGUAACAUACAGAUCCAACUUAGCCACCUCCUGAUUGGUUAGCUAGCUACCAAACAAACCAUCUCAAUAUAGAUGCAAUGAUUUUCAGCAACUUGCAUUAGCCAAGCCAUUCUCUCAAUUUUCUUUAUGCUUUUAGUGAUCAAUUUACACCUCACUUACCAACUAAGGUUUUUUUUUUCUAAUUUUCUUAAUUUGGAAUUUAAUAAAGCAGAAAGAAUCUUGAAAACUCCUUCAUUUGCAACAGAAGUCCAAAGGGGUCGGUGACACAGAAUGUGAACUAUUUUCACACGUACGAGAGAGCCAAGUUACCAAGCAAAAAGCUAUAACGUCACAGUUUAACUUUCUUUCCUUGCCCAGAAGCAAAAACAUUAUUCUCCAUUAACAAACCGCUACAAGAACUUGGAACAUCCCAAAACAUUAUUCUCUAUUUCCUCAUCCUUUUAUUAUUCAUGGUAACAUUGCACUAUAAAUGAGAUAAAUGCAUUUAUCUGCACCCAUAUCAAUUGAGGAGAGUCUGGUGGUGGGUAUGGGUUGGGUUUUAAGUCAAUUCAAACCAAACCAUAAAAAUUUAAGCUCAACUCAAACGAGUCAAACCAACCCAAAUAUUUUUAACCUGGCCCAAACUAACCUAUUUAGGUUUGGUUUGAAUUUUAUAAUAAAAAUAUUUUUAUUUUAAUAAAUUUAACUAUAUAAAAUUAUAAUUAUUAUUAAUUAUUAAAUUAAUAUUAAAAUAUGAAAAAAUAUAGCGGAUAAAAAUUAUGAAUAAUGGAUUUUACAAUAACUAUGUUCUUAAAUAUUAACCAUAUUACAACAUAAAUUCUAACAAUGUCAAUACAAAUUAAAGUAAGAUAAGAUAUCCCAACUCAAGUAUCAAAGCAAUCCAUCAAAAUUAAAUUAUUUAAUUUUAUAAAUUUAAAUCUUCUGAGAUAAAUCUAAAAUUUAAUGUAAUUAAAAAAAGCGCCAAAAUUUUAAAUGCAGUAAGAAAAAUUAAACAUGAAAUCUAAUUAGGUUUAAAUUUAAUUAAAAAAUAACAAUAGAAUCAUAUUUUAUUUGAUAAAAUCUUAUAAUCAAUUACAUUUUUAAUUUUAGUAAGUUACAAUACAAAUAGGACUAUAAAAUUAUAUUAGAGGAUUUCAUAAAAAUAUUGUUUGAGUAAUUUAUUAAAAUGUUAAUUUAGUCUUGUAACUCAAGUUGAGACUGUAAAAAAUUGUUAUAUAAUAGUGUAUAGUACAACCAAUUGCAUAUGUAUUUGCCAUGUGUAGCACUUCUAUUAUUAUUAUAUAAUAAUAAUUAGUAGUGGUAUAAUUACUAUAUAAUAAUAGUUAUUAGUAGUAUAAUUAUUAUAUAAUAAUAAUUUUAAUAAAAAAUAUUAUUAAAAUAUUGAUUUAACCUUUUAUUUUUUAAUUUAUUUUUCAUUGAUAUGUUACUUUGAAUUUGUUCAUGACCCAUGGGUAAACCAUACCCAAUCCAUUGUGAAAUGGUUUCUUGCAUAAAAACCCAAAUUUAACCCAUUACCUGAAUUAUCCAACCCAUACCAUUUUAUUUGGUUUGAGUUUAAGUAAGCCCAUGGGUUAUGGGUUGUGGGUUUAUACCCACCCCUAGAGGAGACAAAUUAAAAUUUCCCAUACAUAAUAAACCAAUUAUUCCACAGGCACAAUUAAAAUUUCAAAUAGAUGUAUUUAUGAAAAUGCCUAGAGCCUACCAAACUUCUUAAUUAAUCUGCUCAAAUUGGAACAUUUGACAGCCACUUUUUGAUAAAUUGGGUUAUUUAACGCCUAUUAUACUUUGAAACCUCACUCUUGGAAUUGGUUGCUGAGUUUCCAGUUACUAAUUGAACUAUAGUCAUUAACACACACGUAUAUUUACGCUUAUGGUACAGUCGGAUGGAAUCUGUCGUAGACUAAUUAAUUACGACAUGUUUCUUCUGCUAGCUAGUUGGUUUUUUAAACGUAUAUAUGAAUCAUCUAUAACACUAUGUAACAAUACAAAUAGGGGUGGCAAAAACGAGUAAACAAAUUGAAUUCGAAUCGAAUCGUAAACGAAUUGAACUAAAAUUCUAUUGAUUCGGAUUCGAUUCAUUUAAUAAAUGAAUCGAAAUAUCAGGAUUUGAAUUCGAUUCGUUUAUUAAAUGAACAUUCAGUUUGAUCUGUUUAAUAUAAUUAAUAAACGAAACGAAUCGAAUCUGAAUUCGUUUGCUAUUUGUUUAUUCUUAUGAAUCCAUAAUUAAUCGAAUCGGAUUUGGAUUCAUUUACAAUUCAUUUAUAAAAUACAAUAUUAACCUUCAAAUUUUUUUAAAAAAAUUAAAUAAAUUUAAAGACAAAAAGUAACUCAAUUAAACGAAUUUUAAACGAAUGGACCAUAUUCGAUUCCUUUAUGAUCCAUUUAUUAAAUGAAUCCUAAAUGAAUAAACAAAUUAAUAUUUUCAAACGAGAAUUUAAUUUAUUUAAUUAGCGAAUCAAAUCGAAUUUAUCCAUUUAUUAAAUAAAUUAAUUUUUUUAAAUCUAAAUCUAUUUAAUUUAAAUCGAAUCGAAUCGAAUAUACGAAUUCUAACCCAAAUUGCCACCCUUAAAUACAAAUAAUCGAGAUUAAACAAGAUUAAAUUAAACGGAAGACUUAUGAAGCUUGAAAGUCACAAAGCUUUUCUAUUAUAAUUAAUACUGCACAGAAGGCAAAUUCAAUUUAACUUCUUAGAUCUCCUAAAGCUGUAUGAUUGGAUUGGAUCUUAAUUAAUAAUAACUGCAGGAGGAAUUAUAAGAACCCACCCAAGACGUAUUAGAUACUUCUCACGAAGUAUUAACUAUUAAGUCUACCAACAUACAAAAGAAUAUUUCACGUGCCUGCAGCAGGGCCAUUUUUGGAAAGCUUUUAGUACGGUUAUCCGUUUGCGACCAUUAUUAUUAGGUUAAGUGUGUUAUUCUUUAUCUUAAAUUUUAAAGAUAAGAGUUAGAAUAUUGGCACCCUCCUGUUAUAGUCUUAAAACUCAUUUUUUAAAUAUACUCUAUUAAAUAAUUUGAAACAUCAGAUAACUUUUAUGGAGACCCUCUUUUAUUCCACAAAUAUCCUUAUUUCACUUUUUCUCUGAACAAACUCCAUUCAUGAUGUCUCUUUUCUUAAUUUCUUUAGGUACAUGAACAAAAAUUUAUAUAUUUAAUACUAAUUGUGCAUCUUAUAAAAAAGAUACUAGCUAAUUUCUGUUUGGGAUUGAUUAUUUUUAUGGCAGUUUGUCUAUUGUUUAACUUUACAUAGACUUAAAAUUCAAAAUAAGAAAAAAUUGAAAUUUGAAUGUCUUGAGUGCAUUUAAAUGCUUACAAUAAGUCAUGAGAUAUUUUCAUCUUCAUCUAUUUUUAUUCAAAAAAAAUUUCUAGGGUUGGACCAUUUCUUUACGCAUCAAAACAGGAUACAAUUGACAUUUUUUAAGAUAAUUAAAAAUAAUGAAUAGUCCAGUGAAAAUUAAUGGAUUUACUUUAGUUAGUGUAAAUUAGUUUUGCCAAGGGUAAAUAUAAUUCAAGCUCAUCAAACUCUUUAAAAGAGAAAGAAUAAAUCUGCAACUAUAAAUGUGGUCUUCAAAUUUCAUUUGCACUUUGGCAUUGGAUGAGGUACAUGGGGUUUUUUUUUCGAUUAGGGAUAAAUUUGCAAACAAAAAUAAGAGGGGUUUUAAGAGGAUAUUGGAGGUGUGCCAAUAGCACCACUCCAAAGAUAAAUGCAAAGUCUUCAUGCAACAGAAAUAGAAAUAAAUUUUUCGCUUUUUUUACUGUGUUUUAUUCUUAUCGAUAAAAUACCAAAUGAUUGAGUCCAAUCAUGAAUAUCCGACUAAGGUGGGCGUCAUUUUAUUCUUAUAGUGCGUGAUCGUUUUUAACCAUUUAAUGAUUAAACUACAGAGUUUUAUCAUUUAAUGCUGAAAUUUAAAUAUGUAAUUUUUUCCAUGACAUUUCUUUGCGAUUGAUAGUACACAAUCCAUAAUUGUUUUCCCAUCAUAUAAGGGUCAUCCACCCUUAUGAGAAGAAGAAAAAAAGAAAGAGUUCAGCUACGUUGGAGCAUCUCUAAAUGCAAAGCAACCCCCACAACCAUUCGAUGGAUAUUGUUACAAUUGGAAAUGCUCCAAUGUAGUCGCUGCCAAAAAGAAAUUAUGAAACUUAUUAGGAACUUAAUUAGUAGAAAAUCUUGGGGAAAAUGCUUCGAAAAGCAUAAAUUGUAUAUGAAAAGAAACAACCUUGUUUAAUCUUUUGCAAGCAUAGCUCAUAUAACGACUUUAAACAUUUAAGCAAAACAUGUUUCUUGCAAAAACAUGAAAAGUUCCACCAAACAGUGCAGUUUACUGAUGUUAAAAAACACAUUCAAUCAGUUUCCCUAACUUCCAACAUUCAAUUUAAUGAAAUCACAGUCAUUAGCCUCCUACUCUUACAAUAGGAUAAGAAUUUCUAUUUAUUGUAUAUUUAACUUCAGUGCUAGACUCUAGUGCUACAGAGAUUGUCCGCAAAAGUAAAACAGAUCAUUCUUGUUAAUUUCCCUGGAUGAUCAGUUUCUUUGGUAAAAUAACUCUAGCACUUGCAGCCCCUGGGACUUCUUAAAAGAGAAAAUACAUAAUGGUGAAGUUAGGACCAUAAAAAAUACUCUUGGAAUUGAGCAACAUCAUGACAACCACAUUGCUUUCCAUAACAAUGACUAGUGGCAUGAUCAAAACAAGAGCAUAGAAAACAAUCUCUCAGCCAUUUAUAAGUCAUCAAUCAGUGUGAAUAUAUGAGAUACGAAGGAAGCAUGCACCUUUAAGAUAACAAAAACACAUAUAUAUCUUAAUAAAUACAAUAGUUCAUUCUCAUUGGAGUUUCAGAAACUAGCAUUAUCGAGAUUAUGCUCUCAAUCUCUGUGCUUAGUCAUCGACAUACAACCAUGCCAAAAGCUAGCCCUUCCCAACUAAGUCCAAACGGAUGCCAAAAAGUGAACAUUGUCCCACAGACAAAAAGUGAAUUGCUACCAAAAGUAAUACACACCAAACAAUCAACACAUGAAAUACAGGACCUUUAGACAGGGUAAAUAGGGCUGAAGAAGAAACUAAAAACCCAUAGAAGCACUACGUUCUUCUCCUAAUACUAUUAAUGGACCAAAAAAACAUCAAAAAACACUUAAUAUACAAUUAGAGGAAGAAAUCCAUACCAAUGACAAGCUAAAUAUGACAUUUUUCUAGAAUUAAUAAUUCUGCAAACAAAAAAACACAUUAAUUAUCUGCAUUUUAAAUAAUCCUAAAAAGGAACAUAUCAUUUUCAUUUAUGUCAUAAAAAGAACAUACAAACACUGAUUUUUAAUCUAUUUUUAUUUCCAAGCAAAAACAACAUUCUUCUAUUCUUUCUCCAACAAGAAAACAAGUUAUGUUACAGUAGUCACUAGGCAGUAGGUAAAACACUUGGUAACUAAAUAUAUAGAAAUAAACCAAAAAGAGUUUUUAAAAACAAAAAAAAAUUGAAAAUAAAAAAUGAUUAAAAAAGAAAUGAAAAUAUCAAACCCCUUCUUCAGAACAAUUCAAACAGGGAGUUACUGGUUCUUAAUCCAACAGUAAGUAAUAUUCCACUGAAACCCCUCCACCAAUCUGAAAACAUCACAGAAAACGAGCAACGCCACAUUUAACUGUCUUUAAGUUGUAAAAAAGCUUCAAGCUUUGCAGAUGUGAGGAUAUAAUGAGAAACCAAUCAUAGAACAUGCCACGAGCAAGGGCACAAGCAGAGGAAAGAUCUUCAAUGCCUCAGUGUGAUGAUAAUCAUCAUGAAACAAUAUCAACAGAUGUGAUUUAGGGAUACAUCUCAUAUAACAACCUUCAAAUGAUAUUAAUAUACAGCGAUAGAUCGAUAUAAAAUAAAUAACUUCAUAAAGAAAGGGUUUACAAUAGGGGGAAUGAAAAGAAUAUUGAGGUAAAAGGCUGAGCUCUGGUUACCGUUCUUUCAUUUGUAUGUAAAGCCUCUCAAAUUCUUUAGUCACAUCGUAAUAGAUUCUCCUAUAUGCAUAAUGAAUAAUGAUGUCAAAAGAAACCCCUGAACUUAGAAUUACUUCCACCUCUUUAUCUUCUUAGUUAUAAUAAGGCAUGAGUGAGCUUUGGUAUAUUUAUCUCGCAACUCCAAAACCUGGUAAGUCUCUCGCAAAACCUGAAUUUAGAUGAAUGGACUUCAAACGAAAGGAUUUUCUUACAAAAGCUAAAAAAAUAUAACGGCAUGGUGAGAAUGGGAAAAUGAAAAUAGAAAGCAAAAGAAAAAGUUUCCAUCCGAUAAGACAAGUACAAAAUAAUCCAAGUUCUUAUUUGCCAUGCCAAUAUUAUUCAUGAAGAACUAAUCUGAUUUCUUUUCCAGAUAAGGUUAGUAACAAUUAAUCUGUAAAUAACUGAACCAACUUGGUUACUACGACAUUACUCUUUCGCUUCCGCACUCAUUUUCUGCACAGUUGCGGUUCAUCAACGGCCGCGUUCACCAAAACGAGUUCACUCUCCCCACUUCACUUAUUUCCCCACCGUUAUGUCUCUCCAAGUGCAGCAGCAAGACAUGAACUCCUAUCAUUAUAAGCAAUAUAAAAAGCCCUCCUAAAAAUCCACCACCUGUUUGGCCAGAGAAACUCCAUUACUCAUUUCCACACUCUCAAUUUUCAGCCCUUUCAUCAAACAAAAGCAUUACUUACCCAUGUUUAGACAUAACUGACUUCAGCACAUAAAUUACGACAAGCUGGUCAAUUCACGUAAACAAGGAAAAAUUAACUCAAUCAAGUGAAGUAGGCACAAAAUGACCUCAAUGAGACAUCAGAGACCUCUAAAAUCAAAUCAAAUUCAGUUAAACAAAGAAUCACUGAUCAAAGAUAAGCAAAAGAAAAAAAGCAAUGAAUAACAGAAAGAAAUUUCUUAUAAAAAUUCAAUAAAAUUAAAAAAAAAAGCUAAUCAUCUUUUCUGGUUAAGUGAUUUCGUCAGCAAAUAAGAGAAAAUAGAAAUUCUGGAAUAUACCUAGGGUUUCUAGCUUUGGGAAUUUACCUAAUGAGAAAUCAGUCUCUCUGUUUCUAGAUUUGUAACUAUCAUGGCCGAGCGACCACGAUCAGGUGAGAUAAUCGGAUUUUGCACCGGCGACGAUGCAAAUGUUUGGGUUUGGGGUUGGGUUUCGGUUUGACGAUAGACCAAGGAAUGUUAGGGCUUUGGGUGAUUUAAGGAUUUUAUUUAAUUCAAGUAAAGUGAAAAUAAUUGAAGUACCCCUAAGUUGGUUACGCAUUUAAUGUCCAGAAUAGUUAAUUAAAUUUCUGCUCGUGUAUUGAUGGUAUGCAUGAGUUCCUAUCUCAACCGUUAGUGCAGAGACAAACAAAAAACAGGAUAAAGUUCGACGCAAAAUUUUAUUAGUAUACAAACGUAAGUACACUAUUGAAUAUGAAUAUGCUUUAAACAACUGCCUUUUUUCCUGGGAUAAUCACAUUAUAUAUAAAAUAAUACAACAAAAGAAUAGAAGUACAAGUAGAAAGGCAGUAUCUAGGUUGUCUCUGCUACUCGGCUUCCAGUUCCACCCAAAAACUGCUCAAACAUCUUCGUUCAGGUAACCAAUCGCAGACUCUGUUAUUGCUUUAACUAAUUUAUGGCAUUACCAUAAUUUCCAGAACACCUUGCGCUUGUUCAAUGGGUUGUUCAACUUGAGGAGGAGCCAGCAGAUGUGCGUUGACAGAGGUGACAAUGACGACAGUGAGACGUCGAAGCCCGUAGAAGAAGUGCUGAAACAGGGAAGCUAACAUUGCAUAACAGAGUGAUAAGAUUAUGAGGCACAAAUAGGCUACCAAGAACAGAGACGGAGCCAAAAUGACAGAGGCGACUGCUGAGACAGCCAACAGAACGGAGAGUUCUCCACAACUCACGGAAAUGGGUCGGCUCACUUUGAGAGGGACUCUGAUGGGUGUGAGGAGGAAGACCAGUAAUGGGACGACGACGGCAGGAAUCAGGAACCACAACUGAAGCUUUAACAUUGGGUACAAAAGUAUCUUACUCGUACCAUCUUGGACGUCCCAAGAGUUGCCAUCCUGAGCCUUGAGGAACAGAAAAAAGAUUAUAAGAUUCAGCAAUGGAAGAACUAGAAACCUCAAAUCGAUUGAAAAAUUCAUGCUUGUGAGUAUAAGACUUGGCCGAGAUGAUUGAGUUUAAUUAUUAUGAAUAAGAUUUGGCAAUUUAUAGGGUGUUGAAUGAAGCUGCUGGUGUUGAAAUUGACUCAAAAAAUUGUUCAAAGCCUGCACGUUGAUUGGGAGAGACAUAAAUUCUUAAUUUUUGUUCUUUUUUAUGCUUGUCGAUUGUGUCCGCUGAAGUUUGCCAAAUGACAUCUGCAAGGUGAACAGUAAUAUCCAAUUGAUGCCGCUCUAUUUUCUUCUACAGUAAAGUUAAAAAGUGCAUUUGCUUCUCCUAUUGGGAGUGUCGUGUUUAUAUUUUCUUCUACAAAAACAUUAAGUGAAUUUUUUGAGUCAAUUUCACCAGAACAAUUUUUUGAAAUUGACUCAAAAAAUUUUGAUUAAUAGUAAGACGCAGGUUGUCUUACAUAUGUGGUGAAAUUGACUCAAAAUUUUUUGAAAUUGACUCAAAAAAUUUUGAGUCAAUAUUAAUAUUUCGAUUCAUACAAGUUUUAAUUAAGUGAUCUUAAUAUUAUAUAUUUUUGUAGUAAAAUACUGUGAUUCUUGGAUUUGCCUAAGCGGACCUAAUUGUGAUUCUUACAAUACAACAGUAUUUUUUGUACUUGUCUUAUCUGGAAAAGAAAUCAGAUUAGUUCUUCAUGAAUAAUAUUGGCAUGGCAAAUAAGAACUUGGAUUAUUUUGUACUUGUCUUAUCGGAUGGAAACUUUUUCUUUUGCUUUCUAUUUUCAUUUUCCCAUUCUCACCAUGCCGUUAUAUUUUUUUAGCUUUUGUAAGAAAAUCCUUUCGUUUGAAGUCCAUUCAUCUAAAUUCAGGUUUUGCGAGAGACUUACCAGGUUUUGGAGUUGCGAGAUAACAUGGGGGUAAAUACCUUUCUAUAUCUCAUUAAAUAUACCAGCUCACUCAUGCCUUAUUAUAACUAAGAAUUUAAAGAAGUGGAAGUAAUUCUAAGUUCAGGGGUUUCUUUUGACAUCAUUAUUCAUUAUGCAUAUAGGAGAAUCUAUUAUGCCAUGACUAAAGAAUUUGAGAGACUUUACAUACAAAUGAAAGAAUGGUAACCAGAGCUCAGUCUUUUACCUCAAUAUUCUUUUCAUUCCCCCUAUUGUAAACCCUUUCUUUAUGAAGUUAUUUAUUUUAUAUCGAUCUAUCGCUGUAUAUUAAUAUCAUUUGAAGGUUGUUAUAUGAGAAGUAUCACUAAAUCACAUCUGUUGAUAUUGUUUCAUGAUGAUUAUCAUCACACUGAAGCAUUGAAGAUCUUUCCUCUGCUUGUGCCCUUGCUCGUUGCAUGUUCUAUGAUUGGUUUCUCAUUAUAUCCUCACAUCUGCAAAGCUUGAAGCUUUUUUAUAACUUAAAGACAGUUAAAUGUGGUGUUGCUCGUUUUCUGUGAUGUUUUCAGAUUGGUGGAGGAAGUUUUGAGAAUUUACAAACGCGAGGUCCAACAAAAAAUUUUGGAAACUGUUGACAUCUCCGCUGAACGAGUCAGAAAACUUUUAAUUUAACUAUUUUGCAGGUGUACUGGUUGCUUUUAUGUGAAAUUUUCAUUGUUGGCCUUUAGUUCGUUCGAAGAAGUAAGAUCUGACGUUUGACCACAAGGUUCAUUAUAUCAGCUUUUUUAACUCUGUUUUUUUAUUUCAUUCUUGUCUAUUGGUUAUAAUACAGUGGUGGCUUGGGGAGUUACUGCAACACCCCAAAUUUAUCCUUGGUUGAAUUUAUCUAUUUAUUUUAUAACUGCGUAUGUUUAUUUUAUUAUUAUUGUCGUUGUUUUAAUUGCUCUAAGCUUCCCCUGUUGUUUUUUUUUUUAAUCUAUAAAUAUUAUAAGGUGUCUUUAUUCUUUGGUUAAGUUCUGUAACAAACAAAAUCAACGUUCGGUAAUAAUAAUAAAAAAAAAGAAGAGGGAGAAAGUAAUUCCUUUUGUGAAGAACCCAUUUUGGUACUAAAGGUAGGUUGAUAACCCACAGCGAAAGGCAUUCUACUCAAUAAGGCGGAUACCUCGGAAUAGCAGAGAGAGAACGAGAAAAAUAAAAAAAUAAAAAAAGAGAGGAGAGGAAGAUAAAGAAAUGGAGGGAAAGAGAGCAAUUGGGUUUUAGAGAGAAUAGUUGUGCAUUUAAGGGAGCUGAGAACAACAGCAAGUAUGAAAUUUCUGGGAAACCAACAUGAGUUUGGCUGGAUUUUCUCAUAACUCUAAUCCUUUAGACCUGGUUUGGGUAAAUUUCUGUGCAUGCAUGGUUCAAUUUUCAAGUCUUGUUACUUUUAUUAAUGUUUUUUUUUCACUUACUUUUCUUAAUUGUUUCCUUUCUGCUGCUGCAACUCACAGCAAGUUUAGGAUUAUGUUAAAUUUGGGAUUCUUAAAUUAUUGGCAGUAUGGUUGGUUAAUUUUUGUAUUACCAAUAGGAAGUGGAGUUAGAGAAGAAGAGAAGUCUUUGGAGAACUAGGAGCUGUUGUUGCAGGAUUAAAGGAGGUGUUUAUAUGCAAUUGAGUGCUUUUGUUACUCAAAACUGAAAAAUCAGGUUGUUUUUCUUGCUUGAUCAUGUAAAUAUUUUUUUUUUUUGGGUCCUUAUAAGUUGUUUUGCUGAGAUUUAAUGUGCUAAUGGCUUAAUUGCUUCCUUUAAUAAUUAAUGCAGUGGGUGUAUGGGUAGCCAUUUAAUUACAUGACUAUGUGGCUAAAAUAAACAAUUGACAUGUUAGAAUUAUCAACAGGAUUGCGAGUUUUAAUUGAAGACCGUGUAUUGUUAUUACUUGAAUCAGUUAUGAUAGUUAAUUUGGUUGAUACAUUCAUGAAUGAGAAUUAAACUUUAACGGUGAUAUAGCCAAGUUUGGAAUAGGAAGUGUAGCUGAAUUGUGUUUAUGUAUCCUGCAAUGGUAUGGUGUUUUUUUUGCAGUUUUAAGUUUGUGGAUGUGUUGUUAAACUGGGGAUGUGCUGAGGCUCUGUUAUCUAUAACUAUUGUUAUUGAGAAGCAUCAUGUGUCUGAUGUGUCAUUGUAAGGAAACUUACAUUGAUGCUAUUGAAUGAAUUAAUAAUUUUUAUUCCUGAAGUUGAGGUUUGAGAAGGUUGAUUGGUGAUAGACGGAUUUCCUGUCCCGCGGUGAAGCCCGCAAAAGAAAUUAUGGGCGAUGGCCCCUGGGAAUAAUGCCCCAAAAGUUCGCUAUGCUGGAUUGACCUAUGUCAGAUUUCUAUCCCGCGGUGAAAGUCUACAAAAGAAAUCAUGGGCGGUGGCCCUGGGAAUAAUGCCCCAAAAAUAUGUAGGGUAUUUCUUUUCAAGGCCAGUGCUACGUUACGUUAAUCGUAACGUACGCCACACACAACAACAGUAGCGGAUCCCACCAUAAGUACUGUUGUUGUGUGUGGAUGUACGUUACGAUAAUCGUAACAUAGCGGGAUCCUCUUUUCAAAAUUAAUGUUGGGGGAAAAAGUUUGAUGAGGAUUUACGGCUUACUGACUUGUCAGGCAUGUUUUUAUUUUGUAUUAUUGAAAGAGUAAUUUUAGGAUUUCUUUAGACGUAACUACGGAAAGCAUGAGCGCCACUAUAUUUGUACGUGUGUAUGUUGUUAUGAUCUUGUCCUAUGACAUUUAUGUUGAAUACCAACUUUCAAACUUAAAAAGUUUAAGAAAUAAAUAGGGUCUGGCUACGGUGCAACUAUUGUAUCGUGUCGCAGUUGCAUUCAGCCAUUCGAUGUACUUGAAUGGAUGGGGUCUACUGGCAUUUAACGACUGGAUGCAACUAUGAUACGGUACCACAGUUGUACCACAGGCUUUCCCAAAUAAAUAUUAUAUAUAUACAUAUAAAUGGUUUAUGUUAGAAAUGCACCGAAGUUGUCCGAAGUAUUUGGGUUUUAAAAAAAAUAAAUAUAUAAUAUUAAAAAAAUACAAAAUUUGGGUACUCGGAUUAAAACCCAGCCUAGUGUUGGGCUUAAAAAACCCAACCCGGAUAUUUAAAAAUUGCAUCCGGCUCGGAUUCAAGCAUUGCAAUACUCAAACUCGGACUGGGUUUUGCCAACCCUAUAUGCCGGUGUUUUUGGUCACGCCACUAGUGAUAUUGACACGAAAAGCUUGUACAUAAAAUAUGGUUGACAUUUAUUAUUAUAUCACUUUGUUUCAUAUGGUUAUACUUGUUGUGCAUAAUCCCAUUUUGAUCACACUAACAUGAAAACAAAGGUAGGUUAAUUACACGUAAUUAUAGUUUAGUCUUGGUGUAUUUCUUUCUAACACUAGUUUAAUUUGUAUCUUGUGAGUAAUUCUAAUUUGUUACAUGCAUCUAUUUAUUGGAACAUAUAUCAUUCGUUCAUAUAUAUUUUGUGCGCAGUGUACACAAUAUAUAUAAACUUUGAAAAGGUAAGUUUGAAAAUACCUUUAUAGGAAAAAAAAAGUAUCAAAUCUUUUAGCAAGGGAAAAUGAUAAAGGUACCGAGGUUUUUAAAACCCGAGAAGACCGAAACGACAACGUUAAUUGUGUUUUAAAAUUUUAAUGAGUCUCACGUGUUUUUCACGUGAUAUACAGUAAAAGCAAAAUAAAAAAUAGAAAAAUUCAGCCCAAAAUCCUCAACUCCAUUAUCUUCCAAAUUGGUUCCGCAAAUAUUAUUGAUGACGUGUAUCGAACCGAUAACAUUUCAUCGUCAAGGACCUCAACCACUAUGAAAAGCCCCCGACUCACCGCGUUUAAAAAUCACUCUAAUUCGUGCAUACUUCACUUUAUUGAGUUAAUAGUUAAUUUUCCUUGUUUAUAUGAAUUGGAAAAAUUCUACGGUACAUUAGAGGGUCCGUGUCAUAAUCUAAUGUGGAACCAUCAACUAAUAAUAAUUAGACAUGUGGCUAUUAAUUUGAAUCCUAAAAAUUUUCCUUUUUUUCCAUCCUCUUUCCUCCAUUUUUAAGAAUUUUUGUUUUCCUUCUUCUCUCUCAUCCCUCUUGAAUUUCCUAAUUUAAUAAAAUAGAAGACAAAGCAUCAAUAAUCAUUAAACCUUGCUCAAGUCUAUUUAGAAAUUGGAAUGAGGACCAGAAUUGCGUGCAAGCAAAAGGAAUUAGACAUACUCUACAAAGAAGAGAUUUUUAGAAAAGAGCCAUCUUCAGAUCUUCUUAUCAAAUCGUGUUUAUAAGAACACAUUGACUUUGAUUUACAAAAAAAAAAAUCCCCUUUUAUCCUCUUUCCUUAAUUUUGAAUACUUUGUUUCCCUUCUUCUCUUUCCCUUCUCCCGAAUUUCCAAAACUGAAAUUAUUUAGUUUCUCUCACAUUCGAUCAGACUUGGUUUCUCGUCAUGUGGUGUAUAAUCUAUCUUCAACAGCUGCCAUAUUUUUUUUUUCCUAUUUGUCUAUAAUCUUGAAAUUUUGUUUUUUUGCUUUUUAAACUAUCAUUUUAAAAUGUUGACAUUUUGCAGAAGUUGGAUCUCUUUUUCCAGACAAUCUAAGUUGUCAUGCGUCAUUCUACUUCAUCAAAGUAACAAUAAACAAAACAUCAGUGGACGCUAGAAAAUAUGGUGAAAUCUCUCAAAAUUCUAAUAAUAAAAAACAAGUGUUGAAAGUAUUGAUAACCCCAAAAUAUACACAAAUUAUGUGAAUUAAAAUGACUGAAUUUUCAGAGAGCAUAUCCUUACAAUUAACAAAUCUAAUGGAACAAAAAAAAAAUUAAAAUUUAUAUUUUAAUCCCUUCUUCUUCUUUGCUGCCAAAAUCAGGCCAUAAAUAUUUUCCUGGCCAGUGGCCAAGGAGAGAUUUAAACACUUUCAAGCUUCACGCAUCUAUUUUCCUUCUCAAUCUGGUUUGAGCACUCUGUUUCAAUGUGGCAGAUUUGCACAUUUCUCAUAGACAUAUAACCAGUUAUAAUGUGGCGCAUGGGCCACAUAUAUGAGUCCCAUAUUUUCACCUCAAAAUAUAGUUUCUUCCCAAGCUCGCCUUCCAAUAGCUUCAAGCACUCUGUGAACUCUGUCCUUUGUUCAUCCAGAUACUUGCACAAAUUUUUACCAUGAAAAUUAGACCAAAACUUGGCUCGGAUGAUUGCUGGUAAGGAUCAGAAGGCGACAAUUAAUGGAAACUUAGUUCCAAAUUGUAUCAAUAAACUUAGUAUAGUGAGAGAUUCACUACUACUAAUGGGUUUGUUUUUUGUGAAUUAGAUCCCGUAUGUUCUAAUAAACAGGAUCUGAUUGAAGAAGAUGUUUUUUUAUUUAUGGAAAUCUCUUCUUUGUAGAGUAUAUUUAAUUCUUUUUGCUUGCAUGCAAUUCUCACCCACAUCAUAAUUUCCAAACGGACUUGGCCAUGCAUUAAUGAUUAUUAAUGUUUUGUGUUCUAUUUUGUUAAAUUGGGAAAUUCGAGACGGAUGAAAGAGAAGAAUGAAAAUAAAUACUUUUAAAAGUGGAGGAAAGAUGAUGGAAAGAUUAAAAUUAAUAGCCACAUAUCCAAUUAUUGGUUGGUGGUUACAAUUUAACUUAUUUGACAAUGGAACAUCUGAUGUGCUGUAUGUGAAUUGGGUAAAACUUGUCUUACAAAUAAUGUAACAAACAUCCAAUAAAUAUAAAUCAUUGAUUUUGAUAUUUCUUAAAUUUAAUGGAUGAAAAUAAUUUUAACAUGAAAUGAGGGAUGGGUGUAAAAAUAAUUUGUAAAAAAAUUUAUUUUUAAUCACAUAUUUACUUUUUUUUUUCAAAUAAGUCCUCGAUAAUUUUGUAUAACUAAAUAGUUUUGUAGUUCAUCUCUCUUACAUCUAUUUUAAAAUUUCAUAAAACUUUUACUGUAUUUUUAUAAAAGUCUAAAUGAUUAUUGUAUUAAUAAAUAUUUACAACUUUUGAAUAUAUUUUUCUGCCUUUAUAAUUUCUUGUCUCUAUUGAGACAUAUACUAAAUUUUUCUUCUAACACACACACACACACACAAACACUCACUCACACACAUUGAUGCUGCGUUUACUUUUUGGAUUGGAGCGGGAAUCCUGAGGAGUGGGAAUCCUUAGAUUAGGAGUGUGGAGUGGGAGUGGGAGUAGGGUGUUUACUUAGACUAAAUGAAAGUAUGGAUUGUUAAUCAGAAUCCUAAUUAUUUGUUUACUUUGUCUUGGAUUGGGAGUAAAUUAUUUUAAAUUACAAUUUUAUCCUUAUGUACAGAAUUAUAAUUUGUAAUUAAAAAAUUAAUAAAAAAUAUAUUUGGAAAAUAAAAUAAAUAUUUUAUUAUAUUUAUAAAUUAAUAAUAAUUACUAAUAUUCUUAAUUAUGUAAAUCAUAAUUUUUUAUUAAUUUUAAUUUAAAUUAUGUGAAUAAAAAUUAUUAAUAAUAGCAACACAAAUGAAAUAUUAUUAUUGAUAAUAUAGUACAAAAUUAAUAUUUUUUAGAAUAAAAUUUUAUUAUUACUAAUUAAAUAAAUAAUUAAUAUUUAUUAAAAUUAAUGUUUAAUAUUAUUAAUUUAAAUAUAAUAUUUAUUUAUUUUUAUUUUAUUAAAUUUAAUAAAAUAAAUAUGAUAUAAUUAUUAUUUUUAAUAAAUAUGAUAUUAUUUAUUUUAUUAAAUAUGAUAUUAUUUAUUUUAUUAAAUAUUAUUUAUUUAUUUAUUUUUAUAAGGAUAAAAUGGGAAGAGGGGGGAGUGGAUUCCCACUCCCACCUCCCCCCAUGGGAGUGGGAAUCCCACUCCCCACUCCAAAAUUGGGUGGGACCCACGAAUUCUCACUCUCACUCCUUCCUUUUUUAAGGUAAGUAAACACUAGAGUGGGAGGAAUCCACACUCCACACUCCCACUCCAGAAAGUAAACACUACCUCAAUCUACUUUCCCAUCCUAAUAUAUACCAUCAAUGUUGCCACAUAGAUUUUGUAAUUUAAAUUUAUUAUCCUAAAUUAUGAGAGAUAUUACAUAAGUUAAAUAUCUCAUGAAUCUAACGAAUUAUUAGAAACAUGAAAUAAUGAAUAAAUUAUCAGAACCUCUAAUAAUUUCAUAAAACAUAGAAACCAAUAAAUUACCAACUUCUAACUAUAGGUAAAGAGAAUUUUUUUUUUUUUAUGAAAGAUUUCAACCUUUUUGAUCUGAUCAAUGAUUUAGAAAUGUGGAGAAAUAAUAAAUUAAAUUGAAUGUCAUUAUAUUUAUUAAAUAAAUUAAGAAACCCAAAUUUAUCUAUAAAUGAUAUAGAAGGUGUAAAUAAACUAUUAGAAAUUAAUAAUUUCAUUGAAGAAAAUAUAAAAUAAAUUAAAAAGUUAAGAUAUUAACUGAGUAAAGAAUUUAAUAAAGGUAAACAAUUAAUAAAAGGCUUCAAUAUUGAAAAUCAUGAUAUAUUAAAGUAAGAGAUCAUUAAUAUAAUUAAUAAAAACUCAAUAGAUAUAAGAUUAAACAAGUUAAAGAUUCAAUUAAAUAAAUAAAAAAUUAUUGAGCAAUUUAGUACUAAAUUUGCUAUAAAUAUAAAUAGAAAAUUUAAAAAAAAAUUAAAGUUCUAACCGUAUUGUUGCCUGGCUGCAGCCUGAACUCUAAAGCAAAACUUAACAUCUUAUUGAUGUUUUUAAUAAUUAUUAUCUUUUCUAAGGAUUUAAAAACUUAUAGCUGUAACGUACAAUUGAUGUAAGAUUAGCUUCGCCCAUAAUUAAAUAUCAUUAUGUUAAAUGAAAUUACAAUUUUACCAUAGACCGACAUAGAAAUGUUCCAUGUUUCCUUUACUUUCUAUUUUUGCUUUUUCACCCAUUAGAGGGUUGAAAUUAAAGUCAGCUUAAUUAAUCGAACCAUUAUUGAUUAUUAUAUCCAGUAAAGUUGCAUGAUACGAUAUUGAUUCUACAUGACUUAAUUCUCAUGAUACAAUUGUACGUUCUAAAUAGUAUCGGAUUGGAUUCAGCACUUACAGAUACAGAUGAAUCUCUUCGUGGCGGGGCUUUGAUGUUGUAAUAUGCAAUGAAAGAAACAAAUCAAAAGUAACUCAACCAAGUUUUAAAAAGACUUAUCAAAAGAAUGAGCAAUAAUUUCUGGUUUGAUGCAAGUGUUCUUAAUUAUUCAGUAAAUAAUGGAGGAACUUUUGUCAACUCUCAUAAAUUUAUGUUCUAUUGAACAAGUUUCUGCAAGUUAAAGGAAUUCUAAUUGUUGUUGUUGUUGUUGUUGUUUUUUGGGUUUAUGUGUUAUUCACCCAAUUUUGAAGGACUAUUAGUGUUGAAACUUCCUUGUGUCAAUAAGGUGCUUUUGUGGUUCUAGUCUUUAGGAAGUUUGUUGGUAAUGAUAUUAAGAUUGUGUUUACCUAGUCUUUAGGUUGUAGUUACUGGAAAUGGUUGCAGUAUUUGCUGGAUAAUGGCUGCUAUUAUUUUGUUAAGUUUGUUCAUGUAACGCCUAUAAAAGGCAACUUAUUGUGAAUAAAAUAUGCAGUACUUUCAUCCAUUUAUCCUUGCUUUGAGUGUACUAUUUCAUAUUCACUUAUAACAGUGGUAUCAAAGCUUGAAUUAGAAAAGUGGGAUUGACAGAGUUAGUAACAACAGUUUACUUUUUCACUUGUGUUGGAGCAGCAUAAAUUCAUGGCUUUUGAGAAUUUUGUUCAACUUGCAAUUCCCCGCUUUGAUGGUCACUAUGACCAUUGGAGCAUGUUGAUGGAGAAUUUUUUAAGGUCCAGGGAGUAUUGGCAGGUUGUUUCAACUAAAAUAACUGAACCACCAACCAGUGUUGUUUUGACAGAUGCUCAGAAAAUAGAGCUUGAAGGGCAACGAUUAAAGGAUCUCAAGGAAAAGAAUUACUUGUUCCAAGCUAUUAAUCACUCAAUCUUAGAAACAAUUCUUAACAAAGUACCAAGGGACAGCAAGGGCGAAGCGGGUACACCUUCAGACACUUCAAGCUGAAUUUGAAUCUUUAUGAAUGAAGAUAGGAGAGUCAGUCUCAGCAUAUUUUGCAAGGACAAUGGCAAUCGCAAAUAAGAGAUGAAUUUAUGGCGAACAACUCGAAGAUGUUAUCAUAAUUGAGAAGAUUCUUCGAUCUUUGACGGAAAAAUUUAACUAUAUUGUUUGUGCAAUUGAGGAAUCAAGGGAUAUUGACACACUUUUGAUUGAUGAAUUGGAAAGCACUUUGCUAGUCCAUGAGCAGAAAGUAAUCCGGUAGGAUAAGGAAGAACAUGCAUUACAGGCAGCAGAAAAUCCCAAACCAACUGCAAGCACGGGCAGAACAUAUUAGAAGAAAAUGUUGAUGAUUCUCAAGGAAAAGGAAAGGAUUGUGAUAGUCAGGAUUCGACAGGACAUAAACCAAAGUCUAAAGACAAAUUGAAUGUUAAAUGCUUCCGUUGUCAGAAGUAUGGUCAUUACCGCUCCGAGUGCCGUACUAAUUUAAAUAAGAAUCGUGGUCAGAAAUCUAACUUUGCAGAAAAGGAGGAAGAAGAAAUUUUCCUUCUUAUGACAUGUCAUACAAAGGAGAAAAGACACCAAAAUCUAUGGUACUUAGAUACCGGUUGCAGCAAUCAUAUGUGUGGGGAUAAAUAUGCUUUUUCUGACUUGGAUGAGACUUUUCAAAAUACUGUAAAAUUUAGUGGUCAUCUCCACCGUUUCUGUCAUGGGGAAAUGAAAUGUUGCAAUCCAAACCAAAUGUAAUUGUUGAGCAAAUGUAAUUGUUGAGAUUAUUGAGCAUGGCUUUAGAUUCAAUUUGAGCAAAUGUAAUUGUUCCUUUUAAGGUGAUGUAAUUGGUGUAGGGAGAGGAUUUAAUUCGAAUGAUUUAUGGUUCUAGAAAAAAACGAAUUUUCUUUAUGUUAACUUGAAACAAUAUGUGUGUAAAUUUUUACGAUGUUAGCAAUAUUUAAUAACAGAAUAGUUGAAAUAUUUUUAAAUUGCAUUGUAGUUUUUAAAAAUAUAAAAUGGAUAUACGAUUUUUUUUAUUGCAAUCUUACUACAAAAAUAAGGGUUUUUGGUAAUUGAAAAAAAAAACAAAUUAAUUAUUUUAAAAUAAAUAAUAAUAUUGACCCAAAUUUUUGACAUAAAUUAAGUUCAAAAAAUUUAUUUAGCAUAAAAUGUCACAAGCUAUUGAUUAGUAUCUAUCAUUGAUUUGUGAUCGAAUUAUGUUGUUAUGUAAGCAUAAAAUUUAUUUGCCAUGUCUGCAAAAUAUGAUAACAUGUCAUCUACCAUGUCUAAUGCCAUGUUUUCAAAAUGAGAUGUCAUGUCAUUUGCUACAUCAGAUUCCAUGUAAAUAGAGAAUUGUAACACAAUUCCUUGACUGAAAUAUUUUGUCACUAAUUAUUGAAUUUUCUGUCACUAUAUUAUUACAAGGGCUUUUUUGACAGAAUAAAAUUAUGCCAGUAGCAUGAUUUGUGACAAUUAUUCUGUCAAAAAAUCCCAAUUUUUUAGUUGUGUAUGAGAAAGGAAUUAGUUGAUGGUUAAAGCCUGUGCAAUGAGAUAUCUCACUAGUUCAGAUUCAAUAUUGACGAGAGUUGUGUUGAUUAUUUUAAAGAUCUUGUAUUGUGUAUUUAUUUAUUAUAUUAUAUGGGUAUGAGUUAAUUACAAUAUGUAUCAUGAAAACGAUAUUUACUCAUAAAGGGUCCUCGGCCAUAGUUCUUUCAUCUUUGUUUAUGUGGCAUUAUAGACAUUCGAAAAUCCAUUUAUGGUAUUCAUGAAUAAAGAAAAUGCUUCUAAUUUGAUCCAAUUAAUAAAAAGAGCGUACUUUUCAUAUUCGUGGACUAGGGAGACAUUUGAUUCAAUUCGUCGAUUUAUAGAAAUCUAUGGUCUAACUCAACUCAAAAACUAGUUCGAAAAUUAAAAUUUAUUACCCCAUUAGUCCCCACGUAAUUUUUAAAUACCUCUCUUGAGGUUUGAGGUAUUCAUUUAGAUGACGGGUUUACUUGUAUUCUCACAAGGUUUGAGGUAUUCAUUUAGAUGACGGGUUUACUUGUAUUCUCACAUACUUCCCUCUCUACUGUCUAUAUAAAUGCAUGUACGGUAUUAGUAUAUAAGGGUGAAUUCAGUAAGAGUGUUGGCUUGUGUGGGGAUCUCGUAAUCAAGCUUUUUUUCCCAAAGGAGAGAAUUUGACUGUGUUGCCAGCUUUCCCAAUAUACAAAAGGUGAGCACAGUUAAAAUUAGGUUGCGGAUUACGGCAGUAACUACUUAGAGAAACUUUUCCGUUUUAGUUGCUAAUUAGUCACUUAAAUUUAAAAAAAUUAGGGUCUCGUUAAUCGAUAACGAUAACAAACACCGGACCUAACUUAGGAGGCCACUCAACUUUUGAGGGAGUGGUUAAAACAGCUGCUCCAUGUUUAAAAGUAUGCCCUUGACGCCUAUAUUCUUUGAAAAGCUCAUUCUAGGAAUUGCCAUUUUUUUUUUUGAAAAGCUUAUUCCAAUUAUUAGUUGAACAAUUAAUAGUCAUUAAUACACACGCACGCAUACUUAUGGUACGGUUAGAUAAAACCUGUUAUAAAUUAAUUAAUUCCAACAUGUUUCUUUUACUAGCUAGUUGGUUUUUUAAACAUAUGUAUGAAUUAUCUAACGCUAAGUAACACGUAAUCCAGGUAAAACAAGAUUGAAUUAAACAGAAGACUUAUGAAGCUUGAGAGUCACAAAGCAGGCUUUUUCUCUAUUAUAAUACUGCACAGCAUGCAUGCAAAUUCAAUUUAACUUCUCAGAUCUCCUAAAGCUAUAUGAUUGGACCUUUAUUAAUAACCGAAGAAGGAAGCUUAAGAGCCCAUAGAUGUAUUAAGUACUUCUCCCCCAAUGCUUAUUUUAGUGGGAACAAAACAACUUCAGAUUCCCAAUAAGCCACCAGAGGAACAAAAUCCACAAGCCAAUAUUCCGAAAGAUUUUUGCUUUUCAUGAAUUAAUACUAUUAAUUUAAUGGGUCUGCCAUUACUCCCUUAUCUAUGUCUUAAUUAUAAUUAUAUGACUAGAACUUGAACAAAGAUUGACUUGUGGAUGUGUUGUCCGGCCGAAUCCACUUGUUGGGCAGUGAGGGUAAUUGCUUCCGGUGGAAAAAGAAAAAAAAGAGCUUAAAUUUAAUGUUAAUUUUGGGAUAAUUAUUUUCAGGAGUAAUUUUUUAAAGAGAUGAAUCAAUUUUAUAAAUUAUCUUUUUGCAGUGGGGACAAGUUAAUAUUUUCCAUUUUAUUUUAAAUCAGAGUCAUCACCUAGAAAAAUUAUUCUGCAGGGGAUAAAAAAAUAAGAACAAGGUUGCAAGAGAAAAAAAAGACUCCAUUUUAUUUUAGGAGUGAGAGAACUGAAAAAAAAGGAGCAAUGAUAUAGGCACAAACUCUUGUACAAAUUUAUUUUGUACAAACUGACGUGGCAUUAAUUCAUUAAUUGAAUGAAAAUAUAAAUUAAUAAAAAUAAAUCAUGUAGGUCAACUGAUAUUUAAUUUAAUUAAUUUUAUCACGCCAUAUCAAUUUAUAUAAAAUAAAUUUGUACAAGAAUUUAUAAGAAUUUGUGGUUGUAUUAUUAUAAAAAAAAAACAAAACAACAGAGUAAGUGGGUCCUUAUUACGACAUUGACGACACGAACUUGGGAUCGCUGUAAGUUACGUUUUAGCGUAACAGAGUAAGCGGUUGAAGUCCGUCUCAAAAAAUAGUCAACGAAAGAGAAUCUCUUCUACAGCCGGUCGUGACAAACAUAACGGCGUCGUUUACACCAUCAAAUUACGAGAGGAAUUCCAUCUCUUCCAACACAAGUACACAACCCCACCCCCCCCCCCCCCCCCCCAAAAAAAAUUCAGACCUCCACCACCGAAUUCCAGCCAAAAGCAUCAGUUAGCCGUUAAAGGAACCACACUUUAAACUCAAUUCAUCACAAAACUUCACGAAAAUUACAGUCGCAAUUAGCAACGCUAAUAAUGGCGGAUUUUGGAAACUUCCCGGACACAGACGAGGAGUCAGCAGUCGGGCAAACCCUAAGUUAAAUUUAUAUUUUCUAAUUCGAUGUUGCCUUUCGCCCCUCAUUUCCUUCGUAAACAGUUUUUCUCGCUUCCCUCCAACCAAACAGGCCUUUUGAGUUAGGGUUCAGGGUUUUUUUCCCCCUUUUCGUAAACUAUAUUCGUUUAUUUUGGUGUUAACCGAAAUGAGAAACUUACAGUUAUCGUUCAAUCAAACGCAAAAUGUGAGACUUGAAAAAGCUCUCGAAAAGCUUGAGUCUUUAUCCUCAAAUUCAAACCCUAACUCCAGUGUCACCGUCGGCGACACCAUCCCUGUUUACGAAGAUGGCGUCCUCAAGUAAUCACGCAUUCGGACUGAAUCUAUUUAUUUUCGCUUUAUUAUUUUUAUUUUUCUAAAUUAUGGAUUUAAUGAAAUACUGGGGACACGGAACCUCGGACUGUAAGGGCGAGCUUGUUGCUGCGACUGCUAUGGUGUUGUCGAACGCAUCAACAAGUUGAUCUACGUACGCGCUUUACGCUCCAGGUAAUUGGAAUUUGCUAGGCUUUAGUCUCUGUUUUAAAUCUUAUGCAUUUGUGUUGUUUGGUUCGGAAAAAUCGUUGCUUUUGUUUUAGUUCUAUUGUUUGUUCAUAGAUACAAGCCGGAGACGGGAGAUAUUGUCAUAGGACGUGUCAUAGCGGUAAAUUCAAAUUACUUAAUUAACUUCAUUAUUUGGAAGUUGAUUCAUAUCACAUUCUUGUACUGUAUUGUAUCUUCUACUUCUUCAAUUUUAAUAUCUAGAACCUUAAAAAUGUUCAUUGUUCAGGUUGCUCCAAAGAGAUGGAAAUUGGAAGUAAACUUCACCCAAGAUGCUAUUUUGAUGCUUUCUUCAAUGAACUUUCUGAUGGAUUUAAGGUAUCAUACUUUUUCUUGAAGGUUGGUCUAGUUACCCUAUUGGGUGACAUAUGCUAUAACUGGGAGGUAUCAAAAAAAUAAUUUUGUUCGUAAAUAGGGCACCAUAUGAGGCAUGGGGCUUGUCUUAUAUUUUUAUGUUUAAGAUCUGCCUAAAUGUGGAUAGUUUGGUAUUGAAUUUUCUCUUUUGCUUGCUAGAAGCGGCGAACGGCUGUGGAUGAACUCAAUAUGCGCAGUGUUUUUACAGAAAAUGACUUAGUCUGCGUAAGUGAAUUGCUAUGUAUUCUUAAUUUCUUUUAUGGUGAUUGUGCCAUCUGAGGGAGAAAACAAGUUACUUAUUUGAUGUUACCAAAAUCUGUUCUCUUUUACAGGCUGAAGUUGGUAGUUCAUAGGGUGAUGACAGUUUACAAUUUCAAGCAAGAAAUCAGAAGUAUGGCAAGGUGUGUCAUGUUUGAAAAGUUUUCAGGUGCAUCUUCUGCACUUUUUUAUCUUUACACUCACUCUUUUAUAAGGAAGAACAAUGUAGAUGUGAAGGAAUGGCCAAUACCAUCAGUACAAGAAAAAUAAUAAUAAUAAUAUUAGUAGGUAAAUUUAAUGUCCAACUAUCAAUUUCCCUUUUCCUUUUUGGCUUAGAAUUAAGCUGCCAAUUUGACUAACCUUGAGGAAUGGCAAGUUGUACUUUAAAAUUAUGCCUUGGCAUGGGCAAAUCAAUAUUUGCUUGCAGCUAACUAACUGUUGAGGAUGGGAACUUAAGAAUUCCAAAGAAGACUAGGAGUAACUUAGUGUAUUGAUAAUAACAAUGUUUAUGAUUCAUUUCUUCAUGUAGGAAACAGAAAAUUUUCAUUGUUAAAUUGUUUCUCUUUUUUACUUUAAGACCUAGCAUCAUUGCCAUCAACAUUAUUUCAUUAGCAUCAGUUUUUCAUCCUAUUCGUACCUGUAAUGUAUUGAUAUGGACAUGUACCAAUACGCCUUCAGCUCGAGAGGGGUCAACUGCUCAGAGUCGAUCCUUAUCUAGUCAAGAGACGGAAACAACAUUUUCACCACCUAGAACAGUAUGGAAUUGACUUGAUAAUUGGAUGUAAUGGAUACAUCUGGAUUGGUGAGCAUGUUGAAGCCAGAGACAAGACGGCGGUGGAUCAAGGAAGCGAUUCUGAACAACCAAUCACCAAAUAUGAUAAAAUUUCCAUGGAUCUUGAUGAACAAGAUGGAACUUGCACUCCACGAGAAGCGAGACAGAACGUUUGCAGAAUUGCAAUUUUUUUAUUUGGGAUUAGGUCUUUGGUGGUUUGGCAUUGUUUGCUUUUCCAUGUUGUACAUGUUUCUGGGAUUUGCUUCAUUCGUUCGCAGGGAGCACGGUUUAUUUCUUGUUAUCUCCAUAGGCGUGAAUGCUUAUAUUACAUGUUAUUGUUAAGAUGCAUGUACUACUUCAGUUCUGGUAACUUAUGUCCAUCAGGAUUAGGCAGUGCAUGUUUGUGUCAUCAUUCAAAGUAUCACUGCUAUUCGUUUAUAAUUCUGUUCAAUGUUGUAGCCCUUAACUCAUGUUUGUUCCUUCCUUCUGGCGAUUGAUCCUUGAAGUCUCUUUGUUGGUUCAAUUUUAGUGGUUAUGUUUGCACAGAAGAAUGUGGUCUGCAUAUUCAGUAUCAUUAAUUUGCAGUAAUGAUCAUUGUGUCCCUCUUCCUCUUAAAGCUUUUGGAAAUUCACAAUAAGCCCCGUGAGUCUGGGUCUUUCUAUAUGCAUGUGCCUCUAUUCGGGUGCAUGCUUGUCUGUGGUGUGUGAGCAUGCUUGUGAUACAAUUAUCUAAUGUCUACUAUUUCAUUGAUUGUGGAGAGGACUAGGGUGUAUGCACAUGGGUUAAUUGGCAGAAUGGUAUGUCUGACAUUGUUAUAUCCAUUCCUUCUCGAUAACAGUUGCAAAAUUUUUGUUACAAAGUUCACGGCCUUGCUAAAUCUUUCCCUACAAACGUGUACAGGUGGUCACUCACUCAAUCAUUUCCGUUAGUUACUGAUAUGGAUUCUCAACGAAGAUCAGACGCUGGUGUCACUAUCAAAUUCAAUAACACAUAGAUCCAUAAAUUAUGUUCUUGACAACAUAAUGAGUAAUUUCUGCUUCUUCAAUGCUUGUAAUGAUGAAGUUGGUGGAGCUAGUCUUUUCUUUUCAAAUGUACUAGUUCUGCUUUCCGAUUUUUCAUCUUCAUCAUUCUCACCAUGUCCAUCUCUAGUAGAGGGGGUGGACGACUCAGCAUUUUUGGCAGCAUUUCUUUUUCCAACAUUCAACCUGAUCUGCAACUUUCUUUCAGCAGGGUCGUUUGAGGCUCCAAUUUUUUAUUGGCAUGAAACUUUUGCGCCAAGUCCAAGCCUACAACAACAUGAGGAAUGUUAUUACCAGCAUCCUAUGAUGAACAAAAAAAUAAAAAAUCUAUGGUCGGGUUAGGAUGAAUACACUGACCUAGACGGCCUGGCCUCUUAUGCACAUACAUAGGCAACUGACACACAUACGUAGGCAUACAAAACUCAAUGCAUAUACAUAAAAACUGCACCAACAUCAGAUAAAUUAGACUCAAAUAACUUAAAUUAAAUUACAGUCAGUAAAAAAACAAAAUAAGUAUUACAUCCAUUAUCCAGAAAAUGAAAUGAUAAUCCUAGUGUUUUCUAAAGAAUUUUCAUGUCAUCUAUCCACUUGCUGUUUAUUACUAUUAAAAAAUUUACCAUGAACCUUCUAAUAUGAAAAUGACUCCAAAGACCAAAACACCAGAUUUUUAUACUCAAGAAUUAACCAUGCACCUAAUAAUACUUAUGGAUGCCACUGUUGCAAAAAAUAAUCCAUCAUCUUACUAUUUAAAGAUCAAACAUAUUAGAAAAAGGAAAAAUAAAACAAAACAAACAAAAACAGUUUGCCAAGUACACUGAGCAAGUAGAUAUUCCAACUUCACCAGACAUCCUAUUGUGCCCUUUUGCACUUGUUUUGGAGCUAUUAAUGUGAGGUAGUCAUGACGAAACAAUUACAACACUGACUUGGCAAAUUAUUAUAAUGAAAAUCAAUCGAUGUGAUCAAUCAAAAAAGAAAUUAAAUCUUACCCAGAUACAUCUCUAUGAAAGCGAUCUGCGACCCAUGCCAGCAGCUUGAGGAUGCAGUCAAUAGAUCCUCCUCUAGCUGCCAAGUGAAGAGGAGUGCUUCUUCUGCAAACAAACAGAAAAAGAAAUAAAUAUAGAAUAAAAAUGAAAAAGAGAAACGGACAUCAACAGGUGAAGAAUUACCAGAAUGAAUGUGAUCCCAAAGCUUCUCAAAGAUCUUGUGCCUUCUAUACGGUGAGAUUAUGGCCACAACGCCAGGAUUUGCACUUUCGGCUUAGGGUUGUUGUGUGUUGAUUGAAAGUUGUGACGGCAUAGUCAUCCAUAUACAACCAUGUCAAAAGCUAGCCCUGCCCAACUAAGUCCAAAUGGAUGACAAAAAGUGAACAUUAUCCCACAGACAAGAAACUUGGUCUUCCCUCUUAUAUUCAAAAAUGCAAUCUUGCCAAAUAACCCAAAAAGGAGCUAGAACAUCACACUGCCCGAGAACCUUAGGUUCUAUCCUUGCCCUAAAGCAAAAAAUAUUUUCCAUUAGCAAAUAGCUACAAGAAUUUGGAGCAUCCCAAAAUCAAUAACAUAAUUGAGAAUCAAUGCAUGUAUCCGCAAGCAUUUAUUUAGUAGACAACUGAUUCCCAAAACAAUUUUAAAUUUCUGACAGAAUUACUUCAUUGCCUAAAUUCUACCAAGCUUUUCAGUUAAUACGCUCAAAAUACAAUCCACGGGUGCAUUUAAAUAAAUUGGGUUAUUUAACGCCUACAAUCUUUGGAACCUCAUCGAAUUGCUACCAAAAGUAAUCCACACCAAACAAUCAACACGUGAAAUACAGGACCUUUUGACAGAGAAAAUACGGCUGACGAAGAAAUUGGAAACCCAUAGAGGCACUAUACUUCUCCUAAUACUAAUAAUGGAACAAAAUGACAUCAUAAAACACUCAAUAUGCCAUUAGAGGAAUAAAUCCAUACCAAUGACGAGCUAAAUAUGACAUUUUUCUAGAAUUAAUAAUUCUUGAAACAAAAAGCACAGUAAUUAUCUGCAUUUUAAAUAAUCCUAAAACCAGGAUAAUGACUUAUUUAUGUCAUGAAAAGAACCUACAAACGCUUAUUUUUUAAUCUUUUUUAUUUCCAAGCAAAAACAACAUUCUUCUAUUCUUUUGUCAACAACAAAACAGGUUAUGUUACAAUAAUUAUUUUCAACAUAGAACUUGAACCCUGGGAGAGAUAGAAGGAAAAGACAUAGAUGUCUGACUGAGAGAGAGUUAAGACAGUGUGAGAGGUAAAAGAACAACACGGCUUAGAAGUUAGAAUCAUCAUCCACUUAUCUCACUUAAUCGUUGGUGUAAAAGUCCUCAUAGAAGAAAGAAAUAUUAUUUUGAAGGGUAAAAUGUAAACAAAUUAAAAUUUUAGAUAAAAUUGUGACACGUUUAUAUUAAGCGUGUAUAUUAAGAUUUAAGAGAGAGUCACCAUUAUACCGCACAGGUCAGCUCCCAGUUGAACUUGCGAGUUUGGGUUUGAGUUCCAGUCCCACAGUUAGUGAAAGUAGGUAUUAGGUAAUCAUCUUUACCAGCUGAAAUAUCAAAACCUGUCUGUAUAAGCCUGCACAUUACAAUUUAAUCAUCAGCAAAGGAGGUGGCUGCAGCGAGAAACAAGACAUUAUGUAGUAAUUACAAAACAUUGAAAAUCAUCAUAUUUUAUCAGUCACAAAACCUAAGAUAGUCUCCCCAUAGCAACUAUAAAUAUUGGGGGGCAAAAAAAAGGACCACAAAGUAGAACACUCCCCUCUUUUUCCUCCAAACAUAUACAAAAUUUCAGUUCACUCCUAAGCUGAGAACCAUUCUACUUUCAAGAUUCAACCAAUGAAAUAACCAUAAUAUUCUUAUUAAAAAAAAUGAAAUAACCAUAGUACAAAAUAAUUAUCCUCUAAUUCAAAUAUUGCUUCAGAAUUUACAAUUUAUGCUAGAAUCAAUUGGUGAAACCUAGGGAAUCGGAAUGAUACAUUUAUUUAACCCAAAAGGUGAAUAUCAAGCUUAAGGUUCUUACAUAUUGAGACGAUCAAAUUUCAUUCAUUCUGAACAUGAGAUGCAACUUGAACUAUUUCAAGUUAUUCCAAAAGAAAGCAUUGAAAGAAAUUUGUUCAUCCUACGUGGUAUAAGUAGUCUCAGUUAGUAUUCUGCAUCAUCAGUUAAAUCAUUUGGAUUAUUAACAAUGAUCUUUUUUAUUAGCUGAAUUGAUAACUCUCUAAGCCACCACUGUAAAGCUAGCAUUUGGAUUAUAACUGAUAGAGAAGAAUAAAAUGAAAAAAAAACAGAGCUAAAUAGGUUGAUAUAAUGAAACUUGUCGUCAAAUGUCAGAUCCGACUUCUUCAAACGAACUAAAGUCCAGCAAUGAAAAUUUCACAUACAAGCAACUAGAAUACCUGCAAGAUAGCUUAAAUUAAAAGUUUUCUGACUCCUUCAGCAGAGAUGCCAACAAUUUCCAAAACCUUUUGUUGGACCUCACGUUUAUAAAUUCUCAAACCUUCCUCCACCAAUCUGACAACAUCAUGGAAAACAAGCAACACCACAUUUAAUUGUCUUUAAUUUAUAAAAAGCUUCAAGCACUACAGAUGCCAGGAUAUAAUGAGAAACCAAUCAUAGAACAUGUCAUGAGCAAGGGCACAAAGAGAGGAAAUAUCUCCAUUGCUUCAGUGUGAUGACAAUCAUCAUGAAACAAUAUCAACAUAUAUGAUUUAGGGAUACAUGAAAUAUAACAACCUUCGAAAUGAAAUUAAUAUACAGUGAUAGAACAAUAUAAAACAAAUAACUACAUAAAGAAAGAGCUUACACUGUUGUUUGUGUUUGUGUGUGUGUGCUUUUUUGUGUUGGGGGGGGGGGGGGGGGAGAGCUGAAGUUAAAAGCUGAACUCUGGUUACCGUUCUUCCAUUUGUAUGUAAAGUCGCUCAAAUUCCUUAGUCAUGGCAUAAUAGAUUCUCUAAUAUAUAUAAUGAAUAAUUCUUUUAAAAGAAGCCCCUGAACUUAGAAUUACUUCCACUUCUUCCAAUUCUUAGUUAUAACAAGGCAUGAAUGAGUUUUGCUAUUUUUAGUGAGAUAUAGAAAGGUAUGUACCCUCUUUUUAUCUUGCAACUUCAAAACCUGGUAAGCCUCUCUCAAAACCUGAAUUUAGACGAAUGGACUCCAAAUGAAAGGAUUUUCUUACAAAAGCUAAAAGAUUGAAUGGCAUGGUGAAAAUGGGAAAAUGAAAAUAUAAAGCAGAAGAAAAAGUUUCAAUCUGAUAAGACAAAUACAGAAAAGCCAAGUUCUUAUUUGCCAUUCCAAUAUUAUUAAUGCAGAAUUACUCUAAUUUAUUUUUCAGUUAAGGUUAGUAACAAUUUAUCUGAAAAUAACUGAACCAACUCGGUUACUACGACAUUACUCUUUCUCUUCUACUUCUGGUUCAUCAAUAGCCACGUUCACCAACACGAGUCCACUCUUCCCCCCUUGACUUAUUUCCCCAACCUUUAGGUCUCUCAAAGUGCAGCAGCAAGAAAUGAUCUUUGCAUCAGUAUAAGCAGUGUGAAGCCCUCCUAAGAAAUCGACCACCUGUUUGGCUAGAAAAACUCCAUUACUCAUUGCCACACCUUAUACUUUCACCCCUUUCAUUAAAACACAAGCAUUACUUACCCAUUUUUAGACAUAAUUUAUUUUUCUGAUAUCACAUCAUUCAGGGAGGGGGAAAAAAAAAAAAAACACACACACACACACACACAAUUAACUGACUUCAGCACAUAAAUUACAACAAGCUGUCAAUUCACAAAAAUAAGGAAAAUUAACUCAAUCAAGUGAAGUAGGCCACAAAAUGACCUCAAUAAAAUAUCAGGGACCACUAAAAUCGAACCAAAUUCAGUUAAACAAAGAAUCACUCAUCAAAGAUAGGCAAAAGGAAAAAAGAAAUGAAUAACAGAGAAAAUUGCUUAUAAAAAUUCAAUAAAAAAAUAAAAAAAGCUAAUCAUCUAUUUUUGAUUUAGUGAUUUCGUCCGCAUAUAAGACAAAAUAGAAAUUCUGAAAUAUACCUAGGGUUUCUAGCUUUGGAAAUUUACCUUACGAGAAACCAGGCUCUCUGUUGCUAGCGUUCUAACUUUACCACUAUGGCCAAGCGACGCCGAUCAGCUGGGAUGAUCGGAUUUCGCAGCGGCGACGAUGCAAAUGUUUUAUGUUUGGGUUUGACGGUAGACGAAGGAACGUUUAGUGUCUUGGGGGUAAUUUUGGGAUUCUAUUUUUUAUUUUUUUAAUUGAAGUAAAAUGACCACAAGGACCUUGCUAUGUUACAGCUUCUGCAAGUAACAUAGCCAAUGAGAAUCCUCCACUCGUGUUGGUGCUGAUGCAACCAGGGCAAGGCAACUGUUCAGAGAAUCCUCCACUCGUGUUGGUGCUGAUGCAACCAGGGCAAGGCAGCUGUUCAUGCAAAGUGAAAAUGCCGAGGCCGUUAGUUGCAGCUUCUGCAACGUAGCCUUGUCCCAAUAAUUUUAAGUAUCCCCAAGUUGUAACACAUUUAAUGUUCAGAGUAGUUAAACAAUUAAUUUUUCUUUUGCAUAAAAACAGAAUAUAAAUUUGGACACAGAAUUUUAUUAAUAAUAUAACGCUGUUCAAUUGGGCCACAUAAUACAAAGACAAUAAACAAUAAAAAAAAAAAUUUAAAAAGAAGUAAAAAUCUAGUCUGCUUUGCGCUUAUUUCCUUCGAGCAAAAGCACUUUCAGACCUUCAAAACUUCUAACUAAUUAGAAAAUGGAAAGAUGACAACAUAUUUACGAGGACCCUACAGUGGCACCAGAAAUAUAUACAUACAUAUAUAUAUAUAUAUAUAUAUAGACACACACACAGACAUCAAAUGGCCACAACUUCCAGGUUACUCUCAUGAUCGUCAGUUGAACUUGGCUGCAGGUUUUGGAUGUGGUUCGUUUCUGCUUCAAUAAUGUUCUCUUCGUCAACGUUUUCCGCAAUUUCUUGAUUCCGGUCCACACGAGUGAUCAUGAUACGUCGAAUCCAGUUGAAGCAGCGCUUAAACAGGGAAGCUAACGUUGCAUAACAGAGUGAUAAGAUUAUGAGGCAAAAAUAGGGCACCAGGAAGAGAAAUGGAGCCAAAAUGACAGACGCAACCACCGAGAUAGCCAACAGGACAGAGGGUUCUCCACAACUCACGGAAAUGGAGCGGCUCACACUGACAGUGAGUCUGAUAGGUGUGAGGAGGAAGAGCAGUAAUGGCAUGAUGACGGCAGGAAUCAAGAGCCAGAAUUCUAGCUUGAAAAUUGGAUUCAAAAGUAUCUUACUGGUACCAUCCUGGACGUCCCAUGAGUUGCCAUCCUGAUACCUGAGGAACAGGAAAAAGAUGAUAAGGUUUAGCAAAGGCGGAAACAAAUACCUCAAAUCAAUUAACAGAUCCAUGCUUAUGAGGAAGAUCAAUUUGGCAAUGGCAGGGGCUUGAAUUUUGAUUUUAUUUAUUUUCUUUUUUUUUUUUUUUCCUUUCUUUCUCUCUGCUGCUAAAGAUGCCGAGAGCUUGUGUGUGCAAAGGGUAACUGGAGGAUUUAUAGCUCCGGGGAUGUCUACGAAAGUACCCGGAAGGGUUACUAGCUCGAAAUGCUGUGUGUGUACAAAGGCUUGUCUUUUUCUUCAGAUAAAAACAAAAUAGUGCCAUGGUGGACAUGCAAGAUGACAUCACAUCUUGUUUUUCAAAUAAAAAACAAGAUUGCGCCAAGAAUCGUGUUAAGGAUUGUUGCUAGUUAUAAAUAAUCUUGUUAUGUUGUGUCACUAAAAUUAAUAAUUAAAUGGACACAAGUAAUUAGGUGUUUGAUAAAUCAUCUUAAAAAUAAGUGUGUAUCGAUGAUGGCAUUAUAAACUCAUUCUAACCCAGUUUAAGUUAAAAUAAUUUUUCAUUAAACAUUAUUUUUUUAGACUACUAUGACUUUUUUUAUUUCAGCUAAGUAUAUGAAUUUUUGUUAGGGACUAAUACUUUAUUAAGAUUAUAAAGAAUCGUGUUAAGGACCACUAUGACUAUUGAUUAUUUUAUUAAGACUUGUAUGAGAUUUUUCAAAGAUCACUAGGCUCAUAGCUUUCCAUUAGGUGUGAAUGUGAUUGACAAAUUUAUUAUUAAAGUGUUUUCUUGUAUGACAACCAAAAAGAUAUAAGGUCAAAUUGUUUUAACUAGUGCCGACCGUCAACGUGCCAACGUCACGUGUUGGCCAAGUCCUAUUAUCCUGUCCAAAAUUUGGAGAAAUUUUUUAAUUUUAUAAAAUUUUUGGGCUUUCCCUCAUCGGCUAUUUCUUUUCUUCUUUUCUGAUAAAUCUUAUGUGCUAUUCAUUAAUUGCUUUUAUUUAUAUUUUUAAACACUAUUCAACACAAGUUACUUAACAACAAAGGCAUACGCAAAAUUAAAACUUAUUCAGGAUUUAUAGCUUUUGACAAAUCACAAUUUGUCUUUGAGUCUGUGAUGCCGAUGCGGGACUACCCCUGACGAGAUAUGGCUGGAUAUAAAUAUAAAAAUUGCAUUCAGUCUUCUAGUAGGUAGGCAACGAUAUUCUGGAAGGAAAUGUUAUGCGAAUUUUGUGAUCCAAUUUGCCCUGACUUUGGGUCCCUCACCAUUUCAAUUUCAACAAACUACCAACAUACAGAUUUUGUAACUUAAUUAGACCCAAUUAAUACACAUACAUACAUACAUAAAAAUGUAUGCUCAUAGUACAAAUAAAGGCCAUUGGACUUGUUACCAACAGCAAAUGGUGCAUUUCGAUGCCAUUCACGUGUGAAGCAACAUUAUUAUUGUGUCAGUGUUUUCACUUCUGUAGACGAGGGAAGGACAUCUAAGUUUCUUGAUGAUUGACCCGCAUAGCUUUGCUUCAAUUUGGCUAUUGACUACAUAUUAAUCACUUACCUGCUUGCUAAAUCAAGGACUCUAAAUCAUACCAAUCUUUUUCCAUGUAUCUAUUUGCGAAUCUUUGACCAUAGUUAGCGAUGUUAUUUACUUUUUAUCAUAAAUUUACAAAUGCAAAAACUUAAUGCAUUUUAUUUUUUAUUUUUUCCUAAAUGGAACGAUAAUGAAUUUCCAAACCAUGCUUCCAUGCAACUUAGGGAAUCAAGGAGACAAGGACUCGGAGUGGUUUGUUCUGCACUUCCACAAAAGAAGAAGCACUGGAUUUUGCUGACAAAAAACGUCCUUGUUUAUGAUAUCUUUUGGUCUAUCUCAAUUUGGUGUUCUCUCCCUUUUUUCUCUUAAAUGUUUCUAUUCAAGUGAUGCGAUAAAAAUGGCAAACGAGUCCAAGUGUUGAUUCUUUGAUCCAAUAUUGUCAAUCUGUCCGGUUCAAGGAAGCAUAAUUGAACAUAACACGAAAUCACUUAAACUCGAAUUGUUAUAUAUCAAAGGGUAGAUUAUCAGUUAAUAUAUUGUCAAUACUCCUCCUAGAAUAAUUUUUUCAUUAUUUUUAAAUGUACUUUUGCUCAUAUUUAUUAUAAAUUAAAAUAAACCAUAUAAUAGAAAUUAAAAUAAAAAAUUUCAAAAUUAAAAAUAAGAAAUAUAAGUUUCGGUGUGAAUAAAAAUUAAUAAUAAGAUAAUUUUUCUUAUAUUUUUUUUAUUAUUUUUUAAAUAUUUUUCUUAUAAUAUAUAUACAAACACAUACAUGCAUGCAUGCAUGCACACACACACAUAUAUAAGAUAAAUUACCAAACAAAUGACUGAUUUUCUUUUAAAUUUUUGGUGCCGUGGGAGUUUUCGAAUUGUAUGAAAGCAACUUGCGAUAAGUUAUAUAUAUUAAUUUUAAUAGGGCAUGGGAGAUUGACAAUCCUCCCAUAUCAAAUCUAUUUGCAGUUCUUUUUAAUUCUUAUAUUUAUAUGCAUGAUUUUCUUUUCUUUUAUUAACAAAUCUGCGUUAAGGAGGAAAUUUUUUUUCCCCUUACAACGAUACCCUUAAGAUGCCUGCUGCAUGCAUAUUUAGUUAGCUGUUAAUGAUUUACUGUUAAAAUUUAUUUUUUGUUUUUAUUUUUUAAAUUCACUCUAGGUUUUGCAGUGGCAGGAGCAUGGAAAAGUUUGUCGGUUAAGUGAUUCGAAAUUUUUUCUCCUAUUGAUAAAUAACUAAUUAAGUUUUCUCUUUCCUUUUUUUUAAAAAAUUUUUUAAUCCGACCGAUGACUAUUUAAUUGAGUUUCACCAGUUGAAAAGGACUUAUUGGAGUGUAAUAGAUUCAAAGAAAACUUCAAAGGAUAAGUCUAUUAUUGGCAGAUUGACGAUUGGGUUGGAAUAAUCAAAGUAGAAGGAUAAACCAAUUAUCCACGGGCACAAUUAAAAUUUCAAAUAGAUAUAUAUUUAAUUAUGUAAUUGCCUAAAACCUCCCAAGCGUCUUACUUAAUCUGCUCAAAAUAGAAUAUUCUACAGCCACUUUUUUGAUAAAUUGGGUUAUUUAACGCCUAAAAAUAAGCUUCAAUAGAAUUUUCUUACCUAACCACUUAACUCAUAGAUGUAUUAGGUAGGUACUUUCUCCUAAAGCUUAUUUUAAUUGAACAAAACAACUUCACAUCAAAUUUGCAAAGUCAAUAUUCCACAAAAUUUUUCCUUCUCAUGAAUUAAUAACUCUACCAAUAUAAAAAAACAUAUUUCACCUACACGUAUGGAAAAUUUUUUUUAUUGUGUCUGUUUGUGACCAUCAUUAUUAGGUUGAGUUGAGUAUACACGUAUGGAAAAUUUUUUCUAUUGUGUCCGUUUGUGACCAUUAUUAUUAGGUUGACCAUUAUUUUUUCUAUGGUUAUUUUUUUAAUCUUAAAUUUUAAAAAUAAAUGCAAAAUCGUAGUGUAUAAAGCCGAUUUUUUUUUCCCCAUAAUGAAUUUUCAACCAUGCUUCCUUACAACUUAGGGAAUUAAGGAGUUGGGAGUGGUGUGUUCCGCACUUCCACGUCCUUGUUUAUGAGAUCUUUUGGUCCAAUAUGUCAAUUUCAUAUUGUCUCCCUCUCUCUUUUUCUUUUUUUCUUUUUUUUUUUGUCUAUUUAAGGUUUCUAUUCAAGUAAUGCGGUGACAAUAGCAAACAAGUCCGAGUGUUGAUUGUUUGAUCCAAUAUUGUCAAUCUGUCCGGUUGGAAGCAUAAUCUACUCCUCGAAAAUAUAAUUUUACAUUUUUCAGAUAAUCACGAGAUUCCUCUCUCCAUAAAUCUUAUGUUAAUUUGCACACCACAUUACCUUUUCUCAUACCCAAUAUAAUGCACAAAUAAAUCAAUCUCUUUUGAUAUGAAUAUGCAUAGCGACGUUGUUAUGAUCAAGUUAAAAGUUCUAUGAUAAAGAAGAGUUCGCUCUAAUUUCACGUAAAAAAUUGAAUUCAUAAUAAAACUGUUCCAAAUUUUAAAUUAAUGACGAACUUGCUCCAAAAAUUUAGUUUGCUAUAGGGUGAACAUGAUUUUUCUUGCUCAUAAUAUGGCAGCACAAGAGCUAUUCAUCUAUUGCUAUACGUACUAUAAGUGGGCCAGCGGAGGUUCGGAGUGCACACACGUGGCGCACCAACGAGCGGCGUUGCAAAGCACUGAUAUCAUAUCACUCGUGGCCCAUCAGCUACACGAGGGAAUUGUAAGAGAGAUUGUAACAUCUUUCAAGUUUUUUUUUUUUUUUGGUUUGAUAUUCUGGACGAAAACGGUUUACCGUUUAUUGAGAAAACGGCUAACCGUUUAAGUCCAGAGAGCAUGUUUUCUGUUCUGGGUAAAACAGCGUACCGUUUAUGGAGAAAACAGCUAACCGUUUAACUCCAGAGAGCAUGUUUUAUGGUCUAGAGAAAACGGCUCACCGAUUAUUGAGAAAACGGUUAACCAUUUAUGUACAAAGAGCAACGUAUUUGACAUUCUGGAAUAAAACGGCUCACCGUUUAUUGAGAAAACGGUGAACCGUUUAUUUCCAGAAAGGCGUCAACUAGAAACGGUUGACAAGCUUGAAAAUUUCAAGUGUUGAUCGUUGCAAAUUCAAACCAAAAGAGUUUUUUGAAGAAGUACCAUUUCGAAUGGUUGCAUUCUUUUGAAUUAACAUCUUCUUCAUAAAGGAAACAUAUACAAUAAGAUUAAAAUCAGAUUUGUGCAGGUUUAAUAAAUGUUCUGGAAAUACAAUCUUAUUUGCUAAAGAUUGUAUUCAGGAUUUGAUAUAUCUUGGGGGUAAUUUGCCAUUAAAACUCUAUAGCAAACCAAGAUUGGUGAGGGCAAAUAAAACCUUAAAGGAAAGUGUGUAAACACGUCUCAAAUCCUAAGAAAUUUCAUUGUUCUUUGCCUCCAUAUUCUCAUAAUUCACCAACAAUCUUUAAGGUUUUAUUUUGUGCAAAUGGAGGUUGAGAAGAGUUUGACAUCAUUUCUGAAUCCUAGUGUCCAUCUCGAUCGUUUUGAUGGAACUAAUUUCACUCGUUGGAAGGGAAAAUUGUUCUUUCUCCUUACUGUUCUUAAAGUGGCAUAUGUUCUUGAUCCGAAAUUGGAACCAUUUCCAGAACCAAGAGAAGAUGAUACCGAAGUUGUUAAGGCUGCAAGGAAACGUCGUGAAGAUGAUGAAUUGAUAUGCCGGGGUCACAUACUCAAUACGCUUUCUGACAGAUUAUAUGAUCUCUACAAUUCUAUGACUUCUCCGGUGGAAAUUUGGAAUGCUCUUGAAUACAAAUACAAAACGGAGAAAGAAGGUACUGACAAAUUCCUUGUAUCUAAAUAUUUUGAAUUUAUUAUGGUAGACACAAAAUCCAUUCUUGAUCAAAUACAUGAGUUACAAAUUAUUGUUGCUAAGCUUCGAGAGUUAAAAGUUGAAAUUUCUGAAUCAUUUCAAGUUGGGGCUAUUAUUGCUAAAUUGCCUCAAAGUUGGAAUGAUUAUAGAAAGAAACUCCUUCAUAGUAAAGAGAACAUAACUUUAGAAGAAUUGCAAAAACACUUGGUAAUUGAAGAAGAGACUAGGUCUCGUGAAUCCAAGGAUAAGCAUGAUUCUACUAAAGUUAAUGUUGUUGAAGCUAGUAAAUUCUCAAAGAAUUUUAAAGUCAAGAAUGACAAGAAAUUCAAGAAGUCCAGCACACAAAAGUUUUCUGGAAAUUGUUUCUUUUGUGGUAAGAAAGGCCAUCGCCAAAGUGAUUGUAGAUUCAAGAAGAAAAAGGAAGAAGUGAAUUCCCAUAAAGCUAAUGUUAUUGAAAACAAAUCUGAAGAGAUUUGUGCUAUGGUUUCUGAAAUGCAAAUUGGCAUGAUUACCGAAACCAAUAUGGCUGAAACUAAGUCCUAUGAUUGGUGGCUUGAUUCGGGUGCAACAAUUCAUGUUUGUAAUGAUAAGAAAUUUUUCUUAUCAUACAAAGAAGAAACGGAAGGACAAAUGGUUCUCAUGGGGAACAAUAAUGCAGCCAUAGUAGCAGGGAAAGGAGUAGUUGAGAUCAACUUCACUUCUGGAAAGAAAGUCACAUUGUAUAAUGUCUUUCAUGUACCUUCCGUUAGGAAGAAUCUUAUUUCUGCUAGUUGUAUGUGUAAGCAUGGGCUUAAGAUUGUGCUUGAGGGUAAUACUUGUAUUGUGUCAAAGAAUGGAUUAUUUGUUGGGAAAAGGGUAUUCUUGUGAUGGAAUGUACAAACUCAGCAUUAAUAAUAAUAAUAUCAACUUAGCUUAUAUUGUUGAGUCUUGUGAUGUUUGGCAUGCUAGAUUAGCACAUUUGAACUUUAGAUCUUUGAAAUACAUGUCUAAGCAUGGUUUGAUUAAUUGCAAUGAUGUUAAAGGUCAUAAGUGUGAAAUCUGCAUCCAAGCUAAAAUAACUAAGAAACCUUUUCCUAAAGCUGAACGAAAUACUCAAAUAUUGGAUUUGAUACAUACUGAUAUUUGUGAGUAUAAUGGCAUUUUAACAAGAGGAGGUAAGAGAUACUUCAUCACUUUUAUUGAUGAUUGUUCUAGAUACACUUAUGUGUAUUUACUUAGAACAAAAAGUGAAGCUUUUGAUAAAUUUAAAAUUUUCAAAGCUGAAGUUGAGAACCAAAAAGAUAAGAAAAUCAAAAUGGUUCCUAGUGAUAGAGGUGGUGAAUAUUUCUCAAUUGAAUUUAAUAAAUAUUGUGAAGAAGUUGGAAUUAUUCACCAAAGAUCAGCUCCAUUUACUCCUCAACAAAAUGGUUUGGCUGAGAGGAAGAAUAGGAUCUUCACGGAUAUGAUAAAUUCCAUGAUCCUUAAUGCAAAACUACCAAAUAAUUUGUGGGGGGAAGCAUUACUCACUGCAUGUCAUAUUCAUAACAGAAUUACAUCUUUGAAAACACAUAUAUCUCCUUAUGAAAUUUGGAAAGGAAGAAAACCAAACUUGAUGUAUUUAAGGGUCUGGGGUUGUUUAGCUUUUUAUAAAAUACAUGACCCUAAGUCAUCAAAGUUGAGUGCUAGAGGUAUAAAAAGUGUUUUCGUAGGAUAUGCUGAAAAUUCCAAGGCUUAUAGGUUGUUAGAUUUAGAUUCUAAUGUGAUUGUGGAAUCUAGAGAUGUUGAAUUUAUUGAGAAUAAAUUUCAACAUGAUUCUAAUAUUGAAUCAGAAUCAAUUAUUGAUCAACCAUGUGUUAAUACUCUUGUUACCUCCACUAAUAAUAAUAAAAGGAAAGAGUCUACGACAUCUUUCGAACCAAGGAGGAGUCAACGUGAAAAGAAAGAUAAGAGUUUAGCUCCGGAUUUUAUUUCAUCACAAGCACUACUCUUCUUGGUUGAAGGGGAUAGAAAGAAUGUACUUAACAAAGUACCAUUGUUGUUAAAUAUUGAAAAAGAUCCAAAGACAUUUAGCGAGGCUAUGUCUUCUAGAGACGCUUCUUUUUGGAGAGAGGCAGUAAAUGAUGAAAUGGAUUCGAUUAUGUCGAAUCAAACAUGGGUCUUGGUUGAUCUUCCUCCAGGAUCUCAACCAAUUAGCAGCAAAUGGGUAUUUAGAAGAAAGUACAAUAAUGAUGGUUCUUUGCAAACUUUUAAGGCUAGAUUAGUAGCCAAAGGGUUUAAGCAAAGAAAUGGUAUUGACUAUUUCGAUACAUAUGCUCUGGUAGCUAGGUUAACUUCUAUAAGAGUGCUAUUUGCAAUUGCUUCAUUGAACAAUUUAUAUGUGCAUCAAAUGGAUGUUAAAACAGCUUUUCUUAAUGGUGAUCUUGAUGAAGAAAUCUAUAUGGAACAACCUGAGGGAUUUGUUUUGCCUGGAAAUGAGAAAAAGGUAUGCAAGUUAAUCAAAUCUCUUUAUGGCUUAAAGCAAGCACCAAAACAAUGGCACGAGAAGUUUGAUUCGGUAAUUUUAUCACAUGGUUUUAAGCAUAAUAAUGCUGAUAAAUGUGUAUAUUUUAAAUAUACGAAUGAUUUUGGUGUGAUUAUAUGCUUGUAUGUUGAUGACUUGCUUAUCUUUGGAACAAAUAUACAAGGAGUAGAUGAUACAAAGAAGUAUUUAACUUCACAAUUUAAGAUGAAAGAUCUUGGUGAAGUAGAUACUAUCUUAGGUAUCAAAGUGAAUAAACAUAGUGGGGGUUACUCGUUGUGUCAAUCUCAUUAUAUAGAGAAAGUGCUUCUUAAAUUCAAUUAUUUGAAAUUUAAAGAAGCUAAUACCCCAUAUGAUUCUAGUAUUAAAUUACUAGAGAAUUCAGGCCGAAUAGUAGCUCAACUAGAAUAUGCUAGUGCUAUUGGUAGCUUGAUGUAUGCUAUGCAUUGUACGAGGCCUGAUAUAGCAUUUGCAGUUUGCAAAAUGUCAAGAUUCACGAGUAACCCUAGUGUUGAACACUGGAAAGCAAUUGGUAGGAUACUUGGUUAUCUUAAAAGGACCGUUAAUUUGGGUUUGUUUUAUAAUGAUUAUCCUGAAGUACUGGAAGGAUAUUCAGAUGCUAGUUGGGUAACCAAUACAAGAGACAAUAAAUCCACUUAUGGUUGGAUUUCUACAAUCGCUGGAGGAGCGGUUUCUUGGGCUUCAAAGAAACAAACGUGCAUAACUCAUUCAACAAUGGAAAGUGAGUUUAUAGCACUUGCAGCUGCAGGCAAAGAAGCAGAAUGACUGAGAAAUUUGUUGUUUGAUAUAAUGUUGUGGCCACAACCGAUGCCAUCUAUUUCUUUGUACUGCGAUAGUGAAGCUACAUUGUCUAGAGCUUAUAAUAAAGUGUAUAAUGGAAAGUCUAGACAUAUUAGCUUAAGACAUGAAUAUGUGAAACAAUUAAUAGCAGAUGGUGUUAUUAAUAUUGUUUAUGUUAGGACUAAUAAAAACCUAGCAGAUCCUUUAACAAAAGGUCUUUCAAGAGACUUAGUUAAGGAUACAUCUUUUGGAAUGAGAUUGAAACCUUUACACAAUAAAGUCACCAACGACGGUAACCCAACUAUGUAGUAGUUAUACCGCUACUCCAUAGUUAAAUGGGUAAUAACAAGUUGUUGUUAUGUGACUGGAUUGGCACCGAGUAAUAAAUAAUCCCAUUCGAGAUAUUCGGUGCAAAUAGCUACGAGGUUGAGGUUGAGUAUUUAUUCUUAAUGAAGUUCAAGUCUUAUAGUAGCUAAAGACAUGAUUUGAAACUUCACCUAAGUGAACAUAAGAAAUGGUGCUGUUUCUAACAAGGUCCUGGUUUAAUCUUGUAAAUGUUCAUGAAUCCAAGAUAGAGCACAAGGCCGGAAUAGUGCUAACUAUUGGAACACAACUUUGAAAUCUGGGAUAACUUAUAUGUGAUGUAUCUCCGGUAUUUACUUAAGAGACAAAGUUUAAUGCUUAGCACACUAUUGUCUUGUAAAUGCUUUGAAAUACACUCACUAAUUAAAGGUUAAAAUCGAAAGAUACAUUUUUGUAUGUAUAAGUUUAUUAUUAAUAAAUCUGAAAAAUAUUACAAUCUAGUGGGGAUUGUAAGAGAGAUUGUAACAUCUUUCAAGUUUUUUUUUGGUUUGAUAUUCUGGACGAAAACGGUUUGCCGUUUAUUGAGAAAACGGCUAACCGUUUAAGUCCAGAGAGCAUGUUUUCUGUUCUGGGUAAAACAGCGUACCGUUUAUGGAGAAAACGGCUAACCGUUUAACUCCAGAGAGCAUGUUUUAUGGUCUAGAGAAAACGGCUCACCGGUUAUUGAGAAAACGGUUAACCGUUUAUGUACAAAGAGCAACGUAUUUGACAUUCUGGAAUAAAACGGCUCACCGUUUAUUGAGAAAACGGUGAACCGUUUAUUUCCAGAAAGGCGUCAACUAGAAACGGUUGACAAGCUUGAAAAUUUCAAGUGUUGAUCGUUGCAAAUUCAAACCAAAAGAGUUUUUUGAAGAAGUACCAUUUCGAAUGGUUGCAUUCUUUUGAAUUAACAUCUUCUUCAUAAAGGGAAAGAUAUACAAUUAGAAAUAUCAUCAGAUUUUGCAAGUUUCAUAUAUGUUCUGGAAAUACAAUCUUAUUUGCUAGAGAUUGUAUUCAGGAUUUGAUAUAUCUUGGGGGUAAUUUGCCAUUAAUACUCUAUAGCAAACCAAGAUUGGAGAGGGCAAAUAAAACCUUAAAGGAAAGUGUGCAAACACGUCUCAAAUCCUAAGAAAUUUUCUUUGUUCUUUGCCUCCAUAUUCUUAAUAUUCUCUAACAGGAAUAGUCCCAAAGCCGAAGGAGGUGGCUGAGAAAUGUAACAGCAACUAUAUUACAUUUUACAUGUUAUUAGGUUUAUCGGUUUCUUUAACUUUAAUACAGAUGGCCGGCUAGAGAGUGAGACCCACAUGACUAACUGAGGAUUAUUCCAAAUUAGAGUUAAUUAUAAUAAUACAGUCUUUAAUUCAACAAUGUUAAUUGUUAAUAGAUAAUGUUAGGUCUGAGUCACUUUGUUGAGUUUUUCAGGGAACUUUGAUAUGGAGAAAGAUGUGCAGUUGCUGGCCCUGAUUAAUUAAAUUAUAUACUACUAAAUAUUUCCUUCCCCCACCUCCAAAUUGCAUAUAUGAUAACCAAACUACUAAUUAAUAAUAAUUAUAAACGAAAACAUUGACAAUUUUAAAGGCUGUCAUUUUCUUCGAUCAAAUUACCUCAGCCGGAAAAAAAUUGAUUUGGAAAUUAAAAUAUAUAGUCAAUACUCCUCGAAAAAUAAUUUUACAGUAUUUCCAUUAUUUUUAAAUAUACUUUUGUUCAUAUUUAUUAUAAAUUAAAUAAAUCAUAUAAAUAGAAAUUAAAAUUAAAAAUUUGAGAAUUAAAAAAAAAUAAGUUUCGGUGUGAAUAAAAAAUAAUAAUAAGAUAACUCUUUCUUGUACUUUUUGUUAUUUUUUAAAUAUUUUUCUUAUAACACACACACACACACACACACACACACACACACACACACACAUAUAUAUAUAUAUAUAUAUAUAUAUAUAUAUAAUUUUCAAGAUAAAUUACCAAACAAAUGACUUAUUUUCUUCUAAAUUUUUGGUGCCGUGGGAGUUUUUGAAUUGUAUAAAACAACAAGUUAUAUGUGAUAUAUAUAUAUAUAUAUAUAUAUAUAUAUAUAUAUAUAUAUAUAUAUAUAUAGAUUUUAAUAGGGCAUGGGAAAUUGACAAUCCUCCCAUAUCAAAUCUAUUUGCAGUUCUUUUUAAUUCUUAUAUUUAUAUGCAUGAUUUUCUUUUCUUUUCUUUUAUUAGCAAAUCUGCGUUAAGGGAAGGAAUUUUUUUUUUUUUUUUCACUUACAACGAUACCCUUAAGAUGCCUGCUGCUUACAUAUUUAGUUAAGAGUAAGCGCAAGGCCUUAGGACAACCUUUUUAUCCUAUCAAUGUGACCGCAAUAAUCUCUCAGAACCCGUAAAUCAGUACGGAGAUAUAAGAGAUGUGAAGGAAUUAAGCAUCUUUAAAAAAGAAAAAAUAUUUAAUGCAUUAGUUCUUUUGGAUUUUCAGCAACUUGCAUUGCCCAAAUCAUUAUCUCAAUUUACCCCCCUCGUUAACAAUAUAAGCUUUCGCACACGAUCCAAAGUUAUUGAUGAUUGACCAGCAUACAUAUCUGUUUUCUUGAAAACUUUUUCUGAAUGAUGGAUUUGAUCCUACAACGCAUCAGUUCAUUACCCUUCCCCAUAAGCUACAUGGUUUUAUCAUUUGAUGAUGACAUUUUAAUAUGUAAUUUCUUUCUUCCAAGACAUUCCUUUGCGACUGAUACUACACAAUCCAUAAUUGCAUUCCCAUCAUACAAGGGUCAUCCACCCUUAAAAAGAGGAAGGGGGGAAAAAGUAUAUGAAACUUAUUAAAUGUUUAAUUAGUAGAAAAUCUUGGGGAAAAUACUUGAAAAAGCAUAAAUUGUGUAUGACAAGAAACAACCAUGCAUGUUUAAUCUUUUGCAAGCAUAGCUCAUAUAACAACUUUAAACAUUUUCCUUGCAAAAAUAUGAAUGAAUCUACAAACACCUGAAAAGUUCAACCAAUCAGCGCAGUUUACUGAUGUUAAAAGAGACAUUCAAUCAAUUUGCCGGACUUCCAAACUUCAAUUUAAUGCAAUCACAGUCAUCACCCUUCUAUCCUUACAAUAGGAUUAGAAUUUCUAUUUAUUGUAUAUUUAACUGCAGUUCUAGACUCUGUCUGCAAAAGUAAAACAGAUAAUUCUUGUUAAUUUCCCUGGAUGAUCAGUAUGCUCUCAAUCUCUAUGCUUAGUCAUAGAUAUACAACCAUGUCAAAAGCUAGCCCUUCCCAACUAAGUCCAAACGGAUGACAAAAAGUGAACCUUGUCCCACUGACAAGAAACUUGGUCUUCCCUCUUAUCUUCAAAAAUGCAAUCUUGCCGAGUAACCCAAAAAGGAGCUAGAGCCAGAGAACCUUAGCUUUCUAUCCUUGCCCGAAAGCAAAACCAUUUUUCAUUAGCAAAGAGCUACAAGAACUUGGAGCAUCCUAAAACCAAUAACAUAAUUGAGAAUCAAUGCAUGUAUCCGUAAGCAUAGUACCCAAACCAAUUUUAAAUUUCUGAUAGGCUUACUUAAUUGCCCAAAUUCUACCAAGCUUUUCAGUUAACCUGCUCAAAAUACAAUCCGCAGGUACAUUUAAAUAAAUUGGGUUAUUUAACGCCUAUAAUCUUUGAAACCUCAUCAAAUUGCUACCAGAAGUAAUCCAUACCAAACAAUCAACACAUGAAAUACAGGACCUUCAGACAGAAGAAAGAUGGCCGAAGAAGAAAUUAAAAACCCAUAGAAGCACUAAAUACUUCUCCUAUUACUAAUAAUGGAACAAAACAACAUCAAAAUACGCUCAAUAUACCACUAGAGGAAUAAAUCCACACCAAUGACAAGCUAAAUAUGACAUCUUUCUAGAAUUAAUAAUUCUGCAACCAAAAAAGCACAGUAAUUAUCUGCAUUUUAAAUAAUCCUAAAAACAGGACAAUGACUUAUUUAUGUCAUAUAAAGGACCUACAAACACUUAUCUUUUUAUCUAUUUUAUUUCCAAGCAAAAACAACAUUUUUCUAUUCUUUCUUCAACUGGAAAACAGGUUAUGUUACGGUAGUCACUAGACAGUAGGCAAAACACUUGAUAACUAAAUAUAUAAAAAGAAAUAAAAAAGAGUUAAAAAAAAUUACAAAAGUUAAAAUCGAAAAAACAAAAAGAUUAAAAAUGAAACUGCUUGUGAAAAAUGAAAAUAUCAAACCCCCUUCUUCAGAACAAUUCAAAGAGGGAGUUGCUGGUUCUUAAUGCAACAGUAAGUAACAUGCCACUGAAACCCCAACCUUUAAACAUAGAACUUGAACUCAGGAAGAGAUAAAAGAAAAAGACAUAGAUGACUGACUGAGUCCGACUGAAAGAGAGUUAAAAAGAAAUAAAAAAGAGUUAAAAAAGAAAUAAAAAAGAGUUAAAAAAAUUACAAAAGUUAAAAUCGAAAAUACAAAAAGAUUAAAAAUGAAACUGCUUGUGAAAAAUGAAAAUAUCAAACCCCCUUAUUCAGAACAAUUCAAAGAGGGAGUUGCUGGUUCUUAAUGCAACAGUAAGUAACAUGCCACUGAAACCCCAACCUUUAAACAUAGAACUUGAACUCAGGAAGAGAUAAAAGAAAAAGACAUAGAUGACUGACUGAGUCCGACUGAAAGAGAGUCGCCAAUAUACCGUACUGGUCAGCUCCCAGUUGAAUUUGCAAGGUUGGGUUCGAGUCCCAGUCCCACAGGUAGUGAAAGUAGGUAGGUAUCGUAAGUUCCUACUAACCAGCUGGAGUAUCAAAACCUGUUUGUAUAAGCCUGCACAAUACAAGUUAAUCAUCAGCAAAUGAGGGGGCUGCAGCGAGAAACACAGAUCAUGUAUUAAUUAUAAAACAUGUAAAAUUAACGUAUAAUAUAAGUCAUAAAACCCUUUUUCUUUAGAGAUAAUCUCCCCAUAGCAACUAUAAAUAUGGAAAAAAAAAAUGACCAAAGAGUAGAACAGUCCCCUCCUUUUCUCCAAACAAAUACAACCAUUUCAGUUCACACCUAAGCUGAGAACCAUUCUAGUUUCAAUUUUCAACCAAUGAAACAACCAUAGUAUUCUUAUAUAAAAAAAAUGAAAUAACCAUAGAAUAAAAUAAUUAUACUCUAAUUCAAAUAUUGCUUCAGAAUAUAGACUCAAUUGGUCAAACCUAUGGAAUUGGAAUGAUGCAUUUAUUUAACCCAAAAGGUGAAAAUCAAGCUUAAGGUUCUUACAUAUCGAAAUGAUAAAAUUUCAUUCAUUCUGAACACGAGAUGCAACUUUUCAAGUUAUUCCAAGAGAAAACAUUAAAAGAAAUUUGUCCAUCCGACGUAGGCUAAAUCAUACGGAUUAUUAACAUUGAUAUUUUUUAUUAGCUGAAUUGAUAACUUUUGCACCCUAACUUAAGGGCACAUGUGAUAAGAAAUUUUUUUCUACAUCAGGCGCAAGUAUAAGCUUUUAACAAUUAAGCUUUGACUGUUUGCUUACAAGAUCAAACAUAUACUAAUAGAGAUGAAUAAAAUCCAGCACUUCAAGAAAAAUUUGACAUUAUAUCCCCUAAAAUGUGGAUAUUAUCCAAUAUAUCAAACCAGCAAUUUUUAUACUCAGCUGCUUAAAACUUCAAAAACAAAAAAUAAAAUAAAAUAAAAUAAAUAAAAUAUAAUAAAACAUAACCUUCUCAAGUCAACUCUACUAACCUUCUCAAGUCAACUGUACUAUGACAAUUGGUUAAUACGACAUUUGGGGCCUCCAGGACCCUAUUACUACAACACUAACAGAUAUAAGUGCAUCCUACCAACGUAGCUUAGUCAUUCUAAAUACAUGUAUUAAAAAGCAUAAUAUCUACAAAAAGGUAGCUUACUAAGUUUACUAGGCCAGCAAUGCCAAAGCACAACCAGAACAGUAACAAAAAUAGACGAAGACGGUUCUUUAUUACAGAACACAACUUUCAAAAGAUGCAAUCUCCAUGUUAAACCCCAAAUCAAAAUCAAUCCUCCACUGACCACAAUACUUUUCACCAUCAUUGCCCAAACCUGAAAAGUAAGGGGUGAGCUAACGCACAGUAUGUAGUUACACACAACAAAGGAUCGUUUUAUUUUUUUAUCUUUUAUUGUUUUUAAACACCCAAAUAAUUCACACAACUUUGGUACAUUUCUAACAUAGACCAUUUAUAUGUAUAUAAAUAUAUAUAAAAUAUUUAUUUCUUAAACUUUUUAAGUUUGAAAGUUGGUGUUCAACAGAAAUGUCAUAAGACAAGAUCAUAACAACAUACACACAUACAAAUAUCAUGUUGCUCGGUAGUUACGUGUAAAGAAAUCCUAAAAUUACUCUUUCAAUAAUACAAAAUAAAAACAUGCCUGACAAGUCAGUAAGAUGUAAAUCCUCAGCAAACAUUUUCCCCCAAUAUUAAUUUUGAAAAGAUAUACCCUACAUGCUUUUGGAGCAUUAUUCCCAAGGCCACCGCCCAUGAUUUCUUUUGUAGACUUUCACCGCGGGAUAGAAAUCUGACAAAGGUCAAUCCAGCACAGCAUACUUUUGGGGCAUUAUUCCCAGGGGCCAUCGCCCAUAAUUUCUUUUGCGGGCUUCACCGCGGGACAGGAACAUGUCUAUCACCAAUCAACCUUCUCAAACCUCAGCUUAAAUAAAAGGAAUAAAAAUGAUUAAUUCAUUCAAUUGCAUCAAUGUAAGUUUCCUUACUAUGACACACCUAGGAAUGGCAAUGGGCACCGCCCGCAGCGGGUUUGUCAUUACUAAACCCAAACCUGUACAAAAUUUAAAUUACCAUCCGCAGCGGGUUUUAACAAUUACCAAACCCGCAAUGGUAUCCGGCGGAUUUUUUACGGGUUUCCGUAUUUAAAAUCAAAAAUGUUUAAUAUAUAAAUUUAUAAUAAUAACCUCAAAUUCCAUAUAACAUACUCAAUUUUAUAUUUAAAUAAUGUAAAUGAAAAAUUAAAAUUUCCACAUCAAUUCAACAUAAAUUCUCAAAUUAAGUAUAAAUUACACAAAUCCAUUUAAAAAACACAAACUAGUAUCUAAAAAUAAUAAUUACAUUUCAUAUUAUCAUUUAAAACAAGCUCCAAGAAAAGAUAUUCAUUUCAUUCACCACCAUAAGCACGCAUCCAACACAAUGCUUAUAAUAAUAAUUAAGAUUAAUAUUUUCAAAUACUAAUUCGAAGGAAAAUGCCUUUAGUUUUCUUUAGAUUAUGACUUUAGAAUAGGAUAUAGGCCACAUACACACAUACACAACUUUGAUCCUUUGGCUAUUUGGUAAUUUAAUUAAUGACAUUAUUUUCUUUAUACAUUUUUAGAUUAAAAUUAAAUUAAAAAUAUUUGAAAAAAAUAUUGCGGGUUUGGUGGAUAUCCAUGCGGGUAUCCACCGGAUAUAAGGUUAAUACCAAACCCACCCGCAUCCAUGUGCGGGUUUUAAUUUAUAAUACUAAACCCGCCCGCAACGGGUAAAAUUACCCGCAACGGGCGGGUUUUGGCGGGUGGGUUUGUGCGGGUUUACGGGUUUGCGGGUACAAUUGCCAUCCCUAGACACACCAGACCCAUGAUACUUCUCAAUAACAAUAGUUAUAGAUAACAGAAUCUCAGCACAUCCCAAGUUUCACAACACAUCCACAAACUUAAACCGCAAACAAAGCACCAUAUCAUUGCAGGAUACAUAAACACAAUUCAGCUACACUUCCUAUUCCAAACUUGGCUAUAUCGCCGUUAAUGUUUAAUUCUCAUUCAUGAAUGUAUCAACCAAAUUAACUAUCAUAACUGAUUCAAGUAAUAACAAUACAUGGUCUUCAAUUAAAACUCGCAAUCCUGUUGAAAAUUCUAACAUGUCAAUUUUUUAUUUUAGCCACAUAGUCAUGUAAUUAAAUGGCUACCCAUACACCCACUGCAUUAAUUAUUAAAGGAAGCAAUUAAGCCAUUAGUACAUUAAAUCUAAGCAAAACAACUUAUAAGGACCCAAAAAAAGGAAAAAAAAAAAAGAGAAAAAAAUUACAUGAUCAAGCAAGAAAAACAACCUGAUUUUUCAGUUUUGAGUAACAAAAUCACUCAAUUGCAUAUAAACACCUACCUUGAUUCUGCAACAACAGCUCCUAGUUCUCCAAAGUCUUCUCUUCUUCUCUAACUUGGCUUCCUGUUGGUAAUACAAAAAUUAACCAACCAUACUGCCAAUAAUUUAAGAAUCCCAAAUUUAACAUAGUCCUAAACUUGCUGCGAGUUGCAGCAGCAAAAAGGAAACAAUUAAGAAAAGUAAGUGAAAAAAAAAAUCCAUUAAUAAAAGUAACAAGAUUUGAAAACUGAACCAUGCAUGCACAGAAACUUACCUACACCAGGUCUAAACAAUUAGAGUUAUGAGAAAAUCCAGCCAAACUCAUGUUGGUUUCCCAGAAAUUUCAUACUUGCUGUUGUUCUCAGCUCCUUUAAAUGCACAACUAUUCUCUCUAACACCCAAUUGCUCACUUUCCCUCCAUUUCUUUAUCUUCCUCUUCUCUCUUAUUUUAUUGGUAAAUUAUCAGCCAUAUACUCUUAAAUAACAUCCGUAUCAAACGUGUGUGAAUAUUUUUCAAGUGUAUCACUCGUAUACCCUAAAUUGACAAAAUACUUCUGCCGUCCACUAAUCCGUUAACUUCCGUUUGCAAGCGCUGACAUCAUAAGGGUAAUUUAGUCUUUUAAGAUUGACAAAACUUUGAUUAAAAAAACGAAAUGUCAUCGCAUUUACUAGUAAAAAAUGACAUGUCAUAUGAUAUAUAUUAAUAAAAAUGACAUGUCAUCCCAUUUAUUAGAUAAUUGUUAAUAAUUGCUAAAAAAAAAUUACUUUACAACUGAAUCUACUCCUCCAAAAUUUAACCUAAAUUUUUUAAAAUCUACUCCUCCAAGCUCCAACUGGAAAUUUUUAUGGUAUAAUAUGUAUAAUUGUAAAUAAUAUGUUGUUAAUAAUUUUUUAUGGUAUAAUAUGAAUAUUUUUUAUGGAUAAUUGGUAAUAAUAUGUACCAUUAAUAAUUCAUUUUUUUAAUAAAAAAAUAUAUUGUUAAUAACAAAAUAAAAAAAAAUUAUGUAUUGAAAAUUUACGUUAAUUUUUGGGGUAAAUUUAUAUUUUUAUCUCAUUUUGAGUUUCAAGAGCAAAAUAGUCAAUUUGCCAUAAUUCUGUUAACUUUCUAAUGGAAGUUAACGGAUUGGUGGACGGUAGAAGUGUUUUGUCAACUUAGGGUAUACGAAUGAUACACUUGAAAAGUAUUCACAUACGUUUGAUACAGUUGUCAUUUAAAGGUAUAUGACUGGUAAUUUCCUUUAUUUAUUUAUUUUUUUCUCGUUCUCUCUCUGUUAUUCCGAGGUAUCCACUUUAUUGAGUAGAAUGCCUUCCGCUGUGGGUUAUCAACCCACCUUUAGUACCAAAAUGGGUUCUUCACAAUAAAGAAUUCCCUUCUCCCUCUUUUUUUUAUUAUUAUUCUUAUUAUUAUUACCCGAACAUUGAUUUUGUUUGUUACAGGAACUUAACCAAAGAAUAAAGACACCUUAUAAAUUGGUUGUGGGCUGGGCUUAGUUAUUGAUUAAAAAAAAAGGAAAUUAUCAGGUAUAUACCUUUAAAUGACACCCGUAUCAAACGUGCUACAAUACUUUUUAAGUGUAUCACUCGUAUACCCUAAGUUGACAAAAUACUUCUGCCGUCCACUAAUCCAUUAACUUCCGUUAGAAAGUUAACAGAAUUGUGGCAAAUUGACUAUUUCGCCCUUAAAACUCAAAAUGAGAUAAAAAUAUAAAUUUACCCCAAAGAUUAACGUAAAUUUUCAAUACACAAUUUUUUUUAUUUUGUUAUUAACAAUACAAUUUUUAUUAAAAAAAUAUGGAUUAUUAAUGGUACAUAUUAUUAACAAUUAUCUGUAAAAAAAUCCAUAUUUUACCUAAAAACUUAUUAACAACAUAUUAUUUACAAUUAUACAUAUUAUACCAUAAAAAAUUUCAGUUGGAGCUUGGAGGAAUAGAUCUUCAAAAAUUUAGGUUAAAUUUUGGAGGAGUAUAUUCGGUUGUAAAGUAGCUUUUUUUUUAAAGUAAUUAUUAACAAUUAUCCAAUAAAUGGGAUGACAUGUCAUUUUUAUCAAUAUAUAUCAUAUGACGUGCCAUGUUUUACUAGGUAAAUGAGAUGACAUAUUUUUUUAAAAAGACUAUAUUACCCUUAUGAUGUCAGCGCUUGCAAACAACAGUUAACGGAUUGGUGGACGGUAAAAGUGUUUUGUCAAGUUAGGGUAUACGAGUAAUACACUUGAAAAGUGUCGUAGCACGUUUGAUACUGGUGUCAUUUAAGGGUAUAUGGCUGAUAAUUUCUUAAAAAAAAAACAACAAAGGAAGUUUAGAGCAAUUAAAACAAUGACAAUAAUAAUAAAAUAACAUAUAUAAUUAUAAAUAAGUAGAUAAAUUAAACUUAGGAUAAAUUUGGGGUGUUACAAUAACUCCCCAAGCCACCACUGUAUUUAACUGAUAGACAAGAAUAAAAGAAAAAAAAAGAAUUAAAAAAGUUGAUAUAAGGAACCCUGUGGUCAAAUGUUAAAUCUGACUUCUUCGAACGAGUUAAAGGCCAGCAAUGAAAAUUUCACGUAAAAGCAACCGGUAUACUUGUAAAAUAGCUUAAAUUAGAAGUUUUCUCACUCGUUCAGGAGAGACACCAACAAUAUCCAAAACUUUCAAAUACAACUUAAGUUACACUAAAUCAUAAUCAUUUCAUUCUUUAUCUAAAUAUCUAAAUAUGUUUACGAGGGGAAGAUGCCAACAAUCUUCAGCUAAUCCUCUUGAACACACCCUUUUCUCCUUUGUUGACAAAUAAGAUUACUGUGGGGAUCUCAUAAUCGGGCUUUGAUCUCAAUUGAGUUUAUAAGCCUUUGUCAGUUGGGCUGAAUCCAAUUGGGAUUUUUAGAUUUAUAGAAAUCCAUGGUCUAAUUCAACCUAAGAACUAGUUCAAAAAUAAGAAAUUCCUCAAGUUUACAUUGUUAGCCUAGUCACUGUUCUCCUCCGAUGUGAGAUGAAGUAUCCUCAACAAGAUUCCCAUUGUGCGGCGCAGUUCGGAGAUGAUACAUGUAAUGGUAGGCAAUCUGUGGGGUUGAAUCCAAUUUGGUCACCGCCAUCUUCAAGCUGGUUCAAAUUGAAUAUCAUUGAUGCUGCAAUGAAUGAUGAAUCAAACGGGUGGGGAUAGCAGGACUUAGGCGGCCACAGGAUUCUGGGCCUAUUCAUUUCUCGGGCCGUCUUCGUAAUGGACCUUUUGGUCUUCUUAAUUAGGCCCGGGCUUGCUGUAAUCCCUCAAAGCAAAUGUUUUUGGCAGCUUGGGUCCUGCGUUUCAAAUAUGCAAGUCAUGUUUUGUUAAUCAAUUGUCAACUGUACCAUUUACUCUGAAAUAAAUUGAAAUUUCAUUUUCACAUAGAGAGAUUUCAGUAAAGUAGUACAUCCUCCAAACACACAUCAACAUCAAAAUUGAUUAAAUUAUUAUAUUUUCAAAUUAUGAGAGGAAGAAAAAAUUGUUUAUAGAUGCAAUGUAUAUUCAUUCUUUGCUAAAUCCACAGGUAAUUAAAAGUUUCAAAUAUAUAUAUACACGUAAUUGCCUAAAGUCCACCAAGCUUCUAAUUUAAUCAACUCAAAAUAAAGUUUUCACAACAGUCACAUUUUUUAUAAAUUGGGAUAUUAGCCCCUUUAUUCUUCGAAAGCUUAUUGUUGGAAUUGGUUGCUGAGUUUCCAAUUAUCAAUUGAACUGUAGUCAUUAACACACACCCACAUAUGCUGAUGGUACAGUCAGAUCGAAUCUGUUAUAAACUAAUUAAAUUACAAUAUGUUUCUUUUACCAGCUGUAUGAUUGACUGUUAAUUAAUGACCAGAGAAGAAAUUAUAAGUACUCCUCCAAAAGCUAAGAUUAAUGGAUCAAAACAACUUCAGAUAUUUCCCAAUAAGCCACUAAAUCAGGAUCAAAUUCACAAGUCAGUAUUCCUCAAGAUUUUUCCAUUUCAUGAACUAACAGGUCUGCCGUUACUGGAUUAAAAGCUAAUAAAAAUUAAUUCCUUAGCAUGCAUUCUAAAUCAUCCUUAAAUUUUAUAUGUUCGGUUCCAGCUGCAGGCAUAACUUCGGCUGAAGUACAGAAAAAAAAUAAAAUAAAAAUUAGAAAAGAAAGAGUAAAAAUGAAAAAGAAAGAAAAUAUCGAUCAAAACGUACGACUCUUUGACCAAACAAGUCAACUGUCACAUGCACACGGGGCCCAUUUUUGAAAACUUUUUUCUACUUGUCUGUAUACAAGUUUGCAAGCUUGAUGUAGGCAAUGAGACUAAAGGCAAGUGAGUUGCAAAGAGCCCUGAAGAGGUGAAGGCGGUGAGGUCAGGUUUUUUAUUUUAAAUUUAUGAAAGUCAAAUAUUAAUUUAUAAAGCCGAACGGGUAUCAUAUACGGGGUCCAGCUACCGGGCCCCCAGGACACCGUGCCUCCUUCAUUUGUCAUUAUCUAGUCCAGCCGUUAGAUUAUAAAGAGUGUUAUCCAACGGUUGAGAUUUUAGUCACGAACAAUGUGUGAAGCGGGCAAUUGCCCAAACCCAUUUGAGGUACAAGAGUAGUUUUAGGGAUCUGUAAAUCCUUAACCGUAUUUGGCCUGACGUGAGCGAUUUCCCUAAAGCAACCACCAGUUUCGUAAUUGUGUGUGACUAUAGCUGCUGCAGCGACGCUGAAUUAAAUUUUCGAAGACGAUUGUGGUGACUUGUGGAUUUGUUGUGGUCGUAUUGAAGAAAUGGAUAGGAUUGCGUAAACCAUCAUUAAAGGUUAGUGAAAUUUUAAUGUGAGAUUUGUGACGUGAAUCAUUUGUAGCUGAUAAUAUAGUUGGUGCGAAAUUAGAUUUCAUUGGUGCGAAAUUAGAUUUCAUAUGGAUAAUGGGAAGAUAUGAGAGUGCAGGGCGUAAAUUUUUAAAUUAAAUUUCUGGAAAUUUUAUGAACAGUGUAGUAAUAUAAAGGAGUUUAUUAUUAUUAUUUUUAUGUUAAUAAACACGUGUAUUGAAAUUGUACGAGGGAGGGAUUUCGGCAACAGAAAUUCAGGCUAGUGGCAGCUGAACCUGAAAUAAUUGAGUUGAAUAUUGUUGCUGCGAAUAAUGUGGUGGGAAGUUAGAUUUCCUAUAGAGAAGUAGAAAAUAGUGGAGUAAAGGAGAAAAAAUAUUGAAAAUGAUUUAGGGAUUAUACUCUAACAGCUGAACACGGCCCAUUUAAAGUUGUAUGAUUGAUGAGAAACUUGUGGUUUGCUCUAUGUGUUUGCCAUAUUUCCUUUUCUUUAUCUUCAGACUGACUAUGCCUUCGGCUGCAACUUUGUAGAAGCAUCUACGAAGUGACAAGUCAGAUGUGAAUCACACAGAAAUUUUGAAAAUGAUAUCAUAAUUUCUUGUGCUUGUAUAAUAACAAUGGGACUAAUUAGUUUAGAUGUUUUGUAUGUUUUUAAGUUAAUGUAAUAAAAAUUGAAUGUAUGUCUGGCAAUUCAACAGUAAGGGGGAAGUUAGUAAGUUGUACUAUGAACAUGUGUGGAAAGUACAAACAGGAAAAGUGAAAUUGCAGCAAGUAAUAAAAUGAAGUUAAGUGCAAGCAUUUAGAUGGUGAUGCAAGGGAAAUGGUACAUGUUUACAGCUCGUUGUACAUAUGUUUCAUUGACUGUAUGCUAAUGUAACAAAUAGCUGAUCAAUUAACAAUUGCCCAUGUCAUAACAGUUUCAGUACAAUCCAUAUUUGGCCGAAACUCUUACCGCUGGACAUGACUUCUUGCGAGUACUAUUAAGCAGCAAUGAUGACGACUCCAUAAGUAAGUUUGUCACACAGUUAUUCAUAAUUGCAUUUUCACUUACUCUUUUUGCUAUUUGAAAUUGCAGGCCUGUAAAGGUGACCGUGUCCCAACAUGCAUGAUCCCUAAUGCUGCCAUGUGCUCGCCCUUCCACAUCUGUCCAUGUUAUCUUUUUUCCUAUGAUUGAAGCCGAAGCUUAUCUAUUUCUUACAUUCAAACCGAUGCUGUCAAAGGAACUCCACCAACUAGGAUGAAAUACAAGUAUGCAACCCAAGAGGGGGGGUGAAUUGGGAUUCUAAAAAAUUAUUCAAUUUAUUAAAGAAAAUCUUAAUGCAAUUAUAAAUCAAAUUCAAAACAAUAAAUUCAAUCAUGCACAAUAUUAAAAGAGUAAGGGAAGAAAAAACAAACACAAGGAUUUUUACGUGGUUCGGCAAUCCCCGCCUACGUUCACGCCUCCAAACUCACCCGCUUGAGGAUUUCACUAUCCAAGCCUCCAAGGCUUCAAAUGCUUACAUUUGACUUCCAAGGUAUCAAUGAACCUUUACAACAAGAGAUUAUCCCCAAUCUCUUAACCCAAGUGUAUCCCAACACUUACAAUCACUCAAAAUAAAAGAUUAUAAAUUGUUUUGCCUCUCACAAUAUAUAAGAUUACACAAUGAUGCUUAAUAUGUGAAUAGAUGAAGCAAGAAUAUGUUCUAAGCUCUAUGAAGAUUGUAUUCUCGAAUAUUAGCUCAAAUGGUCGUGUUGUGAUUAAUCAUCUUUGAAUUUGAAUGAGCUUAUUUAUAUUUGGAGCCGAAAAUCUAGUCGUUACAAACUGUCGGACAGAAAACGGUUCGCCGUUAACCAUAAACGGUUAACCGUUUAGGCUGGUCAAAGUUACCGUUGGGCCAGAUUUCAAAUAAUCGGUUUGCCGUUUAGGAUUGCCCUUUCGCCGUUAACUUCCAGAGACCUGCAAAAUGAGUAUUUGUUAUCCGUUUACGCUAAACGGUUAAGGACUUGCGUGAAGUGGCUUCUCUGGAAAUUAUCGGUUAACCGUUUGAUAUAAACGGUUCGCCGUUUGUCUCCAGUAACCUGCAAAACAAAUUUAGCCUUAUCAGUUUUCGUUAAUCAGUGCCAGAGGAGGACAACCUUCAAUUUUGGACGUUAUCGGUUAACCGUUUAAAAUAAACGGUUCACCGUUAGGUUCCAGUAGCCUUCCCAUCUUGGGUGUUUUCUGUUAAGCAUAAACGGUUAGAGCUUAGGUAAUAUGUUGCUCUCUGGUUCUAAUCGGUUAACCGUUUAAAAUUAACGGUGAACCGUUUAUAACCAGAAUUGCAUUUUAAACCAGUUUUUGCAGAGAAUCUUUUUCUAAUUUUAAAGUCCAUCUUUUAUGAAGCAUGAAUGGAAUGAUUACUAAGGCUCUCGUUUAUUAAGAAAUAGCUCCAAUACUUUUAUCAAAAAAUCAUUUAAAAUUUGUUAGCAUCAAAAUCAAUAUUAUUAAUAUAUUUAUGUUAACAAUCUCCCCCUUUUUGAUGAUGACAAAUUCUAAUCAAUGUUUAGCUCCCCCUUAAUAUGUGCUCCCCCUAAAUGUAUGGCCAAAUUGAGAAAUGUGAAUAAAUUGCCCCAUUUUAAAUCCAUCUUAAAAACAAAUAUCUCCCCAUUUAAAAUUAAAAAAAAAUCUUAAAAACUUAAAAACCAUCUUAAAAACUGUAAUUAUCUCCCCCUUCAUCAUCAAAAGGAAAAAGGAAAUAAGAAAUACGCAAAUCCAUGAAAGAAAGUGCCCGGUUUUGGCAAGCGAAAAAAAAUUUUGGCAGAGUUUCCCCUUAAAAAUGAGUAAAACCAUAAAUACAAAAUGAGAUAAAACACUUCCAAAAUUAGAUCAACAUUAACUUCUGCGUUCAACAAGCCAACAACUCCAUGAACAAGACAAAAUAACACUUCAAUAUCCACAAAUAUACCAACACUCCAAUAUCCACAAAUAAACCAUUUCUACAAUAUCCAACCAAUUAGGCAAUCACAAAGCAUCAAUAAGCUAAUCAUCAAGAACAUCACACACAUAUGCAUCAAAAUCAAAAUAAUAAUAAAAAUGCUAGCAACCAGAAUGUAAAAUGUAUGUGCGAAGACAAAGCUCAGAAACUACGGAGGCGGAGAAGAUGUGCUCCCUGGAUCAUAGCCGAAAUAGCCGAGAAUAGUGCGCUGUCCAGCGAUAAGCUCCAUCUGCUGAUCAAGGCUCUGCCGCUGGAAUAUCUGAAAGUCAGAACGCAGCUGCUGGUGGUCACGGGAAAGAGUGUCCAACCGAUCAAGAAUCAGCUGCUGGCGCUUCGAAAUCCGCUGAACAUCAGAGAUCAGCUGCUGCACUGCGUCUGAAGCAGGGGGCUGAACUGGAGCUGGAGGCGGCAUAGAGGCAGAUGGCUGCUCGGGAACAGCAGAAGGCUCAGGAGCAGUAGGCGGCUCGGAAGAGGAGGGAAUAUCAGCAUCCAUCGCACGCUCCUCAGAGUCUGAGUCAGCUGGAGGCUGAGGAACAAAACGGCGACGCGGAGGAUGAGGAUGAGCGCCUAGUCUAAAGUCAGGAAGCUGGUCGGGACGAUAGACAUCAUUGAGCAUCCGAUCGUCCUCUGGAGCAAUCAAGGUAUCCCGGUUUUUGGAGUUGCUUGUCUUUAUCCACACUCCAUUCUUUCUAGAGAAUCCGAUACUGGUUACUGCCUCGGAACCAAUCCGUCGAGUCUCCAUAUGUCCAGUAUCAAGAAGUGGCACCUCAAAGCGUCGCAGUAUUUUAGUGAUGAUACUGCCGUAGGGAAGCAAGCGGUGGUUGACCACUGGAGUACUCAGCAUAUGUCGCACAAUAAUAUACCCGAGGUUAAUGGGACGGUCUGUAAGAAGGCUAUCCAAUAAGGCGACGUCUAACCUCGUAACCUCAUCCGAGUGACCCUUCCUAGGAGUCACUAUGUGCUGUAGAAUAGAGUGAAGAAUACGAACUUGGAGCGGUAAAAGUUGAGACCGAAAUGGAAGCUGACAGAUAUCAUCCGAUAAGUCUCGACGACGACAUAUAUUACGGACGCCGUGAGUAUGAGAAAAAGUAUCAAAGGAGAGGGUUUUCCUAGAAGUGUAGAUGUCAAUCCCCUCACAAGAGAUACCUAGAAAGUCAGCUAAGUCCGCAUCAUCAAAUUCUAUGGGUACACGGCCGACUUGAGUGACUAUCCUAUUUGGACGAGUAUUGGAGAUUUCCAUGUUCGAAUAAAAGACUCGCACUAAGUUUGGAUAAACUCGGUCAUCAAAAUCAAUGCCAGACUCCCAAGGCCGAAGCAUAUCCCGAAUACUUCUACCACAUACAACCAAAUUAUGGAAAUCAUCAAUGUCAACAAAGAAGGAGUCAAGUACCUUUCGACCAUUGAAGCGUUCUUCGAAUCGCUUGGCCAAGGAAGGAGUGGGGAAGUGAAUCCUUGCAAAUUCCGAGACGUCCCGAGGUGGUAUGAGAUUCCUUGGAGGCACAGAUUUACGUCUGAGAUUUCUCCGAGGAGGUUCAGCCAUGGAAACACGUAAUGAGGAGUAGAAGAUGUGAGUAGGAUGUUUAAUUUGGUUGAAGAAAGGUGGAAAUCGGAUUAAGGACAGAGAAACCCGACUCGCGACAGUUAGGGUUUAGAUUUGGGAUUUUUGAAUUUUGGGUUCGAUUUGAAGUUUUGAAUCGGUAGAAAUGUUCUAAAGGUGAUAAGAAAUGAUUUUGAGAAUUUGAUUUGGCACGGAAAUCAAGAAAAAUGAGGAUUUGAGAACAAAGAGACCUUCGGCUGCGCAACAAUGGAGGAAACGGUGAGAGGGUAACUGGAGAAGGAGAAGAAAACCUUUAAACAGUUUAUAUACUUCGCGAAAACGGUUAACCGUUUAUUGAAACGGUUAAAGGGUAACGUCCAGAGGCUGAAGAAAGGGAAACGGUGAAAGCCUAAGCGCUUAACGGCUAAGGAGUAACUGUUAGAGGACUCUCUGUUGAAAAACGGUUCACCGAUUGUGGAAAACGGUGAAAGGGUGAACGGGCAGACACAUAAUCUCGUUUCUGGAAUUAAACGGUGAUCCGUUUAUAGGAAACGGCUAACCGUUUAUUCAAUCUGUAAUUUCGCACAUUUGAUUUAAUUUUUGGCCAGCAAAUAAUAUAUUCCAAGAUCAUUUAAUUGAUCUGAAAAUAUUUUAUGAGCCAAUUUAAUGCAUGAUUCAUGGACAUGUUUUCAACCAAUCAAUUCAUAUAAUCAAGAGUUAUUAAUGCAAAUUCAUCAUUUGUCUACCAAGCUCAAGCAUUUCAUAAAUAGUAAUCAAUCAAUUCAAUACACUCAAUAGCAUGAAUAGAGAUGUUAAUGCAAAAAUUUCAUCAUCCCAAGUUCAUGCCGAAUUUUUGAAAAUUGUUCUUCGCAAAGCGGUUUUGUGAAAAUAUCGGCAAGUUGUUUUUCCGUGGAUAUAAACUCUAAUGCAAUAUCUCCCUUUUGAACAUGAUCUCUCAAGAAAUGAUGUCUUAUUUCUAUAUGCUUGGUUCGAGAAUGUUGAAUGAGAUUCUUUGAAAGGUUUAUAGCACUAGUAUUAUCACACUUAAUAGGAAUUUGUUCAAGAUUAAUGCCAUAAUCUCUAAGUGUUUGUUUCAUCCAAAGUGCUUGUGCACAACAACUUCCGGCAGCUAUAUAUUCAGCCUCAGUAGUUGAAAGUGCAACAGAAUUUUGUUUCUUGCUAAACCAUGAAACAAGAGAGUGUCCUAGAAUAUAGCAAGUUCCACUAGUGCUCUUCCUAUCCACUUUAUAACCAGCAAAAUCCGCAUCCGAAAAAUAUGUUAAAUCUAUAUGAGUUCCCCUAGGAUACCAAAUGCCAAUAUCUAUGGUUCCACUCAAAUAACGGAAAAUUCUUUUAACAGCGAGCAAAUGAGAUUCCUUGGGACAAGACUGAAAUCUUGCACACAAACAUACACUAAACAUGAUAUCGGGUCUACUUGCAGUCAAAUAGAGUAGGGAUCCGAUCAUACCUCGAUACAUUUUGAUAUCCACUUCUUUACCUUUUUCAUCUUUGUCCAGCUUGGUUGUUGUGCUCAUUGGUGUAUUCUUGGUCUUUGAAUCAUCAAUGCCGAAUCGUUUGAGUAGAUCUUUUACGUACUUAGCUUGAUUUAUGAAAAUUCCUUCCUCGCUUUGUUUGAUUUGAAGUCCAAGGAAGUAUUUCAACUCUCCCAUCAUACUCAUCUCAAAUUCUUUGCUCAUACACAAUGAAAAUUCUUUACACAACAACUCAUUAGUAGAACCAAAAAUGAUAUCAUCAACAUAAAUUUGAACAAUAAGUAUGUCUUGGUUCUUAUGCUUAACAAAAAGAGUAGUAUCCGCUUUACCUAUAGAGAAGUCAUUUUCUAGCAAGAAAUUUUUAAGUCUAUCAUACCAUGCUCUAGGUGCUUGUUUUAAUCCAUACAAGACUUUGAGCAACUUAUACACAUGAUUUGGAAAUUUUUCAUUUUCAAAACCAGGAGGUUGUUUCACAUAAACUUCCUCCAAAAUAUAUCCAUUUAAGAAAGCACUCUUGACAUCCAUUUGAUAUAAAAUAAAAUCCUUAUGACAUGCAUAUGCUAACAACAUCCUAAUGGAUUCUAACCUUGCUACAGGUGCAAAGGUUUCAUCAAAAUCAAUUCCUUCCUCUUGGUUGUAACCUUGAGCCACUAAUCUAGCUUUGUUUCUUACAACCACACCGGAUUCAUCCAUCUUAUUUCUAAACACCCAUUUAGUACCUAUUAUAGAUUGAUGUUCAGGUUUAGGAACUAGUUCCCACACAUUGUUUCUUUCAAAUUGAUUUAACUCCUCUUGCAUUGCCAUAAUCCAAGAUUCAUCAUUUUCUGCAUCCUCAAAGGAUUUUGGUUCAAUUUGAGAGAUGAAUGUAUUAUGCUCACAAGUAUUUCUAAGUGAUGAUCUAGUUGUUAUACCUCGUGAGGGAUCUCCUAAAAUUACAUCUUUAGGGUGAGAAGAGACAUACCUCCACUCCUUGGGGAGUGUUUGAGAAGUACCUUCAUUUUGCUCCACAUUUGGUUCUUCAUGAUGUUCCUCUUGAAUUCCAUGUGGUGCAUCCUCUUGAUUGUCAUUUGAUGCUUCUUCUUCUUGUUCUUCUUCUCCUACAUCAUCAUCAACAACGACUUUCUUCGUAGAGGAGGGGUUAGACUCAUCAAAUGUGACAUGCAUAGAUUCUUCCACAACUAAAGUUCUUGUGUUAUAAACUCUAUAAGCUUUGCUUGAAUUUGAAUAACCAAGAAAAAUACCAACAUCGGAUUUUGAAUCAAAUUUACCAAGAUUGUCUUUUGUGUUCAGAACAAAACAUUUGCAUCCAAAAACUUUAAAAUAGCCAAUGUUGGGUUUUCUAUCUUUCCAAAGCUCAUAUGGAGUUUUAUUAAGAUUAGGUCUAAUCAACACCCGAUUUAAAACAUAACAACCGGUGUUGACGGCUUCGGCCCAAAAAUAUUUUGGUAAUGCAUUUUCAUUUAACAUGGUCCUAGCCAUUUCUUGAAUAGACCUAUUCUUUCUCUCAACAACUCCAUUUUGUUGUGGAGUUCUAGGUGAAGAAAAUUGAUGCUCAAUGCCUAGAUUAUUGCAAAAACUCUCAAAUGCAUGAUUUUCAAAUUCUCCUCCAUGAUCACUCCUAAUGCAUACAAUACCAUGCCCUUUUUCAUUUUGUAAUUUCUUACAAAGCACUUUAAAUGCAUCAAGAGCAUCAUCCUUAUUGGCUAAGAAUAAUACCCAUGUAUAUCUAGAAUAAUCAUCCACUAUCACAAAAGCAUAAUAUUUGCCAUUUAGACUUGCAUAUCUAGAUGGCCCAAAAAGAUCUAUGUGAAGAAAUUCAAGUGGUUUUGAAGUAGAAAUAUGGUUUUUAUUCUUGAAAGAAGUUUUAAUUUGUUUUCCAAAUUGACAAGCUUCACAAAUCUUAUCCUUUUGAAAACCAAUUUUCGGAAGACCUUUAACUAAAUCAUCUUUCGAAAUUUUUGAAAUCAAAUCCAUACUUGCAUGUCCUAACCUUCUAUGCCACAACCAACAAUCAUCAUGCAAUGCCGAAAAACAUUUAUCAAGAGUAGAUGCACAUUCUAUGUCAAUGAUAUAAACAUUACCACAUCUAUUUCCAACAAAUAAGGUUUUGCCAUCACAUGAGUUCUCAAUAACACAACUAAAUUUAUCAAAGAUAACUUUAUAACCUUUGUCACAUAAUUGACUAAUGCUAAUUAAGUUGUGUUUCAAGUUUUCAACCAAACAUACAUUCUCAAUUAGAGUUGAAGAAACUUUACCAACAUUUCCAAUUCCAAGGAUUUUUCCUUUUGAGUUGUCUCCAAAGGAUACGUCUCCACCAUUUUCAAUUUUGGUAAAGCUUGAGAACCAUGCAUAGUUUCCGGUCAUGUGCCUUGAACAACCGCUGUCCAAGUACUAUUUAUUCUUCUUCUUCUUCAAGCCCUACAAGAAAAAGUCUCAAGUUUUAGGUACCCAAAGCUUUUUGGGUCCUUGAGAGUUAGCAACGGUUCCUUUUGGAACCCAAAUGCACUUGACACCAUAAUAUGCAUUCCUUUUCACGGGACAUUUAAAUUUCAUGUGACCAUUUUGAUUACAAUAAUGACAUACAAUCUUAUGAUCAUUUGUGGAGGUAGCUUUAACAAAAUAAUUCUUAUAAUACUUUUGCUUCAAAUUUGGCUUAUAUCCAAGUCCUCAUUUAUCAAAAACACAUUUUUGUGAGUUAAGCAUAUUAUCCAACAUCUUUUGCCCAUUUGUAAAUUUCAAAACAAUUUCAUUUAAUUCAUUAUUCUUUUUCUUGAGCAAUUCGUUCUCAUUUUUCAACUCAUCUAUGUGUGAUUUCAAAUGCUCAUGUAAGAUGCUAGGUUUCUCAUUUGAUAAUGCAAUUUCAUCAUGCAAUGUUUUGUUUCCUACUUCUAGGCAUACAAUUCUUGCAUUUAGAGAUUCAUUUUCAUUUUUAAGCUUUGCCAUUUCCUUUUUAAGACAUACAUUCUUUUUACCAAUUUUCAUUAACUCAUUAUGCACAUCUUGAAAAGCAUCAUAUAAUUCAUCAUAGGUAGGAUCACUUACCUCAUUGAGAUCAUCAUCUCCUCCUAUUGCCAUGAGUGCUAGGUUUGAUACUUCUUGCGAUCCUUCUUCAUCAUUUGAUUCUUCCUCACUAUCAUCCCAAGUUGCAACCAUUGCUUUCUUCUUGAGUUUGUUGAUAAGUGGGCACUCCGAUCUUAUAUGUCCAGGCUUCUUGCAUUCAUAGCAAGUGAUUGCCUCCUUCUUCUCCCUAUAGUUCUUGAAGUUUCUGAAAUUUCUUCGCUCUCCGGUUUUCUUGAAGAAUUUUCUGAACCUCCUUGCUAGCAUGGCUAGUUCUUCAUCAUCCGGUUCACUCUCCUCAUCACUCUCAUAUUUUGAGGCUUUGAGAGCAAUGCUUUUCUUCUUCUCCUCAUGUCCUCUUUCUGCAGCUAAAUCCUCUUCAUACGAAAUAAGAGAACCAAUUAAAUCAUCAAGAGGUAAAGUAUUUAAAUCUUUGGCCUCUUCAAUAGCGGUUCUUUUGGGUCUCCAUUCUUUUGGAAGAGACCUAAUGAUUUUCUUAACUUUCUCACUAUUUGAGAAGGUUUUCCCUAAGGCACCUAGGGUGUUCACUAUGUCCGUGAAUCUAGUAUACAUAGAAUACACAUUUUCAUUUUGUUCCAUUUGGAACAACUCAUAUUGACGAGUGUAUCUACUGAUUUUAGACUCUUUCACUUGAUUUGUCCCUUCAUAGACAACUUCAAGUUUGUUCCAUAUCUCUUGUGCACUUUCACAACUAGAUACUCUAUGGAAUUCUUUCUUAUCAAGGGCACAAAACAAAGCAUUCAUAGCCUUGGAGUUUAGAGACAUCUUUCUCUUUUCUAACUCACUCCAUUGACUCGAUGGUUUAGGAAUAUCAUCUCCUACUUCAUCUUUGAACGUAGGCAUGAAUGGACCAUCACAAACAACUUCCCAAAUUUCAUAAUCUAAGGCUUGCAAAUAAAUUCUCAUUCUAGUUUUCCAAUAAGCAUAGUCAUUACCAUCGAAAAAUGGUGGUCUAGUUGUGGAUUGCCCUUCUCUAAAGGUUGAGUCAUUUAGGGUUGCCAUGGAUCUUUUACUCUAGACGAUUAAGUCUUAACAAGAGAACGAGGCUCUGAUACCAAUUGAAAUACAAGUAUGCAACCCAAGAGGGGGGGUGAAUUGGGAUUCUAAAAAAUUAUUCAAUUUAUUAAAGAAAAUCUUAAUGCAAUUAUAAAUCAAAUUCAAAGCAAUAACAAUUAAGAGAAUCACAAUAUAAAAAGAUAAGGGAAGAGGGAUUCAAACACCGAGAUUUUUACGUGGUUCGGCCAACCUCGCCUACGUCCACGCCUCCAAGCUUUCCGGGCUUGAGGAUUCCACUAAGCAAGCCUCCAAGGCUUCAAAUGCUUACACUUGACUUCCAAGGUGUCAAUGAACCUUUACAACAAGAGAUUAUCCCCAAUCUCUUAACCCAAGUGUAUCCCAACACUUACAAUCACUCAAAAUAAAAGAUUAUAAAUUGUUUUGCCUCUCACAAUAUAUAAGAUUACACAAUGAUGCUUAAUAUGUGAAUAGAUGAAGCAAGAAUAUGUUCUAAGCUCUAUGAAGAUUGUAUUCUCGAAUAUUAGCUCAAAUGGUCGUGUUGUGAUUAAUCAUCUUUGAAUUUGAAUGAGCUUAUUUAUAUUUGGAGCCGAAAAUCUAGCCGUUACAAACUGUCGGACAGAAAACGGUUCGCCGUUAACCAUAAACGGUUAACCGUUUAGGCUGGUCAAAGUUACCGUUGGGCCAGAUUUCAAAUAAUCGGUUUGCCGUUUAGGGUUGCCCUUUCGCCGUUAACUUCCAGAGACCUGCAAAAUGAGUAUUUGUUAUCCGUUUACGCUAAACGGUUAAGGACUUGCGUGAAGUGGCUUCUCUGGAAAUUAUCGGUUAACCGUUUGAUAUAAACGAUUCGCCGUUUGUCUCCAGUAACCUGCAAAACAAAUUUAGCCUUAUCAGUUUUCGUUAAUCAGUGCCAGAGGAGGACAACCUUCAAUUUUGGACGUUAUCGGUUAACCGUUUAAAAUAAACGGUUCACCGUUAGGUUCCAGUAGCCUUCCCAUCUUGGGUGUUUUCUGUUAAGCAUAAACGGUUAGAGCUUAGGUAAUAUGUUGCUCUCUGAUUCUAAUCGGUUAACCGUUUAAAAUAAACGGUGAACCGUUUAUAACCAGAAUUGCAUUUUAAACCAGUUUUUGCAGAGAAUCUUUUUCUAAUUUUAAAGUCCAUCUUUUAUGAAGCAUGAAUGGAAUGAUUACUAAGGCUCUCGUUUAUUAAGAAAUAUUCUUUCUUGUUCUAGCAAUUCUAUUUUCUGGGUUAUUAAACCAAUGUAUGUAACUAAUAUAUUUUCCCAUCCUAAAAUCAUAUGAUCUAUGCAAUCUGCUAAUUCAUGUAUUUAUAUUAAAUGCAUGUUGAUUUUGAUGGUUCAUAAUGCUUCCUUUUUGUACCAGUAUACCAGAAAUUUUAUAAAUUCAUCUAUAAAUUUCAUUUUCUUUUCUAUUAAAAUUUCACCUCCUAUUGUGUCUAUAUUUCUUUCUCUGAGUUCUUCUGUUAAUUCGAGUUCUAUAUUUCUUAUAUUAUUUUUAUCGGUUUUUAAAGCCAUUAUAAGACUUUUUAUUUCUUCUUUGUUAUACACUUUUAGUGUAUAUAAGCUAUUAACUAUUGCUUGUAUUGGAUCCAUCAUUUAAUUCUAUGUCAUUUUUUCCAAAAAUUUAACAUUUAGGAUCUAUAGUUAUGGCUCUGAUACCAUCUUGCACGUAUGUGCCAAAAAAAGUACAAAUAAAAAUUAUUAAAUAAAUAGUCAAAUAUUCUCAAUGGAGUACAAAUAAAAAUUAUUAAAUAAAUAAUCAAAUAUUCUGAAUGGUUAAACUACUUCUAUUUUCUAAAUUAUCAUAUUUAUUGUUUUUAUUCCAAAAUUAAUUAACUAGAAUAAAUAUAUAGAUAUAUAUAUAUAUGAUUAAUUAAACAAAUUAUUUAUAACCAAAAAAAGUAUGUGGCGUUGACAAAGUGAUGAGAUCCUUGGCAAUUCAGCCAAGAUAUUUAAUUCUCCUUUGGACCAAUAGCCCGCACACCUUGGUUUCCAAUCUAUAUACUUUUUUCAAUUUAUAAUUCAAUUUCUUCAUUAUCUGAAUUUACAUAUGAAGGUCCAUCCUCUCUAUUUUUAUUUUCUAUAUAUGCUAAACCUAUAUCAAUUCCUUGUUCUACUGUCAUCAUAAUUAUGUUAUGCUUUAGAUUUUCUGAUUCGAUAUAGUUUAUUAUUUUCCGUUUUAUUUCUUGUGGGAGAUCUAGUGAAAAUACUGCUAACAGAUUUUCGGUUCUAACAAGGUCUCUUUUACUUAAUAAAUAUGAAUCUUGUUUAUAUGACCCUAAAUUAAAGUCUAUUAUCAUCAUAAAGUUGUUAUAUGUUAUUUUAGUAUUAGGAUCUAUCAUGCAUUCUUUACAUUCACCUAAAUAAAAUCUAUGAUUCAUUUUACAGAAAAGAACCAAAAACUUGUUUCAUCUCAAAAAUAUGCUCUUCCUCCAUAAAUCUCCUCAUCAUUGAUCACCAACAAACUUCCACCAAAGAUAAGGUUUGAGAAUUAUUGCCUAACUUAUUCUUGUUUCCUUGCCUUCCAAUCCUUUUCCAGUGACCUGCAGCCUGUGUGUCCUUAUUCCCUCAACGGCUCCUCUGCCUCAACGGGAUCAGCGGACUAGAUCGGCCUUACUGUAUGCACUUUGAUUGUUUGGCUUAGAAAUGUUGAAUAACUAUAGGUUUCUCUUUCCUUUCUAUGGGGUUAUUUGUUUUCUUGAUCAGUGAUGUUUUGAUUUAGGAAUUAAAGCUGUAGAGUUUAGUUUUUCAUUUUUCAGAGGAUUUUCAAGUUUUGGAAGAACUGAAUUUUUUGUGAAUAAUUAGCUCUGAGAGCCUUCUUCUUUUUCUUUCUUUAUUUAUAUCCGAAGUAAUCUUCGGUUUGAUUACAUUUUUGCCCUUAGAUUAUUAGGCACUUACAUCACUGCUUACAUCACUACUUAACUUUUUAUUACAUUUUUGCCCUUGUGUUAUUGGGCACUUACAUCACUGCUUACAUCACUGAAUUAUAUCUUAUCUUGGGUAUCUUUUUUAUUUUGUCUGCCACAUCUUGUCUGCCACAUCUCGGGUAUCUAUUUUGUCUGCCACAUCUUGUCUUUGUUGGUCUAUUGCUUUCUAUCGCUUUCUAUUGCUUGCCAGUCUGUUUUAUCUCCAUGAGUUGGUAAACCUGCUCCAUGGUUUUGCUGCUACUGGGAAAUCGCAUAGUACUUAUCUCGUUGAUGAAAUCUAGUAACAGGUUCGAUGGUGUAUUCCCAUCUUCAGAAGUGAUGAGGAUGUAAUUUUGGAAUUUUAUAAUAGUCCUAAAAUUUCUCUUAUACAAGUCCUUUGCUAUGCUCCAUAUGGCCUUAAUCCCUCUGGCUCUUCGUGUUCUAAUCCAAGGUUCAUUUAUGUGAGGAACAUUGGUGUAUUCUGUUCCUACUUUGACUUUGAAAUUUUUUGUGAGGUGGCCUACAGAUAUCAUGUAAAAGGCUUGAUACUCAACAUUCUGAUAAUAUUCUGGGCUUAUGGUGUAGAAUUUUAGGUAUAUGGGUCUUUUUUGGGCAAAUCUUGAGACUUCUUUAACUAAUAAGUCAUCAAGGCUGGCUAUUUCUUGAAGGUUUAUAUCUGGAUAUAUUAGGUCUAAAUACCCAUAUUUUGCUAUUUUCCCAACAAGGAGUGGAUCUGCUCCUUUUGUAACAAUCAUUCUGGGGUACAUAUUUUUUCCUGGUGCUUUAAAAAUUGUAUUAUUGUGAGAACAAGUAGAGUAUACCCAUGAAGAGAAUUGUUUAUACUCUUCUUCUUUUGGAUUUAGGGGUUUUUCCUCUUCUUCUGUAUAAGGAUUGUUUAUUUGGAUAAACUUUUUUGGAAGGUCUGAUUUUGGUGACUUAAUUUCUAUGGAUAUGGUUUUAUUUGGAGUUGGGUCAGAGAUUGGUUUAUCUCCUCCGAAAGGUCCACCACUGCUUCCUAUAUUUAUCGAGCUAAUGUUUAUUGGGCUUGUGUUUAUAGAGAGUGUCUUUGUUAGGUCGUCUAUGUAUGACUCUAACAAAUUUACUCCAACAAAUUUACUCAUUUCUCAUGGGCUUCAGAAGCCUCUUUUAAAUAGUUUAUUGCAUCAAUUAUAUCAGAUGCUUCAGUCUUGAGCCUUUGAAUUUCGGCUUCUAUUUUGCCAAGGAUUCUAUUUACUUCGGGAUUCAUUCUCCAAAUUCUAUGUUCCUGCUUAAAAAGUCUGCAAGGAAAUUGUUAGUUCCUUUAAUAUGUAUUAUCUUAAAAUUAUAAUAAGAUAGGUAAGCUUGCCAUCUAUGCAAUCUUCUGUAUUGGGGUUCAUUUGGUAAAAUUCUAGUGAUAAGAGAACUUACUUGAGAAUUAUCUGUUUCUACAAUGAACUGUUUUUGAAGUAAAAAUAAUGAAAAUUUUUUAAUUCCUUUAUAUAUUGCAAGGAGUUCUUUUUCAUGAACUGGAUAAUUUGUUUGUGCCUGGUUAAAAGUUCCACUGGUAUAUCGACAAAUUUCAUUUAUAUCAGUUUUAAGAAUUGCUCCCCAAUAUAAGUCAGAUGCAUUUGUCUGUAUUAUUAGUUUAUCUUUUUCGUUUGGUAAUCUUAAAGCUGGUAGAUUUUUAUAUUCUUGUUUUAAAUUUUUUACGGUUUCUGUAUGUUCCUCAUUCCAUCCUUUAGUAUUGUUUUUUCUUAAUAAUUUUUUAAGUAUAUUUCUCUUUUUCGCUAGAUCUUUUAUAAAUCCUUCUGCAUAAUUUAAGCAUCCCAAAAAUUUUUGUAUUUGUUGUUUAUUUUCUAAUCUAUCUGGGAACUCAGUUAUUUUUCUUCCUAUAUGGCUCUGAAGCCUGAUUCCUUGUUUAUCAAGAAUCAUUCCUAAAAAUUCUAUUUUUCUAUGUUCUAUAACUGCUUUUUUACUCGAUAAAACUAUUCCUUCUUUUAUACAUAUAUUAACAAAUUCCUUUAAAUGACUUUUAUGUUCUUCUAAUGUUUCUGAUGCUAUCAAUAUGUCAUCAACAUAGACUAUAAUAUAAUUGUAAUUUCUAAAUAUUUUAUCCAUUCUACUCUGAAAGAUUUGAGGGGCAUUUUUUAAUCCAAAAGGCAUUACUAGCCAUUCAUAAUGUCCUUGUGGGGUACUAAAAGCUGUAUAAGGAAUACUAUUUUCUUCCAUUUUUAUCUGCCAAAAUCCUGAUUUACAGUCAAAUUUUGAAUAAUAUGUUUUAUUUUUGACAAGAUUUAUUAAUACUUCUUUGUUAGGGAGAAAAUACCCAUCAAAUUUUGUGUACUUAUUUAGUUAUUUGUAAUUUAUUACCAUUCUUGUCUUUCCUCUAACCUGUUCUGCUCUUUUUCGAACCAUAAAGGCUGGACUGUUAUGAGGGCUAUUACUGCUCCUAAUGAGUUUUAAAUUUAAUAGUUCUUUUAUUUGGGUUUUAAAUUCUUCUCUAUCCUCUUCUGUAUACAUCAUGGGUUUUAAUCUUAUUAUCCUAUUUUCAAUUAACUCUAUUUUUGCCUUAGGAUGAUCUGGUUUCCAUAAUGCUAAUGGUUUUUUUUAUAAACUUGUUCAAGUUGUGACUUUAUUGUUUCUAAUUGUAUAUUGUAACUCUGUCCUUUCUGUAUUAAAUAAUGUUUUACUUAUCACCACGCUGGGCUGGCUGAACUCUAUAAGGUUUGAACUCACGAGGAACACGAAGUAUAUGGUUACAAGGAGUCUUGAGAGUAAUCAUAUAUGGAGUUUGUUGGUAAUAUACAAAUUGUUGGAGGAAAUCAUUUCCUAAAAGAAUAUCACAAUCCAUAUGAUUAUACUGAAAGACUUGGGAAAUACGAACUAUUUUACUUCCUAAUAAGAUUUCAAAAUUUAAGAUAGAUUGAUUUACUUGUUGUUUAUCUCCUGUGAUACCGACAAUUUUUAAGUGUCCAUUGUAUUCCCAUUUAUUGGAUAAAAAGGAUUUCAUAAUAGUUAUUUCGCUACAUGUGUCUAUUAAAGCACAAGUAUCGAUAGCUUGUUCUGUGAUAUGUAUUUGUAUAUAGACAGACAUAGGAUAUUUUAUAUAAACUUGUCUUAACAUGUUGCACAAACUAUUUUUUGGCCUUGUAUUAGGAAAGUUAUUUUAUUUGGUUCAAUCUUAUAAUAUUCUAAAUCAUUUAAAAAACUAUUUCCUAGAAUUAUAUGUUUUUCUGGAUCUGUAGUCAUAAAUGAAUCUAUAUAACAAGGUACUAUGAUUCUAAGUCCUUCUAUUAUUACAGGAACUUUGACUUCUUGUUUGCAUAUAUGUCUAUUUCCGUUAAAAUCAGUAUAUUCAUACGGGAUUUCUCUUUCUCUUACUAAAAGUCCUUUAUUUUUAGUGUGAUUCAUAUAAUUAUAACUUGUACCUGUAUCUAAUAGUAUAGGUAUCUUUGGAGUAUAGUCUAUUCUAUUAAAGUAUUGUCCAAGUAUUUUUACUACAUUAUUUGCUGAUACUGAUUUAAUUAAUUGUUUAUCAAUGCUUAAUCUUCUAGAGGAACUUCCUCUUAUCAAGGUUCUUCCUUUAAAGCUUAUAGGGAUAAUGGAGUUUUCAUUAUUAUUAUCUAGGAAUUAUUUUUUGUCAUCUAUUUUUAAUUCGUAGUUAAAAGGGAUUCUAUAAUCUUGACUUACUGGUUCUAUAAAAGUUGCUAUAUCUUCACAAUCCUUAUUUAUUUCAAUGUAAGGUUUAUUACCAUAUAUUUCUCCAUAAUUUGAAUUACAAAAACUAUAUAAAGCUGAAUAAUGUAUUGUCAUUAUUCUAUUUCUUUCUUUCAUUAGGUUCUUUUUUUAAUAAUUUAAAAUGUAGGCUUAGUGUUUCAUCUAUAUUCCUGUCCUUUAUAUGUACACAAUAUCUAGGAUGGCAGGUAAAUAAUAAUUUAGUAUAACACAAGUUUCCUUCUAUUGUUCCCAAGUGUCCUAUGCUAGGGUCUGUAAAUCUUUGGUCGUGUAAUGAUAAAACUAUGGGGCUAUCUAUCCCUUCUUUGAAAAGUGAUUUGAUUAAUAUUUGUAUUUCUGCAAGAUAUACAUAUUGAAUUUUUUCUUUAAUUGAUUCACUUUUUAUUUUUCUUAAUGCUAAAUCUACAGAUAUUUUAUUUAUUAGGCUAAAUCUAAUAUUUCCUUCUGCUUGUGUAAUUGUUACAGCUUUUUCUUGUUCAUAAUAUUCGUGUAAUAUUAUUCUUUUUCUUUUAAACAUAUCUCUAAAUCUAUGGAUUAUACUGUACUCUGGUUUUUCCAUAUUUAAUUUUAAAAGUUUGUUAUAUUUUUCUUUAUUAAAUGUAGCUACAAUACUAUAUCCACUUUUAUUUUCUUCUUUUUCUAUUUCUUCAAUUUCCUCUAUUUUUUCAUUCUCUAAUAAUUCUUCUUUAUUCUGAUUCAUUCUCUGAAUCUGAAUUUUUCAUUAUAUAAAUUUCUUCUCCUUCAUAAUCUGAUAAAUCAUUUAUUUCUUCUAAAUCAUCUUUUAUAUUUUCAAAAUCUUCAUUAAGAAUUCUGACUUUCUUUUUUGUACAAUCUGUACUUAUAUGUCUUAUUUCUCCACAAUUCCAACAUUUACAUUUGGAUUUAUCUAGUACUUUUCUUUGGUUUUUAUACUUCCUUUUAUAAUACUUUCUUACAGGUUUUUUAUAUUUUCUUUUGAAAUUAUUAUAUUUUUUAUAUUUAUAUUUUCUUUCCUUCUGGUAAGACUUUCUACGUUGUUUAUGAGGUAUAUAACAUCCCCAUUGAGUAGGCAUUUCCGUCUUUUCACAACAUAUUUUAGUUAUAUUUUUACUCUUUUUUAUUAAACUUCUUUGGAUGCAUAUUUCACUUAACCUUGUAUUUAAGAAUCUUAUCCUAGCUCCUAAUGUAUCAGGGAGUCUAUUAUUGCUAUUGUUAGUAUAUUUUUCAUAUUCAUUAAUGAAAUAUCCAUUCCAAGGAUAUGGUAAUUUAGAAUAGUAUAGAUUUUUAUAAAUAUUUUGGUCUUCAUGACUCAUGAAUUGUGUAUAAUAAUAUUUGCUAAAUUCGCAUGUAUAUUCUUUUACAAAACACAUAUUACAAAUUGUCAAAUUUAUUAAUUUCAUUCGAGCGUCUAACUUAUCACUUUUUGCCUCAUUUUCUGAAUUUUGUAACCAAUCUUCUCCUAAAAAUUCAUUAGCAAUGUACUCAAUUAUUCUUUCUAUGCCUAAUCCUUUAUCUCGUCCUAGUGCUAUUUUGGUCGAAUCUUUGAUUAAUUUUUGUGUAUCCUCACUUAAUCCUUUCCACCAAUUAAAUACAUUUCCUGUAAAGCUUGCUAUUAAAAUAUCAACAAAUAUAUUUAUCUUUUCUUCCUCUGUUUCUACAUUCCAAUCAUCCCUAGAUCCAUUAAAUAUAAAAAAUAAUUUCAUUUGCAUUCCCCAUUCUACCAAUGCUUUUCGAGAAUCUAUUUUACAAUCUAAGUCUAAAAAUGUACCUGCAUUGCUUAUUGGUAUUAGAUGGUCAUUAUUAGGUUGGUAUUCUUUUUUCCAAGGGGUAUUUUUAAUGGGUGGAUAAUAUUCAAAAAAUGGUCGAUUUUUCUUUUUAUUAGUCCCAUAUUUAUGGCUUGAUUCUCCUAUGUCAGGUUUUAAUUCCGGACCACCUGCAACAUUCAUUUUUAUGCAAUAUUCUUUUUCAAAUUCUUCUAAGUCGCUAAGAUUAAUAUCACUAAAUUUUUCUGUUAGUUCUUCUAGUGUGUUUUCCAUUAUUCUGAAUCGUUAGGUGUAAUUUCUUCUUUUAUUUCUAAUUUUUCUUUACCUUUUUUCUUACUUUGUAAUUCUGCUUUUAAGUUUUCUGCUUCUUCUAAAAUUUUCGGGUAUUGGGUUUUUAUAAACCAAUCAUCAUAACUUCCUAUUUGUGGUUUUACUAUUGGCUUUUUAAAGCUUGUUCCGAUUAUUCCUGACUUUAGUAUUUCGAGUUUUUCUACUUUUUUAUUUUUCUUUUGGAUCAUCUUUAUUGUAGAUAAUUCUAUUUUUAUUUUUCCGAUUUCUUGUUUAAUUUCCUUCAUUUCCUCCUUGAGAUUUAAAAGAAUUUCUUUUAAUUCUAUAAGUGUUGUUUCCAUUAAAUUUAAGGGUCCUGGUGAUAUUGUCUAUUUGGAAUGUAUGUUACGUUCAUCGUAACAUAGAGUUAGCCAUAUAUUAUUUAUGAUUUUUAAUAAACCAAUCUCCAAGCCAACGAGAUAGACACACGCAGCACGUUGUAUGCUAACAUCUCAAUCAAACAAGGCUUCCGAGAAUUGAAGUUUUGAUUGGUCUUCUUUUACCCCCACUAAAAGCACGAGGUUAAAUAAAAAUAAGGCAAUGUUGUCGGAUCAAUCCCCUGUCGAAUCUCUCACUCCACCUACUUGUUUUAAACUUUAUUUAAUUUAACAACCACCAAAUAAAAAAAGGCAAUUGUAAAUUCGUGAUUCCGUUAAACCCAGAAGCAUCCACUGUGGAGCAGCACCACCACCACCACCAGUCGAGACAGAGCAGAGACGCAGCACCACCACCACCACCAGCCGAAACGGAGCAUAGACGCAUCAGUAGCAGCAUCACCAAUUAUUCCUCAAGAGAGACGCAACAGCAGCAACAGCAGUAGUCGAUCCUUAAAAGAGAAGUCGUUGCAGCACCACUACCACCAAUCGAGAGAAGCUGGGACACGGCAGCAGUCGAUUCUGGUUGAAGAACUGUGAUGGAAAGGGAGACAGUUGUGACGAAUCGUGGUUGAAGAACUCUGACAGAGAGAGAGAUGUGAAUUUCAAUCGGGAUAAGGAGAUUAGGCUUGGGUUUUGUUUUGCAAUUUCUUUUGUGAUAUAAUUUGUGAUUCAUCUGAGAACGUGUUAAACACGUUCUCAGUUUUAUAACAAUAAAAAAGAAUAUGAAUUAUUUGUUUUAUAAUUCAUUUUUGGAUCCAGCCCACUGAACAAGAAUUACAUAUGUACUCUCAAAACGAAAAUGAAAACAGGGCCCUGAAAAUGAUACCGAACAGGCCCUAAUCUUCUUCAACUCUUUGCUCAAUCUUACUGGUUUAUCAUUGAUUUCUUGUCCCAUAACUCGACUCACGAGAUUAGAAGAGUCUUUGUUAUUAGAUCUUUAAGUUCUCCAAGCUCUUCUGAAUCUUUACCAUAAAUCAUACAUAAGUGAAUGCUUUAUUCUUAAAAUUUGUUGCCUAUUUGUGACUCUGUAACAGCACAUAAAAUAGUAGAAAGCAACAAUAAUAAACAUCAGAACCAGCAAGUAUAACAGCAGCAAACAGCAAGUUAAACAACAAAAAAUAGUAGUAAAACAUAACAAGUAAAACAACAGCAAACGAUAGUAAUAAACAGCCGAAAUAGCAAGUAAAAUGCAGUAACAAGUGAGUAAAAAGAAGCAAACAGCGAGUAAACCAGCAAAAACAGCAGCAACCAGUGAGUAUAACAGCAGCUUAAUUGUAGACUUGUAAUAUUAAGUAAGCUUAAUUGCAUUCAAUUAAGUAAAACAACAGUAAAAAUAGCAAAAACAGCAAGAACAACAAGAACAGCAAGUAAAACAACAAAAACAACAAGUAAAACAGUAGUAACCAGCAAGUAAAAUAGUAGUAAAAAACAGCAGAAAUAGCAAAAACAGCAGUAAAAAAUAACAGCAGUAAAAAAAAAAAGGCAAAGAUAACAGCAGUAUCCAGCAAGUAUAACAGCAGUAACCAGCAAAAACAGCAAGUAAAACAGCAAAAACAAUAAAAAAAUAGUAGUAACCAGCAAACAUAACAGCAAAAACAGAAAGUUAAACAGCAAUAAACAGUAAGUGAAAAAAAAAAAAGAAGCAAAUAGCAAUUGAAACAAAAAUGAAUUGCAUAUCUUGGGAACAUACUCCUAAAGCAUUAGUGGCAAUGAUAUAACAAUUCUGUUAUUAAUGCCAAAGAAAAAAAAAUAGUUAAUUAUUUAUAUCAUACAGCAUAUAAACAUCAAACAUAUUAGAAAGAGGGGAAAUAAAACAAAACAAAACAAACAAAAGCAGGACCAGCUUUGUUUGAUAAGGGCCUUGUGACUUAUAAGUGUAUCAAGCAUUACAUAGUAAUAAUUAAUAUUGGUUCUUAAGGCAUCUCUAGCUAGUUAUUAUUAAUAUUGGUUUGAUUCUCCUUUUAAGCUUUUGUGUAUAUAAAUGCAACCGGAUGAAAAAGCUCAAGUUAAUUGAAGGGAACAAGUUUCAGCCAUCAAUUAUGAUUUAAGUAUGUAUAUAUAACUGAGACUGACAUUUAAUUAACCAUCUAAUUAACAUCUUAGCAGUUCAGAUAAAAAACAUGUAACUGAAUUGCUAAGGUGUGUAUAGUAGUUAUCAAUUAAUCCAAGAUUCAUUCACUUCUUGUAAUCUUAGCUAUGUAAGAUUCAACCCAGUCAUAUAUAAUUUAUAUGUCAUAUUGCACUUCCCAUGCAAAAUCAAUAAGAAGAAAAAGAUAAAUAAGUUAUAGAGCAACAAAUUAGAGACAGUACCCAAAAUGUGUCAGUCUAACACAAGAAGUCAUAUAUAUAUAUGCUGUAUCAAUAUUACCCUCAACAGUAUAUCCAGUCAAGGUAUUAAGCCAAAAUACGACUUACAUAGUUUGGCAAAGAAAAGAUAAAAAACAUGUAACUGGGCAACUACUUAAACCAUGAUAUAUUGCAGUGGAAAUUGAACAUAGUUAAAAAAAAAAAAAAGAGAUCCCUGGCUUACAGAAUGGUCAGUAAUUGUACAGCCAUAUUCACCAGAAAUGUAGACAUAAUGUAAAAUUCGAAACGAAUGAAGUUGAAUGAACACAAAUUGCAUAUUACAAAUUGCAAACAACAAAAUAGGGCUAUGACAAAUCAAAUUAAAUCUCCAGUUGUAGCAGUGUACCCAUUGCACAUGUGCAAUUUAGCUUUAACAACCAUCUACGAGAAUAAUCUCAUUUCUCAUACACAAAGAAGGCACCAUCUCUACAACAGUUAAACCAAGUGUCAAACCAGAAACACCAUAAACUAUACACAUCUUAGCAAUCCCAGCGACAUUUUCAAUCAAAUCAAGAAUCGAAUCAAAUACCACCAUUCAGAAGCAAAUUUGAAGCAACACAACAAUGAAAAAGAACCAUAACCCACAACUCACGACAUCGCACUGAAUUGAGAUACCAAGUCAAUAAUAAUUCAUCUUAUAAGCUGGAAUCAGUUAUCCAAUGAAUCGUAACACAACUUAUAAAUUGAUUCCCAUUAACUUUAUGGCAUGAACAAUUGCAACAGCCAAGAACAUCCAAACAGCCAUAAAAAAGGAAUCAACAAGGGCAUCCAAACAGCCAAAAUAACAAAAUAAUACAUGGAAGAGAUGAGAAAGAGUACCUAAUGUGAGAAAUUGUGAAGCUAAAGAGUCGGAAAUUGCUAUGAUAACAGUGAAAGCUAAACCGAGAACUGAUGAAGCUCUCCGGCGAAUGCUAUUGUUCAAAUUCUGAACAAUUUCGUAAAGGAAGAUGGAUGAGAUAAUCCGAACGGUCUCUUGUGCUCAAACGCUGUCAGCAGCGCUCUUUAUAGCCGGUGAAAGCUGCCGGAAGUUCAUCAAUGACUUUGCUAUAGAGAUUUUGACAUUCUAUGAGUUGCAAAAUCGAAAGGAGAAUGAGGAUUAGGGUUGUUUGAUUUAGACUUCUUGAAGGGUAAACUUGGAGAUUAAAAAAUAAAUGAGGGUAGAAUAGAGAAAUAGAUCUUUUUAAUUGGGUGGAAUCCAGAUUUCCGCACUCAAUAGAGAGGAAAGUGAAUUUCUCAACUCAUGGAAAUUGGAGAAAAGUCGGAAUUUGAUUUCCAGUCAAAUUCUACCAACCGAACAGUGGAAAACUAGCAGGAACCAGAAACCCUCUCCUCUCCAGCCUUCUCUGCUGCCAACCGAACAUGGCCUUAAUGUAACUUACACCACUCACACAAAUUACUUCUUCAUAUCAUAACUAAUUAAACAACCGCUUCUUUCUUGAAGAAUCGUAAAUAUUAAAGUAAAAAGACAAAAGUAAACAAAUAUAGAAAUAUGGUCCGCACAAUAACUACACGGUAUCUAUCAUCGGUUUGCUCCCAGAAAUAGAAAAGUGCUUUUCAAGUCUUCUCUUUAAUAAAGCCACAAAUAGCAACUAACUAAAAGCUAACUGCUAUAUCCACUGAUGUUGUCACAUUGACGAUAUAAACCAAACAUUUUCCAAACCCAGAAAAAAAAAAAGGGACAUUGAUUCCACUUUAUAAAUAUAAUUAGGCAGCUGCUACUUUGAAACUGUUACAAUUGUUUCAGAUUCAGGUAUAGACAUCCAACGGUUUUGGGGACUCCUCUAUCUCAGAACUGUUUUAAGGUAGCUGAACUCAUAUAAUUAACGUAAUUACAAUAAUUAAAUUUAAUAUUAUGAUUGAUACAUAUUUAUUAAAACAAAAUGUAAAUAUAAAUAUAAAAACAACAAUUAAGAUAAAAUAAGUUUCUUUAAAACAUCACAAUGAGAAUUGAGAAGCAUCUAUUGUUAUUAUUUUAAUUUAUCUGCGAGCCCCACAUAUUCAUUUAACAAAGAAAUCAUAAAGCAUUGCCAGAAUUAAAGUUUUAUUGAAGAAGAAAAGUAAUUUAUAAAUAAUAUUCUUUUCAACUUUAGUACUGCGUGUUGAUGGGGAGACAAAAUGAAAAGUGUUGACAGGCAGAGACACACGAAUCUCAUAAAUAUUAUUAAAAAAAAUUCGUUGACAGGGAGAGACAAACGAAUAUCAUAUAUAUUAUUGAAAAAAAAAAAUCAUAGUCUGUAUCGUCUAUACAGAAUCGUAUGCAUAACUGAAAGUCUAAAACAACUGAUCUGGCUUUUAUAAAAAUAGAAGAUAAUAUUAUUACUGUGGCACCUGUACCCAGCUAUAGGAAGUGGUAGUUGCAUGGAAGCUCAAGUCACCACAAUUACACCAUAUCCCCAGAUGGACUUGGCAGCAGGUCUUGGAUGCUGCCUCAUCAGUUAGAUCAUUUGGAUUAUUAACAAUGAUAUGUUUUUAUUAGCUGAAUUGAUAACUCUCCAAGCCACGUCUGUAAGGCUAACAUUUGGAUUAUAACUGAUAGACAAGAAUAAAAAGAAAAAAACAGAGUUAAAAAAAGUUGAUAUAAUGAACCUUGUGGUCAAAUGUCAGAUCUGACUUCUUCAAACGAACUAAAGGCCAGCAAUGAAAAUUUCACAUAAAAGCAACUAGACUACCUGCAAGAUAGCUUAAAUUAAAAGUUUUCUGACUCAUUCAGCAGAGACGCCAACAAUUUCCGAAACUUUUUGUUGGACCUCACGUUUAUAAAUUCUCAAAUCUUCCUACACCAAUCUGACAACAUCACAGAAAGCAAGCAACACCACAUUUAAUUGUCUUUAAGCUACAAAAAAAGCUUCAAGCUCUGCUGAUGCCAGGAUAUAAUGAGAAACCAAUCAUAGAACAUGUCAUAAGCAAGGGCACAAGCAGAGGAAAGAUCUUCAAUGCUUCAGUGUGAUGAUAAUCACCAUGAAACAAUAUCAACAGAUAUGAUCUAGUGAUAAAUGAAAUAUAACAACCUUCAAAUGAAAUUAAUAAACAGCGACAGAACGAUAUAAAACAAAUAACUUCAUAAAGAAAGAGUUUACAUUUUUGUCGGAAAUCUGAUUACCGUUCUUUCAUUUGUAUGUAAAGUCUCUGAAAUUCCCUAGUCGUGCCCAAAUAAAUUCUCUUAUAUAUAUGAUGAAUAAUGCUGUUAAAAGAAGCCCCUGAACUUAGAAUUACUUCCACUUCUUUAAAUUCUUAGUUAUAAUAAGGCAAGAGGGAGUUUUGGUAUUUUUAGUGAGAUAUAGAAAGGUAUUUACCCUCACUUUAUCUUGCAACUUCAAAACCUGGAAAGUCUCUCUCAAAACAUGAAUUUAGACGAAUGGACUUCAACUAAAAGGAUUUUCUUACAAAAGCUAAAAAAUGCAACAGCAUAGUGAAAAUGGGAAAAUGAAAAUAUAAAGCAGAAGAAAAAGUUUCCAUCAGAUAAGACAAAUACAGAAAAUCCAAGUUCUUAUUUGCCAUGCCAAUAUUAUUCCUGCAGAAUUACUCUAAUUUAUUUUUCAGUGAAGGUUAGUAACAAUUUAUCUGUAAAUAACUGAACCAACUUGGUUAUUACGACAUUACUCUUUCUCUUCUACACUCAUUUUCUGCAUAGUUGCGGUUAAUCAACGACCACAUUCACAAACACGAGUCCACUCUCCCCGGCCCCUUCACUUAUUUCCCCAACCUUAAGGUCUCUCAAAGUGCAGCAGCAAGACAUGAACUCCGAUCAAUAUAAAGCAAUAUUAAGCCCAGCUAAAAAAUCCAACACCUAUUUGGCUAGAAAAACCCCAUAACUCAUUGCCACACUCUCUAUUUUCACCCCUUUCAUCAAAACACAAGCAUUACUUACCCAUGUCCAGACAUAAUUUCGUUUUCUGAUAUCACGUCAUUCAGGGGGGAAAAAGCAAUUAAAGGAUUUCAGUACAUAAAUUACAACAAGCUGUCAAUUCGCAAAAACAAGGAAAAUUAGCUCAAUCGAGUGAAGUAGGCCUACAAAAUGACCUCAAUGAGAUAUCAGAUACCUCAAAAAUCGAAUCAAAUUCAGUUAAACUAAGAAUCACUCAUCAAUAUGAAUAACAGAAAGAAAUUUCUCAUAAAAACUCAAUACAAAUAAAAAAAAAUUAGCUAAUCAUCCUUUUUUGGUUUAGUGACUUCGUCAGAAAAUAAGACGAAAUAGAAAUUCUGAAAUUUACUUAGGGUUUCUAGGUUUGAAAAUUUACCUUACGAGAAGCCAGGCUCUCUGUUUCUAGCUUUGUAACGUUACUAUUAUGGCCGAUCUACGCCGAUCAGCUGAGAUGAUCAGAUUUCUCGCCGGCGACGACGCAGACGUUUGGAUUUGGGUUUGACGAUAGACGAAGGAAUGUUUAGGGGUCCUGGGUGAUUUUGGGACUUAUUGAAUUGAAAGACCAAAAUAACCUUUAAAAAUUUACACAUGUAAUAUUCGGGGUAGUUAAACAGUUAAUUUUUUUUUUAACCAUAAAAACAGAAUAUAAAUCUACAUACAGAAUUUUAUUAAUAUACCCUUGUUCAUCCGGACCAUAGUACAACGACAACAACAACCCAAAAAAAAAAAAAUCUAGCCUCUGUCUGCAAGUGCUUUUUCAAGCAGAAGCCAAAGAUAGCAACUAAGCUUUCACAUCAAACUGUUCAAACUUAUUCGGGUAACAACAGACUAUAGGCCAUUGUAAUAACUAGUUCGCAAUGGAAAGAUAUAAAACUCUCAUAAUUCUACACUUUGUUAGUUUGUUACUUUAGCAGGUACUAGGACCCUACAGUGGCACCAACAAUAUCGUCUACCACAACUUCCAGGUUGUUCUCAUCAUCAUCAGUUGAGCUUGGCUGCAGGUUUUGGUUCCCGUUCAGACGGUUGAUCAUGAUCAAGAUUGUGCCAGUAAUGGGCGUUAUUAUUGCAGUGAGAUUCCGAAACCAGUUGAAAAUGUGCUGAGACAGAGAAGCUACGGUUCCAUAACGGAGUGAUGAGAUUAUGAGGCACAAAUAGGCCACGAAGAAGAGAAAUGGAGACGAAGUGACGGAGGCAACCACCGAGAUAGCCAACAAAACAGAGGUUUCUUCAAAACCCUCGGAAAUGGAGCUCCUCACAUUGAAAGCAAGUCUGAUGGGUAUGUGGCGGAAGAGCAGUACUGGCAUGGUGACGGCAGGAAUCAGGAACCGGAACUGAAGUUUUAAAAUCGGAUGCAAAAUUAUCGUACUUGUACCACCUUGGACGUCCGAAGAAUUGCCAUCCUGAGACCUGCGGAACAGAAUAAAGAUGAUAAGAUUUAGUAAUAGCAGAUAUAAAAAGCUCAAAGUGAUUGACAGAUCCAUGCUUAUGAGGAAGAUCAGGGGCCUGAAUUUUUAUUUAUUUAGUUUCUUUCUCUCUGAGGUUAAAGACGUUGGUUGAGUAUGACAAGAACUUUUGAGUUUGAGCAGGAUUUUAUAGUUGGGAAUUGCAUGGGGGAAGGUUCCUGGAAGCUGCUGCCUCUGCUUGACCAAGCCUAUUUGGUCUUUUAAUAUUGAUAAGUAAUAUUAUCAUUAAUAUUAGGUUAUUUUGGUCUUUUAACACUGAUGAGUCAUGUUAAGUGUUAUUAGGUUUUGGUCUUGAUGACUUUUCUUGAAGCUAUAUUAUAUGUAGGCAAACACAACCUUACAAUCAAUGUAUGGUACAUCCCUCACUCAUGAACAGUGUAUGAGUGGGACCCACUCACUGUUCACAUAUGUGAGGGAUAUACCAUACAUUGAUUGUAAGGUAGUGAGAUCCUUAUAUGUAUAAACUUUCCAUGACAAUAUCACCAGUGGCAUAGACCAAAAACAUCGACAUUCACGACAAUCUCUUAAGAGGAGGGAUUGUCAAUUUCCUCAUAUUAAAUUCAGAUUGAUGUAAGUUAUAGAUUUUAUAAUUUAAUAAAACGCAAUUAAUACACAUACAUAAAUGUGUGUGCUUACAUUGCAACAUUUUUUGGGCUUUCUCUUUUGGGCUAUUCAUUAGUUGUUUUUUUAGAGUAUUAAUAUAGUCAUAAAUUUGUAUAUAAAUUUAUUUUGUAUAAAUUGAUAUGGUGUGAUAAAAUUAGUUGAAUUAAAUAUCUCUUGGCUCACAUGAUUUAUUUUUUAUUAUUUUAUAUUUUCAUUCAACCAAUUUUAUUAUGUCAAAUCAGUUUGUACAAGAUAAGUUUGUACAAUAAUUUGUUACUAUAUCAUCACUCUUUUAUUUAUAUUUUGAGUAAUGAUACAGUCACAAACUUUUGUACAAACUUAUUUUGUACAAAUUGAUGUGCCAUAAUAAAAUUUGUUGAAUUAAAUAUCUCUUAGCCCACAUGAUUUAUUUUUGUUAUUUUUAUUUUCAUUCAACCAGUGAAUUAAUGUCACAUCAGUUUAUAUAAAAUAAGUUUGUACAAGAGUUUGUAGCUCUAUCACCACUCUUAUAUUUUAGUUAGUCAAUCUACUUAUAUAGAACUGGGAAAUAAAAUAGAAGUGUAGUUUAAGGAAUAAAUUUAUGGAAAAAUAAAUAAAAAGAAAAAUCAGAAUCAAGAUAAUGAAAUAACUAAAGGCUAUUGGACUCGUUGCUAAGAGCAAAUGGCGCAUUUCAUUGUCAUUAACGUGUGGAGCAAAUUUUUCAAGAGCUUUUGAAUUAAACGGCGCCCUUCUUAUAUUUCAAGUCCUUUCAUCAAGUUAGCUUCGCUUUAAUUUGGCUAUUGACUACAUAUUAUUGCCAAUUUCUUAUUAAAAAAAAAACGUUGGUUUUGGACAUAGUUAAGAGAUUAAAAAACGAAAAAUAAAAAUAUGGAUGUAUAAUCGGAGAUUUCUUGGCUCGUUGCCGAAAGUAAAAGGAGUGUUGUGAUUGGUUCAAGAAACGGAUCUGGCCUCUAUUUGAAAGUCAUAAAUAGUCACUUGGCUCGUUGGUCAGUUGAUUCAAUUUCUCAAAAGUAAUUCACAAAGAGAUUGCGACACGUGUUGUUAUAAUCUCUCGUCUCGCUAUAUCUCUCCUUCACCGUUAGUGAUCGAAUUUUCUGAAUUCACUGCAAGAGACUUCCUGCGGAAGACAUCAACUUGCAGACAGGGAAAAAAAUAAAUCAAUGAGUAAGAAAGCAUUAUGCCUUUGAACUUUUCCUUGCCAUUUUCUCUCGCAAAAUAAUUGAAUUUAAAGCUUUUAUUUUAAAUGAUAUUAAUCAAAAUGAUUAAGUUACCAUUGAAAUUGUUGAUGCGAAAAUAUGAGAUGAGUGGUGUGUAAUCAAUAACUCUUCGAGUUGGAUCGUGGCACACCAAUAGUUAUCUUUUAAAGGUCAAAUUUCAACACACAAAUAAGUCUUGUAAUGCUAAAUUAGCCUUAAAAGUUUAUGGAUUGCUUACCAUUAAAAUUAAUGUAGUUACGCGUGUACUUUCUAUUUCUUCAUAAAGUAUUUUCCCUUAUCAAAAAAUUAAUUAAAAAAAAUUAACUCUUUGACUAUGAUUAGUCCCUUGUUAUUAGGCUGCUUGGGUCCGUAUAUUAUCUUUAUCCAACCUUCGAUUAUGGGUUUGGGAUAUUUGGGUGAAUUAUUUUUAAGUCCCGGUAACUUUUCAAAAUUUCAUUAAUUUAGUAACUAAUUAAAUCAUCUUUAUAAUAAAAGCAAUUUGAUUAUUUUAUCCUUGUAACAUUAAAUUGUAAAAAAGUCUGAGAUAAUGCUUGAAUUUAUUUAAAAAAAAAUUAAAAGCAAAAACCCAUCAAUUAAUUAAAGCGAAGAACACGAUAAAGUUAACUUAAAUCAUCAUUUGAUCAUUCAUAUAAAGAUAUAGAAUACUUGUUCUAAAUUCAAAAAUUUGAGUUGCUGCUUCUUUUUUACACUUGGCUUCUCAUUCUUAUACAAUUCACGGUUUGAAUUAUCCUCGUCCACUUUUUUCACCCCACUCAUUACACAAUAAUUAUCAUCAAGCCCACAAGUUUGCAAAAAUUAUUUGAAUUGGACCAUUAGCCUACGUUUUGGCCUCGGGAUGCCCCACUCCAGCCUUUAUUUGUAAAUAUUAUUUUCCUCUUAAUGAAGUUACUACUCAAAAAGGAAAAAAAAAAAAAAGGUAACUUUUUUAUGAUCAUCUUCCUCCCUAGCAUGAUUAUUUUGUUUCAAUUUAAAAUUUAUUAAAAAAAGCGUAAUUAAAUUUUGGUUUAAAAAGGACGUUGAUGAUGAUACAUCGGUGCCAAAAGCCAUCAAAGAAAGAAAAAAAAAAAAUCCCCAUUGGUUGUGGGUGGACAGAGUUUUAAGCAUAAGAGAUUGUUUGUGUUUCAAAUGUGAGUUUAAUUAGAUAUACAUUUGUCGUUUCAUCUAAUUUUAAUGAAAGUUAAAGUUAUAAAAUACCUAAGGGGUUUUAAAAGAUAUUUAAGGUGGUGCUAAUAGUCCAACUGUGUUCGUUUUUCAUGCAGAUGAAUACUUAAAUAGGCCAUGCAUCAAGAAAAAUAAAUGCAAGAGGCAAUAGCUGAUAUUGCCAAAAGAAUCGAGAACUUUCUAAGAUGCAGAAAAUGUGACGGAUAGUGAGUAGGAAUUUGGUGGGUGGACAGAUGUAUGUUUGUAAAAUGCAGAAAAAUAAACGACCAAUGAUUCCCAUUUUCGUUUUGUUUUGUUAUGCAAGAAUUAUUUUCGACAAAGAAGCUGAAAGCCAGGAGACAUAGACAAAGGAGCGACGAAGAAAUAUUUUUGCGAAUUUUUUUUUACCACUAGCACUAGGUAGCGUGUGUUUAUUUAUUUUUUAUUUUAAAUUUAUAAAUGUAAAAUAUUAAUUUAUAAAGCUGAAUCGGUGCGUACGUAUAGAAAACAGUUAACCUGAUAACCGGUAAGUUAAAUGGGUCUGCAUUUGGCUGUUAAUAAUUUGUUCGUUGCUCCUGCAACAGGCCAAUUCUCUAUAUUCAUAUAAAGUUUUAAUGGCUAUUACUGAGUGAGUGUGUAGGGUACUGGAUAAAAAUGAAAAAAACAGAAUAAAUUUGACACAACAUUUUAUUUAAUAUACCCUUCUUCAUAUCAUAACUAAUUAAACAGCCUCUACUUUCUUGGAAAAUCAUAAAUAUUUAAAGUAAAAAGACAAAAAUAAACAAAUAUAGAAAUAUGGUCCGCACCAUAAGUAUCUUUCAUCGGUUUGCCCCCAGAAGUAGAAAAGUGCUUUUCAAGUCUCCUCUGUAAUAAAGCCACAAAUAGCAACUAACUAAAAGCUAACUGACGCCGUCACAUUGACGAUAGAGACCAAACACUUUCCAAACUCGGGAAAAAAAAAAAAAGACAUCGAUUUCACUUUAUAAAUAUAAUAAGGCAGCUGUUACUUUGGAAGUGUUGCAAUUGUUUCAGAUUUAGGUACAGACAUCCAACGAUUUUGGACUACUCUACCAUAGAAUUGAUGUAAUUACAAUUAUUAGAUUUAAUAUUAUGAUUGAUACAUAUAUAUUAAAACAAAAUGUAAAUAUAAAUAUAAAAAGAACAAUUAAGAUAAAAUAAGUUUCUUUAAACAUCACGAUGAGAAUUGAGAAGCAACUAUUGUUUGUUAUUUUAAUUUAUCUGCGGGCCGCACGUACUCAUUUACCAAAGAAAUCGUAAUGAAUUACCAGAACUAAAGCUUUAUUGAAGAAGAAAAGUAAUUUAUAUAUUAAUAUUCUUUUCAACUUUAGUACUGCGUGUUGAUGGGGAGACAAAAGUAAAAAAUUGUGAACAGAAAGAGACAUACGAAUCUCAUAAAUAUUAAAAAAAAUUCGUUGACACGGAGACACACACGAAUGUCAUAAAUAUUAUUGAAAAAAAAAACAUUCAUUGUCCGUAUCGUCUAUACGGAAUCGUGUGCAUAACUGAAACAACUGAUCUGACUUUUAUUAUUAAAUUCACUUGCUAAGAUAUUGGAGUAGUGUUGAUGCAAUUUUCUGUCAUGCCUGAAGAUUCAACUUGCCAGGAUUUCGGUUAUGCCUUCAGGUUCAAGUAUUGUUGCUGAUUAUGCGAGCUGUUGAGAUAAUUGAGCAUGGCUUUAGAUUCAAUUUCAGCAAAUGUGUGGGGAGAGGAUUUAAUCCGAAUGAUUUAUGGGUUCUGGAAAAAAAGAAAUUUUCUUUAUGUUAACUUGCAACAAUAUGUAUGUAAUUUUUUACGAUAUUAGCAAUAUUUAAUAACAGAAUAGUUGAAAUAUUUUUAAAUUGUGUUAUUUUCAAAUUAUGAGACAAAGAAAAUAAUUUUGCACAAAAGAUAUACUAACAAUACACUAAAAAUGCAUGAACGAAUAAUACAUGAAUAUUUCAAUAAAAGAAAUGUAUGUAGCACAUUUGGAACCACUCAGGAGAUACAACUCUCUUCUAAUUGUCCUUCACCUUUAAAUUUGUUCCACUGGUACAUGGAUAGACUAGUGUUGGAAAAGGAACAUGCCAAAACUAAAUUCCAAUUACAUUUUUUUUUCCUAUCAUUAAGUUUCUGUAGUUAAAUUUAAGGGUAAUUUUCGGAUACCUCCCCUGAGGUUUACCCCUGCUAUACUUAGAGAGAAUGUAUGAAUAUAUUGACAUAUAGCACCCCUGAAUGUAUAUAAGCGUUAGAGAGCCCUUUGGUUUGACAAUAAAAAUACAAUAAUGCCCUUCAUUCUACAGUACAAGAACUGACAAUUGGUCUUACAUUACAGAGUUGUCAAAUCAUCUUUUGCUUCUUGGCGCCAAGUGCAUAAGAACAUCUCUUAAUAUAUCAAUGGAACACCUAGGAGUUAAAAUGCGAACAAGAGCCUCUUCCAUUGCAGCCUGCAGUGGUAAUUUUAGCAUGAUAUUAGUCUUAUAAAAAAAAUGCAAGAGAAAACAAAUCGGAGAAUUCAAAUAUGAGACAAAACUAAAAAUCAAAUACCUGCACAAUUGAAGAAAUCAUUGUAAAUGAGGCUAGCUUUUUGCCUUCAAGACUUGCUGCAACUGAUUCACAUAGUUUCUCAACUAUCUCCUUAGCCUAAAAUGUCAGUGCUCAAGUCCAUUAGCAACUUCUUAAGAAUGAUCAGAAUAGCCAAUGAAAGAAAACUAAUAAACAUCAGAGGAAAAAGGUAAAAGAUUCAGAUACAUACAACAUUCUUGGUCAUGAGCCUAUCCUUAAGAGAUUUCAGAGCGGGUUCUAAGUCUGCCUUAUCCAAGUUUGCCUUUCCAGCAAUACUGAGUUAAAAAUAAAGACGAUUUAAUAAAUAGAACAUAUUUUUAACAAACAGAUUUAUUGAGAGAUUAAUCAAACAAAAUUGAGUCGUCAAGGAAAAAUACCUAUGGAACAUAGAUGAAAACCAGCCCGUCUUCUUAGCAUCAGGCUUGUUGUGCUUACCCACUUCUUCAUCUUCUUCGGAUUCACUAUCACUGCUGAAAACCUCUUCCUAGUCCAUCAUACUUUCACCAUGAUUUGAUGCCUCAACCUCGAUAUUACUGCCAUUUCCACCUGCAGGAUCCGUGAAGUCCAAUUUGGACUCUGGAGGCGAUUCGUCCUAAACUCUGUUCUUCUUUGUUGUCUUUUUCUUUGGGUUCGGUUUUGAACCCUUGCUAACAAUAGUAUCAGUUUUCUUACUACCUUUAUUUCUUAACUUCUGUAACUUGCAUCAAAAGCCCCAAUAUUAGAACUUGUAUUUUCUUUACCGUUAGCAAUACCUGUUACCCUAGAUUUUUCAAUCUCAACAUUGCUGACAUUAGAGUGUCCAUUCUCCAAUUUAUGGCCUCUCAUAUUAUCACUAUCCCCGUCAUCAUUUGCCGACCCACCUCCACUCCUCUUACUUCCCCUUUCAAAUCCACUCUUUUGCAGCUGUCCUCCCUGCUUCUUAAGGUUAUUCAUAGGCAUAGUAACUUGCUUUGAUUUUUUUAACUCCUCCGCCCUCGCUUCUGCCUCCUUCCUAAGUUGUCUAAACAUUUCAUCAAAAUCUGAAUAGUUAGUUCGUUUUCAUCAAAAUCGUAAAUAUCAGUCUUGUCUUUGUUCUUAUGCACUUGGCGCCAAGAAGUAAGGGAUGAUUUGACAACUCUAUAAUGUAAGACCAAUUGCCAGUUCUUGUAUUGUAGAAUGAAGGGUAUUAUUGUAUUUUUAUUGUUAAACCAAACGGCUUCCUAAUGAUUAUAUACGUUCAGGGGCGCUAUAUGUUAAUAUAUUCAUACAUUCUCUCUAAAUGUAGCAGGGAUAAACCUCAGGGGAGGUAUCCGAAAAUUACCCUUAAAUUUAAUUAUAGAAACUAAGUGAUAAUGUUAUUGUGCGAACCAUAUUCUAUAUAAUAAAUAUGCCUUCGAUGACUAAAAAAUACGACAUUCACAUUAAUCUCUGAGGGCCCAGCUUUAAGAAGAAAUCGAUUAGUGUGGAAAUAUGAGACGUGAUGGAAUCAAACGUAUUUAAAACUAAAACAUAUAAAGGGACACGUCAUGAAUCAUCUUGAGGCAGCAAACCAUCCAGAUUUUCGUUCAUCCACUACCACCCGAGCAAAAACGCAAACGGUAGGUGAUUUACUUUUAUUGCUCUUUCACUACCACAUGAUUUAUUUGCAUCUCAGUACAGAUGCAACUUGCAUUAUCCAACCAGUAGAUGGUGGGAAAAAAAAUAUAUGUUUGCCCUCACGAGAUGGAGGGUAAUUCUGGCAUUUUGAAAAUUAAGGAAGUUGCACAGAAGUUGCAACUUGCAUUAUCCAAACCAUUCUCUCAAUUUUCUUUAUGCUUUUAGUCAUACUAAUUUCACACGUAUGAGAGAGCCAAGUAACAUAGAAAAGAGCUAUAACACCAAAUGUUCCUAAAACCUUAUUAACUUUCUUUCCUUGCCCAGAAGCAAAAACAUUAUUCUCCAUUAACAAACAGCUACAAGAACUUGGAACAUCCCAAAACCUUAUUCUCUAUUUCCUCAUCUUUUUAUUAUUCCUGGUAACAUUGCACUAUAAAUGAGAUAAAUGCAUUUAUCCGCACCCAUAUUAAAAUUUCCCAUGCAUAAUAAACCAAUUACCCACAGGUACACUUAAAGUUUCAAAUAGACACAUUUAUGAAAAUGCCUAGAGCCUACCAAACUUCUUAGUUAAUCUGCUCACAAUAGAACAUUUGACAGCCACUUUUUGAUAAAUUGGGUUAUUAAUCGCCUUUGUGUUCUUUGAAACCUCAUUCUUGGAAUUGGUUGCUGAGUUUCCAAUUAUUAAUUGAACUCUAGUCAUUGAUACGUAUGAAUGCUUAUGGUUCCGUAAGAUGGAAUCUGUCAUAGACUGAUUAAUUAUUUCAUGUUUCUUUUACUGGCUAAUUGGUUUUUUAAACAUAUAUAUAAAAAUUAUCUAACACAAUGGAUAUCAUCAAAAGACUCUUUUGAUUUUACUCUUUAAAUAUCUAUUUACUUACUUAUGCAGUAAAUAGAAAAGUGAAAAAAUAAACUCUCCUUUAAAAAACUCUUCAAAUAAGAUAAGAUAAUAUUAUUUUAAUUAAAUCUUUUUCUUUACCAAAUUUAAUUACCCAUCAUUUUAUCACUCCAACUAUUUUAGUCAAAUCUUUGCUGUUACGUAAUUUUAUGUUGAUUUUAAAUGUCGUUGUCAUUGUUGUUGUUAUAUUUUAAAUAUGUUUAUCUGUUAGUAAUUCUGUUAAUAUGUUUUUAGAUUUUAUGUUGAUUUCCCGCGCCUGCAGGGUCCAUUUUGAAAAAAUUUUACUACGUUUGUGACCAUUAUUAUUAGGUUGAAUAUGUUAUUUUUUUAAUCUUAAAUUUUAAAAAUAAACGCAAAAUCUGAAUGCACAAAGCUGGUGGAUUUGGCGCAUAUAGAAAUUAGUUUUUCGAUCUUUUGGCUGUGUUUUAUUCUUAUAAUAGAUAAAAUAUCAAAUCCUACAUGUAUAUUGGUCCAUUUGGCUUCUGUUUUGGAAAAUCAUGAAUAUUACAAUGGAAAAGACAAGAAUAAACAAAUCUAGAAAAAAGCACAAGAAGCACUACGUAUCCAACAUUGGUUUGCUCCCAGAAUCAGGGAAGUGCUUUUCAAGUCUUUUCUUUAAUGAAGCCGACAAUAGUUAGCAGCUAAAGGACAAAGAUACCAUGCAGAAUCAAACACUGUUCAAACAAAAAAGUCCUGGAUUCCACUUUAUAAAUAGAAAGUACAAUUAUUUAAUUUUUGGAGAAAGUCAUAAUGGUGCUUCCUUAAUCGUUUUUUUUUUUUAAUUUUGGGGCUCGAAUAUGCGCAUUACCUUGUUUAGCAGGUGGCUUUAUGUGAAUCUGUGAUACUGCCAAGAAGCUUUGUACUUCCCAAUCCCAAUACCUUAACCACAUCCAUCAGGAACCUUUUUGAUUUGAGAUUUUUUAUUUCCGCCAAUAUUAAAUCUUUUAAUCUUUCAUUAUGUGCUCGAAAUCUUAUAUAUAUAUAUAUAUAUAUAUAUAUGUAAACGGGGACAAUUAGUUCAUGUUCAUUCUUGCCAUCCAUUUUUUACUCUUGUUUGCAAGCCCAUAUCUUCCACAGGAAGUUCACUUCGGCGGAUUGUGAAUACUUCGCCGCUAAUUAAGCGUACUAAGCAUCAACGUACUUUUUCGAAAUUGAUGAAUGAUAGAGAUCUGGCGGGACGAGGGAUAUUAUAACAACACGUGUUCCAAUAAUCUGUGUGGGAAUUACUUUUGACACUUGAUGAACUAUAGAUGGUCAGUUUAUGUAUGCUGCUGUUUUCAGUCGUGCCAUUAUCGACACUGUCAUUGGAAAGCCCGUACAUUGAACAUGGUUCGCAUUUAUUAUUAUAUCGUCAUACCGUAAUAUUAGUUUUUUUUUAAUAUUGUCACUAACAAAUCAAAAAAUAUAAAUUUUAAUACACUAACAAAUAAAAAAAUAUAUAAUUUUUAAUAUAUUAAAAUUUAUUAAGAAUAUAUCCAAACGGAUGACAAAAAGUGAACAUUGUCCCACUGACAAAAAACUUAGUCUUCCUCUUUCUGAAAAAAAAAACUUAGUCUUCCCUCUUAUUUUAAAAAAUGCAAUCUCGCCGAGUAACCCAAAAAAGAGUUAAGAGCCAGAGAACCUUAGCUUUCUAUCCUUGCCCAAAAUCAAAAACAUUUUUCAUUAGCAAAGAGCUACAAGAACUUGGAGCAUCCUAAAAUCAGUAACAUAAUUGAGAAUCAAUGCAUGUAUCCGCAACCAUUUAUUUAGUACCAAAACAUUCAAUUUUAAAUUUCUGACAGACUUGCUUAAUUGCCCAAAUUCUACUAAGUUUUUCAGUUAACCUGCUCAAAUACAAUCCACAGUUGCGUUUAAAUAAAUUGAGUUAUUUAACGCCUAUAGCCUUCGAAACCUCAUCAUAUUGCUACCAGAAUUAAUCCACACCAAACAAUCAACACAUGAAAUACAGGACCUUCAGACGGAGGAAAUACCGCUGAAGAAAAAUUAAAAACCCAUAGAAGCACUAAAUACUUCUCCUAUUACUAAUAAUGUAACAAAACAGCAUCAUUAUACGCUCAAUCUACCAUUAAAGAAAUAAAUCCAUACCAACGACAAGCUAAAUAUGACAUUUUUCUAGAAUUAAUAAUUCUGCAACCAAAAAAGCACAGCAAUUAUCUGCUUUUUAAAUAAUCCUAAAAACAGGACAAUGACUUAUUUUUGUCAUAAAAAGAACCUAUAAACACUUAUUUUUUAAUCUAUUUUAUUUCCAAGUGAAAACAACAUUCUUCUAUUCUUUCUUCAACAGGAAAACAGGUUAUGUUACAGUAGUCACUAGGCAGUAGGCAAAACACUUGAUAACUAAAUAUGUAAAAAGAAAUAAAGAAGAGUUUAAAAAAUUACAAAAAUUAAAAUAAAAAUACAAAAAAUAAAAAAUGAAAAUAUCAAACCCCUUCUUCAGAACAAUCCAAACAGGGAGUUAGCGGUUCUUAAUGUAACAGUUCUUAAAGUAACAGCAAGUAACCGGCCACUGUAACCCCAACUUUUCAACAUAGAACUUGAACUCUGGAAGAGAUAAAAGAAAAGACGUAGAUGACUGACUGAAUCCGACUGAGAGAGAGUUACCAAUAUACCGCACUGGUCAGCUCCAAGUUGAAUUUGUAAGUUUGGGUUGGAGUCCCAGUCCCACAGGUAGUGAAAGUAGGUAGUUAUCCUAACCAGCUGAAAGUAUCAAACCUGUUUGUAUAAGCCUGCACAAUACAAGUUAAUCAUCAGCAAAGGAGGAGGCUGCAGCACAUCAUGUACUAAUUAUAAAACAUGUAAAAAUAACGCAUUUUACCAGUCACAAAACCAUUUUUUCUUUAGAGAUAAUCUCCCCAUAGCAGCUAUAGAUAUGGAAAAAAAAAAAAUGACCUCAAAGUAGAGCAGUCUCCUCUUUUUCACCAAACAAAUACAACCAUUUCAAUUCACACCUGAGCUGAGAACCAUUCUAGUUUCAAUUUUCAACCAAUGAAACAACCAUAGCAUUCUUACAAAAAUUAAAAAAAAAAAAAGAAAUAACCAUAGAAUAAAAUAAUUCUACUCUAAUUCAAAUAUUGCUUCAGAAUUUAAGAUUUAUGCUAGACACAAUUGGUGUCUAGCAUAAAUCUUGGUCGCUGUAUUGUCUCUCUGCGGCUGGAUUUUUCCGUAGUAUAAAGACCUAACAAUCCAAGGAUGAAGUGGAAAAAGCAUGAUUGUUCUGAAUUACCAAUUCUUUCUAUAGAACCCUUUACUUUGUGUAUAUAACUGAAUACUGUUCUUGAUUCUUUGGAGAAACAUAUUUGUCCUCCUCCUAUACUGGAAAUGAUUAUGAUUUCUCUGGACUUUGUUACUGGAACUUUUAAUUUAUCAGGUUCCAUAAACGGGAAACACUAUCACAAUUAGAGUGUGUGUGUAUAACCAUCCUCUAACAAAGUGAGGAUCCCUAUAAAAAACCAAAAAAAAAAAAAAACAGAUUUUAUUCUCAUUUUGUUAAAGUGAAGAUGUCACUAGAAUACAAAAAAACACAUAUUUCAAUACAUUAAAAAUUGUAUCUGUUAGUGUAUUGAAUUUUUUUUUUUUAUUUACUGUAGUGCCAGACUCUUUCUACAAAAGUGAAACAGAUCAUUCUUGUUAAUUUCCCCAGAUGAUCAGUUUCUUUGGUAAACAACUCUAGCACUUAUAGCCACUGGGACUUCAUACAAUAAAAAACACAUAAUGGUGAAGUUAGACCAAGAAAAAUAAGCUAUUGGAAUUGAGUAAUACCAUGAGAACCACAUUGCUUUCCAUAACAAUGACUAGAGGCAUCAAGCAUGAUCAAAAUAACAGCAUGGGAAAUAAUCUCUCAGCCACUUAUAAGUCAUUAAUCAAAAGCAUGCACCUUUAAGAUGGCAAAAAUUUAUAUACACACACACAGUUCAAUCUCACUAGAGUUUCAGAAACUAGCAUUAUCGAGAUUAUGCCCUUCAUCUCUAUGCUUAGUCAUUGGUACACAUCCGUGUCAAAAGCUAGCCAUUCCCAAGUCCAAACGGAUGACAAAAAGUGAACAUUGUCCCAGAGACAAGAAACUUGGUCUUCCCUCUUAUCUUCAAAAAUGCAAUCUUGCCAAGUAACCCAAAAAAGAGCUAGAACAUCACACUGCCAGAGAUCCUUAGCUUUCUUUCCUUGCCCAAAAGCAAAAACAUUUUCCAUUAGCAAAGAGCUACAAGAACUUGGAGCGUCCCAAAAUCAAUAACAUAAUUGAGAAUCAAUGCAUGCAUCCGCAAGCAUUUAUUUAGUAUGAAAACCAAUUUUUAAUUUCUGACAGACUUAAUUGCCCAAAUUCUACCAGGCAUUUCAGUUAACCUGCCCGAAAUACAAUCCACAGGUGCAUUUAAAUCAGUUGGGCUAUUUAAAUGAAAUACAGGACCUACAAACCUCAUUGAAUUGCUACCAAAAGUACUCCAUGCCAAACAAUCAACACAUGAAAUACAGGACCUUCAGACAGAGGAAAUAUGGCUGAAGAAGAAAUUAAAAACCCAUAGAAGCACUACAUACUUCUAAUACUAAUAAUGGAACAAAACAACAUCACAAUACACUCAAUGUACCAUUAGAGGAAUAAAUCCAUACCAAUGACGAGCUAAAUAUGACAUUUUUCUAGAAUUAAUAACUCUGCAAACAAAAAAGCAUGGUAGUUAUCUGCAUUUUAAAUAAUCCUGAAAACAGGGCAAUGACUUAUUUAUGUCAUAAAAAGAACCUACAAACACUUAUUUUUAAUCUAUUUUAUUUCCAAGCAAAAACAACAUUCUUCUAUUCAUUCUUCAACAAAAAAACAGGUUAUGUUACAGUAGUCACCAGGCAGCAGGCAAAACACUUGAUGACUAAAUAUAUAAAAAGAAAUAAAAAAAGCUAAAAAAUCACAAAAAUUAAAAAUUGAAAAUAAAAAAAGAUUAAAAAAGAAACAGCAUUUAAAAAAUGAAAAAGUCAAACCCUUCUUCAGAAAAAUCCAGACAGUAAGUAAUAUUCCACUGAAACCGCAACCCAAUAUCUGAAUUUUUUUUUUUUGGGGGGGGGGGGGGGAGGGGGGUAAGAAUUAUUUUCAACAUAGAACUUGAACUCUGGAAGAGUUAAAAGGAAAAGACGUAGAUUACUCACUGAGUCUGACUGAGAGAGAGUCGCCAGUAUACCGCACCGGUCAACUCCCAGUUGAACUUGCAAGUUUGGGUUCGAGUCCCAGUCCGACGGGUAGUGAAAGCACGUAAUGAUGCUAAUCAGCUGAAGUAUUAAAACCUGUUUGUAUAAGCCUGCACAUUACAAGUUAAUCAUCAGCAAAGGAGGGGGCUGCAGCAAGAAACAACACAUCAUGUACUAAUUAUAAAACAUGUAAACUUAACGUAUUUUACCAGUCACAAAGCCCCUUUUCUUUAGAGAUAAUCUCCCCAGAGCAACUAUAAAUAUGAGAAAAAAAAUGACCACAAAGUAGAACCAUCCCCUCUUUUUCUCCAAACAAAUACAACCAUUUCAUUUCACAUAGAACCAUUCUAGUUCCAAGUUUCAACCAAUGAAACAACCAUAGUAUUCUUAUAAAAAUAAAAAAUGAAAUAACCAUAGAAUAAAAUAAUUAUACUCUAAUUCAAAUAUUGCUUCAGAAUUUACGAUUUAUGCCAGUUUCAGUUGCUCAAAAAUAUGGAAUUGGAAUGAUGCAUUUAUUUAACCCAAAACGUGAAUACCAAGCUUCAGAUUCUUACAUAUUGAAAUGAUCAAAUUUCAUUCAUUCUGAACAUGGGAUACAACUUCAACUAUUUCAAGUUAUUCCAAGAGAAAGCAUUAAAAGAAAUUUGUUCAUCCUACGUGGUAUAAGUAGCAUACUUCAGCUAGUAUUAUGCAUCAUCGGUUAAAUCAUUUGGAUUAUUAACAUUGAUAUUUUUUAUUAGCUGAAUUAAUAACUGUUGCACCCCUAACUUAAGGGCACUUGUGAUAAGAAAAAUUUAUCAACAUCAGGUGCAAAUAUAAGCUUUUAACAAUGAAGCUGUGACUGUUUGCUUACAAGAACAAACAUAUACUAAUAGAGAUGAAUAAAACCCAGAACUUCAAGAAAUAUUUGACGUUAUCUCCCCUAGAAUACGGAUAUUAUCCAAUAUAUCAAACCAACAAUUUUUAUACCCAGCUGCUUAAAACUUCAAAAAAUCGGUCAGCACAACAUUUAGGAUCUCUGGGACCCUAUCACUACGACACUAACAAUUAUAAGUGCGUCCUACUGAUGUUGCGUAGUUAUUAUAAAUACAUGUAUUAAAAAGCAUAAUAUCCAUAACAAGGUAGCUUACAAAGUUUACUAGGCCAGCAAUGCUAAAGUACAACCAGAACAAUAACAAAACAUACGAAGACUGUUCUUCAUUACAAAACACAACUUUCGAAAGAGGUAAUCUCCAUGUUAAGCCCCAAAUCAAAAUCAAUCCUCCACUGACCACAAUUUUUUCACCAUCAUUGCCCAAACCUGAAAAGUAAGGGCUGAGCUAAUGGCCCGUAACACAAAGGAUUUCUUUUUUUCUUUUAACACCAAAAUAAUUCACACAACUUGGGUACAUUUCUAGCAUAAGCCAUUUAUUUAUAUAUAAAUAUAUAAAUUAUUUCUUAAAACAUUUUGAGUUUGAAAGUUUUGGUAUUCAAUAGAAACAUCAUAAGACAAGAUCAUAACAUACCCUAGGGUUACUCAUACUUUCUGAAGUUACAUGUAAAGAAAUCCUAAAAUUACUCUUUCAAUAAUACAAAAUAAAAACAUGCCUGACAAGUCAGUAAGCUGUAAAUCCAACCAUAGAACAUGUCAUAAGGAAGGCACAAGCAGAGGAAAGAUCUUCAAUGCCUCAGUGUGAUGACAAUCAUCAUGAAACAAUAUCAACAGAUGUGUUUUAGGGAUACAUCUCAUAUAACAACCUUCAAAUGAUAUUAAUAUACAGCGAUAGAUCGAUAUAAAAUAAAUAACUCCAUAAAGCCAUAAAGAAAGAGUUUACAUUUGUGUUGGGGGUGGGGGGAGUUGGGGAGGAAGGAAGUAUGUAAAGUCUCUCAAAUUCUUUACUCAUGGUGUAAUAGAUUCUCCGAUAUACAUAAUGUAUAAUGCUGUUAAAAGAAGCCCUGAACUUAGAAUUACUUCCCCCUCCUCAUAUUCUUAGUUAUAAUAAGGCAUGAGUGAGUUUUGGUAUAUUUAAUGGGAUAUUGAAUGGUCUUUACCCCCAUUUUAUCUUGCAAUUACAAAACCAUGAAAGCCUCUUGCAAAACCUGAAUUUAGAUGAAUGGACUUCAAAUGAAAGGAUUUUCUUGCAAAAACUACAAAAUACAAUGGCAUAGUGAAAACGGGAAAAUGAAAAUAUAAAGCAAAAGAAAAAGUUUCCAUCUGAUAAAACAAAUACAAAAAAAUCCAAGUUUCUUAUUUGCCAUGCCAAUAUUAUUCAUGAAGAACUAAUCUAAUUUCUUUUCCAGACAAGGUUAGUAACAAUUUAUCUGUAAAUAACUGAACCAACUUGGUUACUACGACAUUACUCUUUCGCUUCUGCACUCAUUUUCUGCACAGUUGCAGUUCAUCAACGGCCGCGUUCACCAAAACGAGUCCACUCUCCCCACUUCACUUAUUUCCCCACCAUUUAAUGUCUCUCAAAGUGCAGCAGCAAGACAUGAACUCCUAUCAUUAUGAGCAAUAUAAAAAGCCCUCCUAAAAAAUCCACCACCUGUUUGGCCAGAAAAACUCCAUUACUCAUUUCCACACUCUCAAUUUUCACCCCUUUCAUCGGAACACAAGCAUUACUUACCCAUGUUUAGACAUAAUUUAUUUUUCUGAUAUCACAUCAUUCAGGGGAAAAAAAAAACAGACUUCAGCACAUAACAUAAAUUACAACAAGCUGGUCAAUUCACAUAAACAAGGAAAAAUUAACUCAAUAAAGUGAAGUAGGCACAAAAUGACCUCAAUGAGAUAUCAGAGACCUCUAAAAUCAAAUCAAAUUCAGUUAAACAAAGAAUCACUCAUCCAAGAUAAGCAAAAGAAUAAAAGCAAUGAAUAACAGAAAGAAAUUUCUUAUAAAAAUUCAAUUAAAAAAAAAAAGCUAAUAAUCUUUUCUGGUUAAGUGAUUUCGUCCGCAAAUAAGACAAAAUAGAAAUUCUGAAAUAUACCUAGGGUUUCUAGCUUUGGGAAUUUACCUUAUGAGAAAUCAGUCUCUCUGUUUCUAGAUUUGUAACUUUAGUAUCAUGGCGAAGCGACCUCACUCAGCUGAGAUAAUCGGAUUUCGCACCGGCGACGAUGCAAAUGUUGGGGUUUGGGCUCGACGACAGACAUAGGAGUGUUGGGGUUUUGGGUGAUUUAAGGAUUUUCUUUUAUUCAAGUAAAGUGACCAAAUUAACCUUUCAAAAUAAUUAAAGUAUCCCUAAGUUGUUACACAUUAAUGUCUAGAAUAGUUAAUUAAAUUUCUGCUCAUGGAUUUAUAUGGUACAAGUGAGUUCGUGUGGGGAAAAACGAAUAACAGGCUAAAAGGAAAAUUCGACGCAAAAUUUUAUUAGUACAAGCAUUACGUAAAUACAUUAUUGAAUAUGCCUUUUUUUUCCUGGGAUAAUCAUAUUAUAAGUGACAAAUAAUACAACAAAAGAAUAGAAGUACAAGUAGAAAGGCAGUAUCUAGGUUGUCUGCUACUCGGCUUCUAGUUCCACCCAAGAUACAUCUUCGUUCAGGUAACCAAGCACAGACUCUGUUACUGCUAUAACUAAUUUAUCACAUGACCAUAAUUUCCAGAACACCUUGCGCUUGUCCAAUGGGUUGUUCAACUUGAGGAGGAGCUAGCAGAUGGGCGUUGACAGAGGUGACAAUGAAGACAGCGAGACGUCGAAGCCAGUAGAGGAAUUGCUGAAACAGAGAAGCUAACAUUGCAUAACAGAGUGAUAAGAUUAUGAGGCACAAAUAGGCUACCAAAAACAGAGACGGAGCCAAAAUGACAGAGGCAACUGCUGAGACAGCCAACAGAACAGAGAGUUCUCCACAACUCACGCAAAUGGGUCGGCUCACUUUGAGAGGAACUCUGAUGGGUGUGAGGAUGAAGAGCAGUAAUGGGAUAAAAAGAACAUACAAAUGCUUAUUUUUAAUCUAAUUUUAUUUCCAACCAAAAGCAACAUUCUUCUAUAGGUUAUAUUACAGUAGUCACUAGGCAAUAGGCAAAACACUUGACAACUAAAUAUAGCAAGAAAUAAAAAAGAGUUUAAAAAAAAUCAAAAAAAUUAAAAAUUGAAAAUAAAGAAAAGAUUAAAAAAGAAACUGUAUUAAAAAAAUGAAAAUAUCAAACCCCUUCUUCAUAGCAAUUCAAACAUGGAGUUACUGGUUCGUAAUCUAACAUUAAGUAAUAUUCCACUGAAACCCCAACCCUCUAUUUGAUUUUUUUUUUUUUGGUUUCCUUUUGUAAGAAUUAUUUUCAACAUAGAACUUGAACCUUGGAAGAGAUAACAGGAAAACACAUAGACGACUGACUGAGUCUCACUGAGAGAGAGUUAAGAGAGUGUUAGAGAUAAAAGAAGAACAUGGCUUAGCAGUUACAGUCAUCAUCCACUUAUCUCAUUCAAUUGUUGGUGUAAAUGUCUUAAUAGAAAAAACAAAUAUCAUUUUGAAGGGUAAAUGUAAACAAAUUAAAAUAUUAGAUAAAAUUGUGACACUUUUAUAUUAAGUGCGUUUAUUAAGAUUUAAGAGCGAGUUGCAAGUAUACUGCAUUGGUCAGCUCCCAGUUAAACUUGCGAGUUUGGGUUCAACCGUUCAAGUCCCAAUCCCACAGGUAGUGAAAGUAGGUAAUCAUCCUAACCAACUGAAAUAUCAAAACAUGUUUGUAUAUGCCUGCACAUUACAAGUUAAUCAUCAGCAAAGGUUACAAGUUAAUCAUCAACAAAGGAGGGGGCUGCAGUGAGAAACAAUACAUCAUGUACUAAUUAUAGAACAUGUAGAACUACUGUAUUGUACCAGUCACAAAACCUUUAUUUCUUUAGAGGUAAUCUCCCAUAGCAAAUAUAAAUUAAAAAAAAAUUACCACAAAGUAGAACAGUCCCAUCUUUUUCUCCAAACAAAUACAACCAUUUCCGUUCAUAUCUAAGCUGAGAACCAUUCUACUUUCAGGUUCAACCAAUGAAAUAACCAUAGUAUAAAAAUAAUUAUACUCUAAUUCAAACAUGGCUUCAGAAUUUACGAUUCAUACCAGACUCAAUUGGCCAAACCUAUGGAAUUGGAAUGAUGCAUUUAUUUAACUCAAAAGAUAAAUAUGAGGCUUAAGGUUCUGACAUAUUAAAACGAUAAUAAUUCAUUCAUUUUGAACAUGAGAUGCAACUUGGACUAUUUCAAGUUAUUCCAAAAGAAAGCAUUAAAGGAAUUUGUUCAUCCUAUGUGGUAUAAGUAGUAUACUUCAGUUAUUAUUAUAAAUCAUCAGUUAAAUCAUUUGGACUAUUAACAUUGAUAACAACAAUAAUAAAAUAAACAUAUGUAGUUAUAAAAUAAAUAGAUAAAUUCAACUUCGAAUAAAUUUGGGUUGUUACAGUAACCCUCCAAUCCACCACUUUAUUAUAACCAAUAGACAUUUGGAUUAUAACAGAUAGACAAGAAUAAAAUUGAAAAAACAGAGUUAAAAAAGCUGAUAUAAUGAACCUUGCGGUCAAAUGUCAGAUGUGACUUCUUUGAACGAACUAAAGGCCAACAAUGAAAAUUUCACAUAAAAGCAACCACAAUACCAGAAAAAUAGCUUAAAUUAAAAGUUUUCUGAAUAGCUUAAAUUAAAAGUUUUCUGACUUGUUCAGGAGAGACAUCAACAAUUUCCAAAACUUUUUGCUGGACCUCACCUUUAUAAAUUAUCAAAACUUCCUCCACCAAUCUGACAACAUCACAGAAAGACAAGCAACACCAUAUUUAAUUAGGUUAUAAAAAAGCUUCAAGCUUGGCAGAUGCCAGGAUAUAAUAAGAAACCAAUCAUAGAACAUGUCAUAAGCAAUGGCACAGGCAGAGGAAAGAUCUUGAAUGCCUCAGUGUGAUGAUAAUCGUCAUGAAACAAUAUCAACAGAUGUGUUUAGGGAUACAUCUCAUAUAAAAACCUUCAAACGAUAUUAAUAUAAGUGAUAGAUCAUAUAAAAUAAAUGACUUCAUAACAAAAGAGUUUACAUUAGGGGUUUAAAAAAAAAAGAAAAAAAAGGUACUAAGGCUAAAGGCUGACCUCUGGUUACCGUACUUUCAUUUGUGUGUAAAGUCUCUCAAAUUCUUAUGUCAUGGCGUAAUAGAUUCUCUUAUGUAUAUAAUGAAUGAUGCUGUUAAAACUUAAAAGAAGCCCCUGAACUUAGAAUUACUUCCACUUCUUUAUAUUUUUAGUUCUAAUAAGGCAUGAGUGAGUUUUGGUAUAUUUAAUGGGAUAUAGAAACGUAUUUACCCCCAUUUUAUCUUGCAACUUCGAAACCUCGAAAGCCUCUCACAAAACCUGAAUUUCGAUGGAUGGACUUCAAAUGAAAGGAUUUUCUAACAAAAGCUAAAAAAUUGCAAUGGCAUAGUGAAAAUAGGAAAAUCAAAAUAUAAAGCAAAAGAAAAAGUUUCCAUCGGAUAAGACAAAUACAAAAUAAUCCAAGUUCUUAUUUGCCAUGCCAAUAUUAUUCAUGCAGAAUUAAUCUAAUUUGUUUUUCAGUUAAGGUUGGUAACAAUUUAUCUGUAAAUAACUGAACCAACUUGGUUAUUACAACAUUACUCUUUCUCUUCUACACUCAUUUUCUACAUAAUUGCAGUGUUCAUCAACGGCCACAUUCGCAAACACGAGUCCACUCUCCCCACUUCACUUAUUUCCCAAAUGUUUAGGUCUCUCAAAGUGCAGCAGCAAGACAUGAACUCCUAUCACUAUAAGCAAUAUAAAGCCCACCUAAAGAAUCCACCACCAUAUUUGGCUAGAAAAUCUCCAUUACUCAUUGCCACACUCUCUGUUUUCACCCCUUUCAUCAAAACACACGCGUUACAUACCCAUGUUAGACAAAUUUAUUUUUCUGAUAUCACAUCAUUCGUUGGGGGCACAAUUAACUGACUUCAGCAUAUAAAUAACAAGAAGCUGUCAAUUCACAAAAACAAGGAAAAUUAACUCAAUCAAGUGAAGUAGGCACAAAAUGACCUCAAUGAGAUAUCAGAGACCUCUAAAAUCGAAUCAAAUUCAGUUAAACAAAGAAUCACUCAUCAACGAUAAGCAAAAGGAAAAGAGAAAUGAAUAAUAGAAAGAAAUUUCUUAUAAAAAUUCAAUAGAAAUUUAAAAAAAAAAAAAAACUUUACUACUAUGCCGAGCGACGCCGAUCAGCUGAGAUGGGCGGAUUUUGCACCAGCGACGAUGCAAAUGUUUGGGUUUGGGUUUGACGAUAGUCGAAGGAAUGUUUAGGGAUUUGGGUGAUUUGGGAUUUCAAUUAUUGAAGUAAAAGACCAAAAUAACCUUUAGAAAUAAUUAAAGUAUCCCUGAGACGUGGGUAGUUAAACAGCCCCUUUUUCAUCUUCAUAGAAACAGUAAAUAAAUUUGGACACAGAAUCUCAAUAUAGGAGGAUGCUAAGUGGACAGUUGGAUCAUAAUUCUAAAACAAAAUAAUAAUAAUAAUAAUAAAAUAGAAGAAAGAAUGUAGCCUGUGUCUAUUACCGGUAAAAGUGCUUUUCAACUAAGCUUUCACAGCAUAACUGCUUAAACUUGUUCGGAUAUACAACACGCCGACUACAGAUCAUUGUAGUAACUAAUUAUAUAUAUAUAUAUAUAUAUAUAUAUGUAUAUCUACAAAAUGGAAAGAUGACAUACAUACAUACAUACACCGACUACAGAUCAUUGUAGUAACUAAUUAUACAUAUAUACAUAUAUAAAAUGGAAAGAUGACAUACAUACAUACAUACAUACAUAUACACACAUAUAUAUACAUAUAUAUACAUACACACACACACACACAGAGACAUAUACAUAUAGUACAAUAGGCACUGGGACCCCAGUCACCCCACAGUGGCACCAGCAGCAUCAUAUUACGUGAUAUCAACUUAGAACAAUUUCCAGGUUAUUCUCAUGAUCAUCAGUAGAACUUGGCUGCUGGUCUUGGAUGUGGUUCCCUUCAACUGCGUGACCGCGAAUCAAGAAAUUGCGGAAGAGAUUUCGAAACCAGUAGAAGCAGCGCUUAAGCAGAGAAGCCAACGUUGCAUAACAGAGUGAUAAGAGUAUGAGGCACAAAUAGGCUACCAAGAACAGAGACGGAGCCACAAAGACAGACGCAACCACCGAGAUAGCCAACAGAACAGAGGGUUCUCCACAACUCACUGAAAUGGAGCGGCUCACAUUGAGAGUGAGUCUGAUGGGUGUGAGGAGGAAGAGCAGUAAUGGGAUGACGACGGCAGGGAUCAGGAACCAGAACUGAAGCUUUAAAAUUGGAUACAAGAGUAUCUUAUUGGUACCAUCUUGGACGUCCCAAGAGAUGCCAUCCAGAGACCUGAGGAACAGAAGAAAGAUGACAAGAUUUAGCAAUGGCGGAAACAAAAACCUCAAAUCAAUUGACAAAUCCAUGCUUGUGAGUAUAAGGUUUGGCAGAGAUGACUGAGUUGAAAAGAAUGAGAGAAAGAGAAAGAAGAAGAAGGAGAGGGAGAAUAGAUGAAUUACAAUUAGGGUGAUUUUUAAAUGCUGGGAGUCUGAGGCUUUAUAAGGGGAGAAGUUGCGAAAGAGAGGGCAUCAAGCUUUGGAAAAAGUUGCCAAAGAAAGGAUGUCAAGCUUUGGAAAAAGUUGCGCCUAACUUUUUAUUGCCCUUAAAGUUAAAAAAUGACGAUGGGAAUAAAUUAAUAUUAAAUAAAUCUCAUACCAACGUAUGGAUGGACAAAAUGAGGCUGCUCGUUGGGUACCUUCUUGGCUUGGUCCCCUCCCGAAAGUAAAAGCGAAUGCCGUGAAUUCUCAACACACUUUGCCAUCUUAAAUGUUGCGAUAUUUGUGGCGAAUUCUCAAACACACUUUGCCAUCUUGCCUGGACAAAAUCUUGGUUGUCUUUGUCAUCUUAACUAAUGAUUCAUUGGUUGCUUUAUUUAUAUUUUUAGUUAGUCAAUCUACUUUUUUUGAACUGGGAAACAAAUUGUAGUUUAUGGAAUAAAUUUAUGUUUAAAAAAAAUCAAAAUAAAAAAACGAUAAAAAGAAUAAAUUUAUAUUAAAAAAUCAAAAUUAAAAUAUGGAUGGAUAAGAUUUGGCAGAGAUGAUUGAGUUUAAUUAUUAUGAAUGAGAUUUGGCAAUGGCAGAGUUGAAUAAUUGUGGUGGAGUUUAAGCUCCAUGAUACUAUGACGAAAUAAAUAUUUACAGUACCCUUUACAAAAUUUUGGUUGCCUCUGUUUAACUUAACCCAUGAUCAGUUAAUUUCACUCUUUUUGAUUUAACUCUAAUUAAAUCCUUCUGAUUUAAAUAAAAAAGAUUAAACCUCAACCAGUGUUUCCCCGUGGGCUGUAGCUCCUCAUAAGCGACUUAACAAGUGUUUUGUGAAUGGAAAACUAUGUAAUCAAAAAGAAAGGAGAAAAACUAAAUAAUAUCCAACAUAAGUGACUUAACAACAAAGUCAUACACAAAAUAGAAUCCUGAUCCAGGAUUUAUAGUUUUUGACAAGUCACAAUUUGUCUUGACUUUGUGAGCCGGGAUUACCUCUGAUGAAAUAUUAUGGAAUAUAAAUGUAAAAGAUGCUUUCAAUUUUCUGGUGUCUAGGCCAUGAUAUUCUGGAAUUUGUGCAUGAAGGUUGAGGUCACCUCUUAGCUUUUACGUUAGUGUGUUACGUGAAUUUUGUGAUCCAAUUUGUCUUGACUUUGUGGUCCAACUCACACACUUGGGCAUGUAAGUGCUGUAACUAUUUGAGGACAUCUAAAUUCUUGACGAUUGACGAGUCCAUAUAUCUGCCAAAUGUGGAUGAUAGAUUUGAAUUGAACCUACAAAGCAUCAGCACUUUUCCCUAAAGCCAAGGUUUAUUUUCAAAUUAUGAGAGGAAAAGGAAAAAUUGUGCAGAAAAGUAAUGAAUAGUAUACCUUCCACAAAUAGAUGCGUGUAUCAAAAUAUUGAAGAGAUUUUGAAGUCCUUUUCAUGAUUAAUUUGGCAAGUCCUUUUCAUUAAGUUAAAUUUGCUUUAAUUUGGCUAUUGACUACAUAUUACAUUCCAACUUCUUCUUAGAAAACGUUGGUUUCUUAAGAGAUUAAAAACUGAAAAUUAAAAUAUGGAUGGAUAAUAGGAGGCUUCUUGGCUCGUUCCCGAAAAAAAAGGGAAUGCUGUGCUUGGUUCAAGAAACAGGCUUCUAUCUGAAAGGGAUAAAAGAAGAGAUGAAUUGUAAAUAAAUUCAAGCGUGCAAAAUAAAAGAAUAGUCUAGAGCUUCCAAUCAUGCACAACUUAUUCUAACACUGAACAGAAAAAUGAUUUGAAAUGGAGUCUUCGAAGGCAACAGCUUGUUUUCAAUUUUAUAAAUUAUAUACUCUCAAAAUAAUUUUGAUACAAAAAUAGGUUGCUUUUCUUACAAUUAUGUGAAUGGAGCAGAUUAUUGUCCUUCAAGAAAGUUUAAUCAAGAAUAAAUAAGCCAAUGACCCUUUGGCCCAGCGAUGAAUCCUUACUUCCAGAGUUAAGAAAGAUUGUAAGAGUAUGGGUUCAAGUCUACUGAACUCAAAACUCUCUCAAUUUAGCAUUAUAAAUGAUUGUGGGGUUUAUUUGUAAGUCUUUCUCCUUUGCAAAAUGCGAGUGGAGUAUAAACAUCCCUCGAAGUAUAAACAUUCUUCCUUUGCGAGGGUUACUUGUCAGUAAUCUGAUGUGUAUUCAAUAUUAAAAAAAAUCAACAAUAAUUUGUAAGUUUUUCUGUUUUACGAAAUGUGAGUAGAGCAAAGACACCCCUUCUCUGUGAGGGUUACUUGUCUAAAUUUUAAUAUGAUGUGAAAUCAGUAUUAAAAAAAAUCAACAACGGUUUGUAACGGGUCACUUUUAACAACGGGUCACUUUCAGAGGGACCGAACUGCACCGCUCAUGACAAAAUUCAAAACAGACGUCACCAUUUCACACAAACUUGUGCAAAUCAGUGCUUUCACUUUUGAAGACAUUAAUUAGCAUUACAUUACAGGUUCGCCAAUGUUCUUACAUAAACAAGUGAGUCCAAAAGUUCUUACUCCUCAGUCAUUGCAAAUGCAAGAUGAUCAAUAACAAAAAUGUGCGAGUUUUACACACUUUAGUGAACCAAAAGAAGAGGAAAUUUGGAUAAUGAGGAGCACUUGUAGGUAGACAAGAAAGAUAAUUUAUCAAGCACCAGUUCAUCAGAUAAGCUUCAGAAUGUCUCAACUCAGGAUAUGAGCUGAAAUUGUUUACCUACCUACAGUUGUUUAAAAAGAUGGACACUGAUUUACCAUCAAGAGAAACAUAUCAACUAUACAUAUAUAAUUGCAAUACAAGCGCAUCCGAUUAUCAACAAAAUCACAUUGUUUGCUGAGUACACAUGUAAUAUACUCACUCAAACACCCAGUACACGCUGCACUCGACUAAUGCCCCUUUUAAGAGUAAUGAAGGGGGUUGAACUUAGAUGCGGAGGAGUAGAAGUGAACAGCUUGUUUUCAAUUGGAUUCACUGGCAUUGGGCUGGCAAAGACAGUAGGUUCCUGCAUAAAAGAACAAUGCAAGUUAGUGAAAAAAAAAAUCAGUUUAAAAAUUUGAAUUUACCAAGUAAAAGCAGCAUACACUUCAACCUGCACAUCAUUGCUUUUACUAGAAGGGUUGUAAUUCUCCUUUGAAGCCAAUGCCAUUACAGGUUCCACCAUGGGGACACUGCUAACAGUUUUCAAUUGACAAGCAAGGGGAUCAAUGUUUUCAGCAUUCCUUUUUGCUGGUACUGGUGUUCUCGUGUGCUGAGAAAGCUCCCUGUUGUUUAUACAAAGAGUAAAUAUGUUCUGAAUUCUUAACCUUCUGGAGGACUCUGUGUCUUCAGGUUUCUGGGGGGAAGAUGCCAAUAACCCUGUAGUAAGAUUGAGACUGGGAAUAUUUCCAUCAGCUAACCCACUUGAACAGACCCUUUUCUCCUCUAUUAUAACCUUCUCUACUUCAUCUUCAGCACUUUCUUUAUGAUCGUCCUCCUUGUCUUAUAACACCAAACCUUCGUCCUGCUAACAAAUUGACCCUUGUUACAAAACACAAGAACGUACGAUAUCAAUAUCAUUAAAUUAAACAAUAAGCACCAUAAGUGCCAAAUUUUGUAGCUACGCUGUUACCGAUCAUGCAAAUCAAAAUGGAAAUUACCGAAGAAUGUAUUAAGAACAAGCUGAAUCCCUCACAAAACGUCCAUAUAUUCACCAUUUAACCAUGACCAACUUUUUCGUUUGAGGCAAAUGAAAAAAAGAGACAGAAAGUUAAAAAGGAUAAAAAUUGAAAGCCGAGGGCAGUAAUUUGGAAGACGACAGCAUUUUUUAUCUCUUUUUAACAAGUAGGCUGGUGGGCCUCUCGUUUGCAUUUUUCCCGGCCAUUGGAGAAUUGAAAUCCCCAUUAAAUAAUAAAAAAAGUAAAAAUAGAAAUACAAUUAAAAAAAAAAAAAAAACAAUCUCCAUGUAACAAACGAUGAUGUCACGAGCUCGCAACACUUGUUGUUAUAAUACCUAUGGUCUCAAACCAACAAAGUGUUGGUUCCACUGGCAAUGGAGUCCCCUUAAGUAGCUUGACUGGGUUUGCUCCCCAGUUCGAGUCGCAGGGAAGUCGCCUUUGUUGGGAGAACCUGUGCCUCCCGGUUCGAGCGGGGACUUCUAGUCUGGGUUGUGGUACGGGCUUAAAGGUGCCUCCCACAGUUGGGGCCCUCCCCAGGAUACCUCGUGAUUAAUAUCAAAAAAAUAAUACCUAUGGUCUCACAAGGCCAAUAUCCUUUUAUUAGUUUGUUUUUCUUCUUAUACAGUCAAUACAAACAUCAAAGUCUAUAAAAUUUAAGAGUUUAAAAUUUCGUCUAACACAAAUCUCUUUAUUUUUUUAGGAUAUGAUCUAAUCUCUUGUGUUAUAAUACAGCUGAAUUUACAUUAGCUAAUUUUCUCCUUAUACCUCAUAUACUUAACUGUUGGAAUUCAUUAAAUAAAGCAAUCAUAUUAUCCAAAUAAAAAGAAAAGUUAAAUUUGUCCAAAGCAGCAUUGGAAAUAAAAUUCCACCUAAAAGACACAUUUCAUCAAGAUUCAUAUAAAAUUCAGUUUUUAAUAAUAACAUAAGUUUUCUAUUGCUUCAACUUCAACCGUUUUGUAUGGAUCAUAAAUGUAUUGUCUAUCAUAAAUGUAUAUUUCACAAUCACUUGCCCUUCAGCAACUUAAGCAACAGACUGAUGUGAGUAGGGAUAGUCGCCACUACACCGCACUGGUCAACUCCCAGUUGAACUUGCAAGCUUGGGUUCGCGUCCCAGUCCCACAGGCAGUGGAAGUAAGUAAUUACCCUAAUCAGCUGAAGUAUCAAAACCUGUGUAUAAGCCUGCAGAUUACAAGUUAAUCAUCAGCAAAGGAGGGGGCUGAAGCAAGAAACAACAUAUCAUGUACUAAUUAUAAAACAUGUAAAAUUAAUGUAUUUUGCCAGUCACAAAACCCGUUUUCUUUAGAGAUAACCACCCCAUAGCAACUAUAAAUAAGGGCACAAAAAUGACCACAAAGUACAACAGUCCCCUCUUUUUUCUCCAAACAAAUACAACCAUUUCAGUUCACAUUGAACCAUUCAAGUUCCAAGUUUCAACCAAUGAAACAACCAUAGUAUUCUAAUAAAAAUGAAAAAUGAAAUAACCAUAGAAUAAAAUAAUUAUACGCUAAUUCAAAUAUUGCUUCAGAAUUUACGAUUUAUGCCAGACUCAGUUGCUCAAACAUAUGGAAUUGGAAUGUUGCAUUUAUUUAACCCAAAAGGUGAAUGCCAAGCUUAAGGUUCUUACAUACUGAAAUGAUCAAAUUUCAUUCAUUCUGAACAUGGGAUGCAACUAGAACUAUUUCAAGUUAUUCCAGAAGAGAGUACUAAAAGAAAUUUUUUCAUCCUACGUGGUAUAAGUAGUAUACUUCAGCUAGUAUUAUGCAUCAUCGGUUAAAUCAUUUGGAUUAUUAACACUGAUAUUUUUUUUAUUAGCUGAAUUGAUAACUGUUGCACCCCUAACUUAAGGGCACGUGUGAUAAGAAAAUUUUAUCUACAUCAGGUGCAAGUAUAAGCAUUUAACAAUUAAGCUGUGACUGUUUGCUUACAAGAACAAACAUAUACUAAUAGAGAUGAAUAAAAACCCAGCACUUCAAGAAAAAUUUGACAAUAUCUCCCCUAAAAUAUGGAUAUUAUCCAAUAUACCAAACCAGCAAUUUUAAUACCCUGCAGCUUAAAACUUCAAAAUAUCAGUCAAUACAACACUUGGGGUCUCCGGGACCCUAUCACUACAACACUAACAAAUACAAGUGCAUCCUCCUGAUGUUGCGUAGUCAUUCUAAAUACAUGUAUUAAAAAGUAUGAUAUCUGCAACAAGGUAGCUUACAAAGUUUACUAGGCCAGCAAUGCCGAAGUACAACCAGAACAAUAACAAAAAUAUACAAAGAUAUAUAUAUUUCUUUAAACCUUUUAAGUUUGAAAGUUUUGGUAUUCAACAGAAACAUCAUAAGACAAGAUCAUAACAACAUACACACUAACAAAUAUAGGGUUGCUCAUACUUUCUGAAGUUACGUGUAAAGAAUCCUAAAAUUACUCUUUCAAUAAUACAAAAUAAAAACAUGCCUGACAAGUCCCCCGGGGCCACCGCCCAUGAUUUCUUUUGCAGACUUUAGAAAUCUGAACAAUAUCAAUUCAGCAUAGCGUACUUUUGAGGCAUUAUUCCCAAGGACCCUCGCCCAUAAUUUCCUUUCCGAGCUUCACUGCAGGACAGUAGUCUGACCAUGACCAAUCAACCUUCUCAAACCUCAAUUUGAAUGAAAGGAAUAAAAAUUAUUAACUCAUUCAAUAGCAUCAAUGUAAGUUUCCUUACAAUAACACACCACAUCCAUGAUAUUUCUCAAUAACAAUAGCCAUAGAUAACAGAAUCUCAGCACAUCCCCAGUUUAACACCACAUCCACAAACUUAAAUGCAAUCAAAGCACCAUAUCAUUGCAGGAUACAUUAACACAAUUCAGCACCACUACAUAUUCCAAACUUGGCUCAUAUCGCCGUAAAGUUCAAUUCUCAUUCAUGACUGCAUCAACCCAAAUUAACUGAUUCAAGUAAUUUCAAUACAUGGUCUUCAAUUAAAACUCGCAAUCCUGUGAUAAUUCUAGCAUGUCAAUUUUUUAUUUUAGCCAUGUAGCCAUGUAAUUAAAUGGCUAACCACACACCCACUGCAUUAAUUCUUAAAGGAAGCAAUUAAGCCAUUAACACAUUAAAUCUAUGGAAAACAACUUAUAAGGACCCAAAAUAAAAAUUCAGAUUAUCAAGCAAGAAAAACAACCUGAUUUUUCAGUUUUGAGUAACAAAAUCACUCAAUUGCAUAUAACCACAUACCUUAAAUCCUGCACCAACAGCUCCUAGCUCUCCAAACACUUCUCUAACUCCACUUCCUACUGGUAAUACUGCAACAAAAAUUAACCAACUAUUCUGCCAAUAAUUUAAGGAUCCCAAAUUCAACACAAUCCUAAACUUGCUGAAAGUUACAGCAAGGAAACAAUUAAGAAAAUUAAGUGAAAAAACAUUCCAUCGAUAAAAGUAAGAAGAUUUCAAAAUUGAACCAUGCAUGCACACAAACUUACCCAAACCAGGUCUAAAGGCCAACAAUGAAAAUUUCACAUUAAAGCAACCAGAAUACCCGAAAAAUAGCUUAAAUUAAAAGUUUUUGACUCGUUCAGAAAGACACCAACAAUUUCCAAAACCUUUUGUUGGACCCCACGUUUAUAAAUUCUCAAAACAACUUCUUCCACCAAUCUGACAACAUCACAGAAAACUGGCAACACCACAUUUAAUUGUCUUUUAAGUUAUAAAAAAGCUUCAAGCUUUGCAGAUGCCAGGAUAUAAUGAGAAACCAAUCAUAGAACAUGUGAUGAGCAAGGGCACAAGCAGAGGAAAGAUCUUCAAUGCCUUAGUGUUCUGGACCUCCAGCAACAUUCAUUUUUAUGCAAUAUUCUUUUUCAAAUUUUUCUAUAUCGCUAAGAUUUAUAUCACUAAAUUUUUCUAUUAAUUCUUCUAAUAUAUUUUUCAUUAUUCUGUAUCACUUGGUACAGGUUCCUUUAUUUCUAAUUUUUCUUUUCCUUUUUCCUUUGUUUUUAAUUCUGCUUUUAAUCUUUCUGAUUCCUCUAAUAUUUUUGGGUAUUGAGUUUUUAUAAACCAAUCAUCAUAACUUCCUGGCUGAGGUUUUGUUAUUUGUUUUUCAAAACUUGUUCCUAUUAUUCCUGAUUUUAUUAUUUCAAGUUUUUCCACCUUUUUAUCUUUUUUCCGAUUUAUCUGUAUUGUAGAUAAUUCUAUUUUUAUUUUUCCUAUUUCUUGUUUAAUUUCUCUCAUCUCUUCUUUAAGAUUUAAAAGUAUUUCUUUUAAUUCAAAUAACGUAGUUUCCAUGAAAGUUAGGGGUAUUGAUGGAUAUUAUUUCUUUUGAGUGUAUGUUACAUUUAAAGUAACAUAGUGCUAGCCUUUUUUUUAUUUUAAAUUUAUAAAUGUAAAAUAUUAAUUUAUAAAGCUGAAUCAGUGUGUACGUAUAGAAAACAGUCAACCUGACCUGACUGCCGAUGAGUUAAAUGGGUCUGCAUUUGGCUGUUAAAUAAUUUGUUCGUUGCUCCUGCAACAGGCCAAUUCUCUAUAUUCAUAUAAAAUUUGAAUGGCUAUUACUGAGUGAGUGUAUAGGGUACUGGAUAAAAAUGAAAAACAGAAUAAAUUUGACACAACAUUUUAUUUAAUAUACCCUUCUCCAUAUCAUAACUAAUUCAACAGCCACUACUUUCUUGGAAAAUCAUAAGUAUUAAAGAAAAAGACAAAAGUAAACAAAUAUAGAAAUAUGGAAAGAAAGCUUUCAAGUCUUUUCAUCAAUAAAGCCGAAAAUAGCAUCUAACCAAAAGCUGAUAUUCACAGACACUGACCAUAUUAAACCAACCAUUUCCAAAACGGAAGAAAAAGAUUUAGAUUCCACCUUAUAAAUAUAGUUAAUGUAAUUAAAAUUAUUAAUUCAAAAUGCUAAUCUGACCAUCACCGACCAACAUUCUCAAACCUCAACUCAAAUUAUUAACUCAUUCAAAUAGCAUCAUAUGUAAGUUGCCUUACAAUAACACAUCACACCCAUGAUGCUUGUCAAUAACAAUAGCUAUAAAUAACAUAAUCUCAGCACAUCCCCAGUUUAACGACCCGUCAACAAACUUAAACUGCACCAUAUCAUUGCAGGAUACUUAAACACAACUCAGCUAAACUACCCAUUCAAAACUUGGCUCAUAUCACUGUUAAAGUUUUAACUCUCGUUCAUGAUUGCAUCAACCCAAAUUAACUAUCAUAACUGAUUCAAGUAAUUUCAAUACAUGGUCUUCAAUUAAAAAUUGCAAUCCUGUUGAUAAUUCUAGCAUGUCAAUUUUUUAUUUUAGCCAUAUAGUCAUGUAAUCAAAUGGCUAACCACACACCCACUUCGUUAAUUAUUAAAGGAAGCAAUUAAGCCAUUAACACAUUAAAUCUAAGCAAAAUAACUUAUGAGGACCCCCCUCCCCCCCCCCCCCCCCCCCCCCCCCCCCCGGCGGAAGCAAAAAAAAAAUUAUCAAGCAGGAAAAACAACCUGAUUUUUCAGUUUUGAGUAACAAAAUCACUCGAUUGCACAUAAUAGCAUUUCUUUUUUCUACUUGCUGCUGUUCUCAGCUCCCUUAGGUGCACAACUACUCUCUCUAAAACCCAAUUGCUCUCUUUCCCUCCAUUUCCUUUUCUUCCUCUUCUCUCUUUUUUAAUUUUUUAUUUUCUUCUGUUACAUGAGUUCCUUUCUCAUCAAUUAGUGUGGAGAAAAACGAAAACAGGAUAAAUUUCGACGCAAAAUUUUAUUAGUAUGCGUAUGUAAGUACAUUAUCGAAUACGCCUUAAACAACUGCCUUUUUUUCCUGCAAUAAUCACACUAUAUAUAACAAAUAAUACAACAAAAUAAUAGAAGUUUAAGUAGAACGGCAGUAUCUAGGUUGUCUCUGUACUCGGCUUCCAGUUCCACCCAAAAAACUGCUCAAACAUCUUCGUUCAGGUAACCAACCACAGACUCUGUUAUUGCCAUAACUAAUUUAUCACAUGACCAUAAUUUCCAGAACACCUUGCGCUUGUUCAAUGGGUUGUUCAACUUGAGGGCGAGCUAGCAGAUGCGCGUUGACAGAGGCGACAGUGAGACGUCGAAGCCAGUUGAAGCAGCGCUCAAACAGAGAAGCUAGCGUUGCAUAACAGAGUGAUAAGAUUAUGAGGCAUAAAUAGAGUACCAAGAACAGAGACGGAGCCAAAAUGACAGAGGCCACUGCUGAGACAGCCAACAGAACAGAGAGUUCUCCACAACUCACGCAAAUGGGUCGGCUCACAUUGAGAGGGACUCUGAUGGGUGUGAGGAGGAAGAGCAGUAAUGGGAUGACGACGGCAGGAAUCAGGAACCAGAACUGAAGCUUUAAAAUUGGAUACAAAAGUAUCUUACUCGUACCAUCUUGGACGUCCCAAGAGUUGCCAUCCUGAGACUUGAGGAACAGAAAAAAGAUUAUAAGAUUCAGCAAUGGAAGAAAUAGAAACCUCAAAUCGAUUGAAAUAUUCAUGCUUAUGAGUAUAAGACUUGGCAGAGAUGAUUGAGUUUAAUUUUUAUGAAUAAGAUUUGGCAAUGGCAGAGUUAAACACAGGCUGCCUUUUGCUUCCUCUCUCUCUUCUCUCCGCUUUUUUUCUCCUCUCUCUCUCUUCUCUCAACACAUGCUUUCUUAGCAUUUAGCAUUUUUGUUUCUAAAAUACGGUGAGUCUGGGGGCAUUUUUAUAGAGGUUUUGGGAUGAAAUCUUUUUGCAGCCAAUGCCAAAAAAAUUAGAGGUUUGGACAAAGUGAAAAAAAAGAAAGAAGUGCAAAGCCAAAUGGAGCCAUGCAUGUGAGAGUGGGACGACCCAAGACAUUUUUUCGAUCCUUUGAGUUAGUGGGAGAAAGAGAUUAGCCUCCUCCGCAUUAAGAUUUGAAGAUUCCGUUGGUUUGACUGAUUCAGCACAUAACAUGCUUAAAUUGCAAAAGCUGUCAAUUCACAUUAACAAGGAAAAUUAACUCAAUAAAGUGAAGUAGGCACGAAUUAGAGUGAUUUUUAAAAUGCGGUGAGUCGGGGGCUUUUUAUCGUGGUUGAGGUCCAUGAGGAUGAAACGUUAUUGGUUCGAUACACGUCUUCAAUAAUAUUUGCGGAACCAAUUAGGAAGAUAAUGGAGUCGGGGAUUUUGGGGCUGAAUUUUUCCCUUUUUUUCUUAAUUUUGUUUUUACUGUGUGUCACGUGCAAAACACGUGAGACUAUUAAAAUUUCAAAACAGUUGUUUCAGUCUUCUAGGGUUUUAAAAACCUCAGUACGUUUUUUUUUUCCUUUUUUCUGUACAGGUAUUUUUAAACUUACCUUUUCAAAGUUUAUAUAUAUUUUGCACACUGCGCACAAAAUAUAUAUGAACGAAUGAUACAUGUUCCAAUAAAUAGAUGCACCUAACAAAUUAGAACUAUUCAUGAGAUGCAAAUUAAGUUAGUGUUAGAGAGAAAUAUACUGAGACUAAACUACAAUUAUGUGUAAUUAAUUAAGCUACCUUUGUUUUCAUGUUAGCGUGACCAAAAUGAGAUUAUGCACAACAAGUAUAACUAUAUGAAACAAAGUGAUAUAAUAAUAAAUGCCAACCAUAUUAUAUGUACAAGUUUUCUGUGCCAAUAUCACUAGUGGCAUGACCAAAAACACCGACAUACACAAUAAUCUCUCAAAGGAAAGAUUGUCAAAUUUCUUCAUUAAAUUCAGAUUAAAGUAAAUUAUAAAUUUUUUAACUUAAUAAAACCCACUUAAUACACACAUAUAAAUAUUAUAUGCUUACAGUACAAUCAUUUUUUGGACUUUCUCUUAUGGGCUAUUUUUUUUUUUUUGGGAUAAAUUUAUGGGCUAUUCAUUAGUUGCUUGGGUUCCUCUAUGAUGUUAUAUUUUUUUUUGCAAUAUCAAUAAUGUAAGAAAUAUGUACCAUUAUUUUUAUUAAUAAAAAUUUAUAUAAUUUCCAAAAAAUUAAAGGUUUGGACAAAAUAAAAAGCGAUUAGAAAAGAAAAUAGAAAAAAAUACAAAGCCAAUGGGACCAAACCUCCAAAGAUAUGUUUUUCCAUUCUCAUCCAACACCUUCCCAUUUGUUUAUUAUUUUUUUAUUAAUUUAUUAACUUUUUUAAUGGGGAGGAGGCUGAUGCCUCCCACUAACUCUUUCUCGAGGAAGCUAAGCUAGCUGCAUAAGUAUCCGCUAAGUUAAUAAAUUAAUAAAAAUAAUAAUAAACAAUUGAGAUGAUCAAAAGUUCAAAAUUUCUUACCAUCGCACAUGCAAGAUGAUCAAUAUUUCCAUCGCUCAGUAUAUGUAUACGUAGGUAGCAUUCACAUUUUAAAUUAGUGUGAGAAUCUUAGAUUAUCUCCAAAAGACUCUUUAAAUAAAAUUAUACUUCUUAUUUGAAGAGUCAUAUCAAUAUUAAAUACUUCAAAAGACACGUUAAUUUAAAUUCUUCAAAUAAGAUUUGUUUCUUUCUCUUCAAUAUUGACGAGUGAAUUUCUCUCUCUUCUAUUAAUAUUUUUUUAUUAUUUAUUGAAAAGAUAAGACUGUAAUAAUUAUUAUUUAUGUUUCCUUUCAAAAACAUAACAGCAAUUCAAUUUAAUAGUAGAAAGAUUUAAUUAAAAUAAUAUUAACUUAUUCUUAUUUGAUGAGUCUUUUGGAAGAAAUUGUAUUUUUCAAUCCACUUAUUUGCCACAUCAGUAAGCAAAUUGAUAUUUGAAAAGUAAAAUCUAAAAAGUCUUUUGGAGAUGCUUUUAGAUUUCAGAGUGUAGAGAGGGGUGGGAGUGAAUUGUUUAUUUUCACUCUGAAAUGAGAGUAUGAAAUCGAAAUUAGAAUUCAAUUUUUGUGUUUUCCUUAUCUUAAAUUGGGAGUAAAUAGUUUCAAAUUACAGUUUUACUUUUAUUUAAAAAAUUAUAAUUUUUAAAUACAAAAUUAUAAAAAAAUAUAUUUGAAAUAUAAAAUAUUUAUUUUUAUUUUAUUUAUUUGUAAAUUUACCUAUGUUUAGAAAAAAAAAAAAAACUAUUAACUGCCCUCAGCAUAUAACAUACAACAAGCUGUCAAUUCACAAAAACAAGGAAAAUUAACUCAAUCAAGUGAAGUAGGCCACAAAAAGACCUCUAAAAUCGAAUCAGAUUUAGUUAAAACAAAUAAUCACCCAUCAAUCAUAAGCAAAAGCCAAAAAGAAAUGAAUAACAGAAAGAAAUUUCUUAUAAAAAUUCAAUACAAAUAAAAAACAAAUUAGCUAGUCUUCUUUUUUGGUAUAGUGAUUUCGUCAGCAAAUAAGACAAAAAUUGAAAUUCCGAAAUAUACCUAGGAUUUCUAGCUUUGGAAAUUUACCUUACAAGAAACCGGGCUCUCUGCUUCUGGCUUUGUCUUUGUAACGUUACUAUUGUGGACGAGCCACUCCGAUCAGCUGAGAUGAUCGCAUUUUGCACCGGCAACGAUGCAAAUGUUUGGGUUUGGAUUUGACGAUAGACGGAGGAAUGCUUAGGGUUUUGUGUGAAUUUUUGGAAUUUUUUAUCGAAGUGAAAAUAUCAAAAUAACCUUUACACAUUUAAUAUUCAGGGUACUUAUACAGUUAAAUUUUUCUUUAGAAUUAAAACAGAAUAUAAACUGAGACUCAGAAUUUUAUUAAUAUACCGUUGUUCGUUUGGACCAUAAUACAAAAACCAAAAUAAAUAAAUAAAUAAGAAUAUAGAGUGUGUCUGCUACUGCUAAAAAUGCUUUUCAAACAAAAGCCGAAAACAGCAACUAAGCUUUUACAGACUAUAUAUAUAUAGAUCAUUGUAAUAACUAACUAGAAAAUGGAAAGUUAGCAUAUAUUCAUAAAACACUCUUAGUUCUACCCUAUGUUAUUUUAUUAGGCAGGGUUUAUUUACGAAAUAAUAUAAUUUUAAACAUUUUAUUGGGUGUAUUUUAUAGCUAAGAUGGGAUGGAAAUAUUACUAAAACACUCGUGGCACUGGCACCAGCAAAAUCAUACACUUUAAUAGGUACUAGGGCCUAACAGUGGCACCAGCUAUUUCAUACAUACAUACGUAUAUAUUCUCAUCUUCAUCAGUUGGACUUGGCUGCAGGUUUUGGAUGUGGUUCCCUUCUACUCCAAUAAUGUUCUCUUCAUCAACUUGAUUCCCGUUCGCACAUGCAGUUGAUCACGAUCAAGAUUGUGCGAGUAAUGGGUGUUAUUACUGUGAGAUUUCGGAGCCAAUGGAAAAUGUUAUUACAGUAUGAUCAAUAUGAAUUGACCAAGAUUCUUUUGCGGGUUGGCGAGAUGCUUUUGGCAAGCCCCACCCAGUCUUUGCCCACUCAUUUUUGUUUAAAUUAAAUUAAGUAAUUAUUUAAUCAACCUAUUGAGUACAAAGGGCAAUUUGACUUGAUUCUCCUUUUGUUGUGGCUAAGACGUAUUGCACAAGCUUCUUCUUCUUCUUCUUCUUUUUCAAGUUGUAUUGCGAGCUCUUAAUAUAAUCACAAACUUUUUUUACAAAUUUAUUAAUUUAUUUUCUUCCUUUUUUUUUUCUUUUCUUUUCUUUCUCUCUCUCUCUCUCUCUCCCGGGACUGGGGAGCUUGGGUUUUAUUUAGUUUUAUAGCCUAUAGAUAUAAUAUUGAGUAGUGAUAGGUUUUGACCUUGAGUGCUAAUCAGUGGGGAUCAAUAUUAAUUAAUCAAGAAUCUUUACAAAAAGCAUCGACUCCCAUUGGUUCCUCGGGUUGGGGAAGUGCUUUUGACAAGCCUCGCCGAGUCUCCGCGACUCCGCCCACUAAUUUUUGUUUAAAUGAAAUUAAGUAAUUAUUUAAUUAACCUAUUGAGUACAAAAGACAACUGGAUUCUCCUAUGUUGUGACUAGGUUGUGUUGCACGAGCUUAGCUUAACUUUAAUGACUCUAAUUUAUAAACAGAUGCUAGUAACAAUAAUAUAUUACUUUCCAAUUCGAAGUGGAGCCUUCGAAGGCAACAGCUUUUUCAAUUUUAUAAUUAUAUACUCUCAAAAUAAUUUUGAUAAAAAAACAGGUUGCUUUUAUAUACUGUUGAUGACAAGCGUUGUGCCGUCUUCUUCGUUGAGAAGAAUUGGACCGUAUUGCAAUGCCUUCUGGUUUUCUCUUUCCAAGUUCAACUUCUUUGUCGACAAUAAUUCUUACAGAACAAAAACGAAAAAAAAAAAUCAAAUAUAGCGUUAGGGCUUCAAGGGAUUCUCCAUGGAGUGAUCUUUAAAUAAAAAACAAGCGCCACCCUCCGUUUGAUUUCUCCUGAAGAAAAGAUUUGAUCGAUUUUUUCUUUCUUUUUCACCUUUACUCUUUUUUAAAAAAAUUUCUUUCUUUGCUUAAAAAAUGUUUUGCCUACAGCUGGAACCGAACAUUUAAAAUUUAAAGAGUGCAUGUUAAGGUAUUAAUUUUUAUUACCUUGUAAUCUAGUGAUGGCAGACAUAUUAAUUCAUGAAAUCGAAGAAUCUUGUGGAAUAUUGACUUGUGGAUUUGAUCCUGAUCCGGUGGCUUAUUGGGAAAUAUCUGAAGUUGUUUGGUCCACUAAUCUUAGCUUUAGGAUAAGUAGUGAAAAUUUCUUCUUCGGUCAUGAAUUAAGAUCCAAUCAUAUAGCAUAUUCGAUCUGACUGUACCAUAAGCAUAUGUGUGUGUGUAUUAAUGACUGGAGUUCAGUUAAUGACUGCAAACUCAGCAACCGAUUCCAAGAAUGAGCUUUGAAAGAAUCCCAAUUUGUCAAAAUGUGACUGUUGAGAAGUUUCUUUUGAGUAGAUUAACCGAGAAGACCGUAGGCAAUUACCUGUAUACAUCUAUUUAUUGAAACUUUAAUUACCUGAGGAUUAACGGAAAAAUGAAUAUACAUUGCAUUUAUAAAUAAUCGUUUUCCCUCUGAUAACUUGAAAAAUACAAUAAUUUAAUCCAUUGUCUAUUUGUAAUAAAUAAUCUAUUUUCUAAAUACGUACGGCGUUGUGGAAAGUUGAACCGUAUUAUUUUAUGCAAUUAACCCAAUACAUCAAAAUACAUAUAUAAAACAUGUGGACACUAUUUUAAGAGAUUGAUUGAGAAAUUUGGUAUAAUUUUAGGCAAUUAAAUAAAUAUUUUUGAAAUUUACAUGUGUUUUGGGAGAUAAUUGUUGUGUAAAUCAGUGCUCGCGCAUGUAUAAAAUUAAUCUCCAUUACCUGGGAAGUUUCUUGGGGUGACACAAGUGGAUAUACACUAUUCGUGAUGUGCAAGACAACAUGAUGAACAGUGAACUCGAAACUCAAAGUGAUACAAGUCGUUUAGAGGUUACAAGCUCAGAUGACAUGUCGCUUGAGGAGUUCUUCAGAGCAAAACCGACAUAAACUCAUUCAUCACUCAAAACUUAAGUAAUACAUGUGGUUUGCACGUGUGUUAAAGCUGAAUCUCAUUUAGAUCAAGAACGACGUCUGUGAUUGCCGUUUUAAGCUCACUUAUGUUAGCUUGUGAUAUGCAUGUGAGAGAGGAGCAUCUUGGUUGGAUUUGGCAGGAAGGGUGGUUAGCCUAACAACCCAAAAACAGAGGUUAAAAGGUGCAAGCUCUGCAAUCAUCUCCAUUAUUGGGAAACACUGAGAGUAGAGAGAAGAUAGAGAGAGAAAUGGGUUAAUUAGUUAUUGUUCUCUGUAAACCAUCUUUUGUUCUUGUAUUGUUUCGAUCUCAUUAAAGUGAAAGUUAUUGCUUUGUUUCCAGUGGAUGUAGGCACCACUUCUUGGUGCUGAACCACUUAUAUUUGGUGUCAUUUUGUUUCUUUUAAAGCUUUGAUUCUUGUGUGUGAUUCUUGUUGUGUGAUAUGUGUUGAUUGGUCUUGGAUCCUUGAUACAAAAUUACUUCUUGGGGUGAAUUUGGUUAGCCUUAUAAGGUUAAAUUCUCAACACAGCAUUAUCAGGAAAACAUGAGAAAUUUUAGAAUACCUCAGAUGUACUACAACCAAUUGAUGCAUGCAUGACAUGUGUAAUUGAUUUUAAUACAAUCACUACUUGCAUGAUAGUGGUUCAAAAUAAAUGCACACAUGUCAUGACAUCAUUGCUUAUUGUAUGGAUGACAUGAUACCUCAUAUGUAUUUUAGAAUUUCUCGGAAAACAGAUAUGCCAAUUAGUAAUCUUGUGUGUGUAAGAUUUCAAGAUAGUUUCAUGUAGAAUUUAAUGGUUAUGUGUUUCUUCGGCUCCUUCCUCAAAUCCAGCACAAUGGCAUAGUCACAUGCAUGAAGAUUUUGGAGUCUUUGGCUGCACAAUUUUUCUGGACUUUAAUUUGAAUUAGUUAUUGGCUUUUUUAUAUUGCUCUUUAAUCGGCUUUUUCAGAUUAAAUAUUUCUGUAUUAGUUUUCGAUUAACAUAGUCCUGGCCUCCUGGGAAGUUAUGGUACUAAUCAGAUUCUUUUGUCAACAUUUGACAAUUUCUUUUUCAAAGCUUGAGUUUUGAGGGUUUAUAGCUUUGAGUUGUGGAAUCAAUGAAAGAAGAAAUUAAUGUAAGAAGAAUAAUUAAAUGGGUACUCUCUUAGCCCCUUUAUCUGGUUAUAUAAAGAUUUUUUAAUACAUUUUUGGUGUGGCUAGUUAUGCUUGAAGUUGUUCUACAGUGUCUCGCUUGAAAAGUCCGAUACAAAAAAUUAAAAAGAAUCAUCUUCAUCAAUUUAGUAGAAAGCGACAGUUUGACAACUUAUUAUUAUAUUCUCCAAAUGCAAAUAAAAUUUGCCGCCUAAAUAAAAGUGGCAGCAAACUGCUUUUUUUUUUUAAUAUUAAGAAAAGACCUUACCCCUUCAGCACAUUCAUCUUUUAAACCGUAAGUAAUCAUCCUAGAGGAUGCAUCGUGGGACCUUCGCUGAUCGCUGAGUGUAUUGACUCAAAAAAGAACUCUUAAAUUCAUUACAGGUUUCAUAAGAUCAAAGCUGAGGGUAGAUUAAUUGAACAUAUAAACUAAGCUUGCUGUGACUAUUAAAAAUAUGUUCAUGACAUUAUACUCACAGAAAUUUAUUAAGGCAGUCAUAAUUUUGCCAUUUAUGUAUAGAAUAUUGAAAAUUAUUGAAUUUCAUUUAAAAAAAGGGUUAAAUUAUAGAAUUUCAUUUCAAAAAAAGUCAAAUUAAACUUAUCAUAAAACAACCUUAACUAUCAAUCCAAGAUCUAAGUGACUAAAAAAAGAUUAUGAGAAUAAUUUAAAUGAUUAAUUAUCAAUUCUUUUUUAUAUGUAAAAUUGGUAUUGUACAAGUUAAUUAUAAUUAACUAACGGAAAUGUAGUAAAAUAUAGGGUUUAUUAGAGAUAUUUAACAAUUCCUAAAGUAUUAUGGUAUAAAAUGUUAUACCCUAAUAUUUCAUGCACCGAUUUAUUUUACAAUUUCUAAAAUAGUAAAAUGAAUAUAACGCAUAAAAUUAAUUAAAUUAUUAACAUAGCUUCUGUCCUUUAUAGUAAUUUCAUUAGAUGUUUCAUGAGAUCAAAGUUUUGAGGGUGAACUAGUCAAAGAAAAUGGUUGUGGAUGGUUAUAACAUUUGACCAAAAAUAAUAUUAUUAUUUGGUUGGAGCCAUAGUAGGGUAGGCCCAGUCCCAGUCCCUUGCGCCCGCUCCGGUAAUUGGCAAGACAGUCUGCCAUGCAAGCAAGCGAAGGAGGAAAAUGUGAGGUAUUUUUACAUCACUUGCCAAAUGUGUAAUAUUUGCUUACUUGGACUUCAAAGUCAGUAGUUUAAUGAAAUUGGAACAUUUUCGAGAUUUAGGAUUGUCUCCUAACCUUAUCUUCUUUUGAGUAAAUUUUAUUAAUAUGAUUGGUGGUUAAUAAAUUAAAAAAUAAAGGUAGUUAAUAGAUAUUAAGUAGGUUAUUGGGUAACAAUUAUUUUUCUGUAUUGGAUUUGAGUCUUAAUAUUUUGACACGAUUAGUAAAUGGGUUAAAUUUGGGUUAAACUAAAUUUGACACAACACGAACAUGAUCUAAUAACCCGUUUUGCUAGCUUUAGCCAUAAGAUGUGAAUUUUGCUAAGGAUAUUAUCUCAAACAGGAGGGAAAUAGUAACUAGGGUAACAAUAUAAACAUGAGGAAUUUUCUAUUUUUGAAGUAGUUCUUGGGUUGAAUUAGACCGUGGGUUUCUAAAGUCUAAAAAUCCCAAUAAAUUCAGCCCCACAUACAAAGGCUUACCAAAUUCAAAGAAUUUUUAUGAGUGAUUGUCGUGUAAAUGAGUGAUUGCAGACGUACAAAAUGAUCUCUAUUAACUGGGAAAUUUCUUGAAGUGACACAAGUGGAUAUAAUAUUAUAUUAUUCAUGAUGUGCAAGACAAAAUUAUCGAGAAAACAGAUGUGCCAGUUAAUAAUGAAGAACUAGCAGUUGAAGAUGACCAAAGAAUUUUUAUGUGUGUGAGAUUUCAAAGAUAAUUUCAUGCAGAAUUUAAUGGUUAUGUGUUUCUUUGGUUCCUUACCCAAAUCCAGCACAAUGGCAUAGUCACAUGCAUGAAGAUUUUGGAGUCUUUGGCUGCACAAUUUUUCUAGACUUUAAUUUGCAUUAAUUAUUGGCUUUUUUUUUUGUAUUGCUCUUUAAUCGGCUCUUUCAGACAAAAUAUUUAUGUAUUAGUUUUCGAUUAACAUAGUCCUGCCUUCUGGGAAGUUAUGAUACUAAUCAGAUUCUUUUAUAUAAUGUCAACAUUUGAUUCUCAUUUUGGCUCCAUCACUUUUCUUGGUGGCCUAUUUGCGGUUCACAAUCUUAACAUUCUGUUAUGCCGUGUUAGCUUCUCUGUUUAAGCUCUGCUUCAACUUGUUUCGACGUUUCGCUGUCAUGGUUUCGUUCACUAAUUAUUUUCAAUAAACCAAUUAAUUAAUAUAUAUAUAUAUACAUGUUGUCGUCGUUUCUAUGAAAGUUUAAGCAGCUAGCAGUUUCUGGAGUCAGUUCAGUCAAAGACUCGAAGCCUAGCAGCGAUCGAUUAAAGAUGCUGUGGUUGCUUUAGUAUUUUUCUAAUUUAAUUAGAAAUCUGCUGUAUAAUAAUUUCUAACCAGCAGCCAUGGAAAGUUGCAAACAACAAUAUAUCUAUAAAAGCUGUUACAGAUUUAAUGCCCCGGGUAUAUAAACGGUUAUUUUUCCUUUAGCAUAAAAAUUUAGACACAGAAUUUAAUCAAAUAUACCGUUGAUCAUUUGAACAGUAAUGCCAAAAAAAAGGAAAAAAAAAAAAGAAUCUAGCGUGCUUUUCAAACAAACGCCGAAGGUAGCAACGAAGCUUUCACAGCAAAACUGCUAAAACUUGGUCGGGUAACAACAGACUAAUGUUAUUUUAUUAGGCACUAGGACCCUACGGUGGCACCAGCAACAUCAUAUAUAUAUAUAUUCUCAUCGUCAUCAUCAGUUGGACUUGGCUGCAGGUUUUGGAUGUGGUUCCCUUCUGCUUCAAUAAUGUUCUCUUCAUCAACUUGAUUCCCGUUCGCGCAUGCAGUUGAUCGCGAUCAAGAUUGUGCGAUUAAUGGAUGUUGUUACUGUGAGAUUUCGGAGCCAAUGGAAAAUGUUAUUACAGUAUGAUCAAUAUGAAUUGAUCAAGAUUCUUCUGCGGGUUGGCGAGAUGCUUUUGGCAAGCCCCACCUAGUCUUUGCCCACUAAUUUUUGUUUAAAUGAAAUUAAGUAAUUAUUUAAUUAAUAUAUUGAGUACAAAGGGCAAUUUAAUUCUCCUUUGUUGUGGCUAAGAUGUAUUGCACGAGCUUAUCUUAACUUUAAUGACUGUAAUUUAUAAAAUUAAUUAUAACCUAAGCAAACGUGGACAAGGGAUUUGUGGUUAUGUAUAUUUCAGUUUUUUUUUUAAAUCAAAGAAAAUCUCAAAUAAUUUAUAAGGAUUUUAUCUUUGAAGAAUGAUAAACUCUUAUCUAUAUAAAAAAAGAGAUUUUAUGGUGAAUUAAAAAGUUUGUUAAUGCUAAAACAAAAAGAGGGUUUAAAAUUAGAGAAUAAUGAGUUUAUAAUUAUGUUCGUAUUUUGAGAAUACUAAAUAAAACGUGAAAAUCAUUUAUAGUUAUUCCUGAAUUUAUAGAAAUACAAAUAAAAUAUUAAUUGUGGAAUUAAAAAUGAGUUCAUUUAUAACUGAUAUGGGGUUUAUAUAAUUUCAAGUGCGAUAAUAUAAUCACAGACUCCCAAACUUAUUAAUUUAUUUUCUUCCUUUUUUUAUUCUUUCUUUCUCUCUGCCGGCACUCGGGAGCUUUGGUUUUAAUUAGUUUUAUAGCCUAUAGAUAUAAUAUUGUGUAGUGACAUGUUUUGACCUUGAGUGCUAAUCAGUGGGGAUCAGUAUUUAAUUAAUCAAGAAUCUUUACAAAAAGCAUCGACUCCCAUUGGUUCCUCGGGUUGGGGAAGUGCUUUUGUCAAGCCCCACCGAGUCUCCGCGACUCCGCCCACUAAUUUUUGUUUAAAUGAAAUUAAGUAAUUAUUUAAUUAACCUAUUGAGUACAAAGGACAACUGGAUUCCCCUAUGUUGUCGCUAGGUUGUGUUGCACGAGCUUAGCUUAACUUUAAUGACUCUAAUUUAUAAACAGAUGCGAGUAACAAUAAUAUAUUACUUUCCAAUUUGAAGUGGAGUCUUCGAAGGCAACUGCUUUCUCAAUUUUAUAACUAUGUACUCUCAAAAUAAUUUUGAUACAAAAACAGGUUGCUUUUAUGUACUGUUGAUGACAAGCCUCGUGCCGUCUUCUUCGUUGAGAAGAAUUGGAACGUAUUGCAAUGUCUCUGGUUUUCUCUAUCUGAGUUCAAUUGAAGUUUAACCAAGCUAUUUAUGCUUGUUUGGUUGCAGAGAAAAUGAAGGAAAAUUCAAUGAGCAAUAAGAAACUAUGAGAAAAAAUAGAUCGAAUUUUAUUCAAUGAAUUAUGAAUACAGAGGUUGAUCUUAUAUACUAAGAUCCAGAACCUUUUGCAUUGCUCACACACGUGUUGAGAGUGAGCUGUGAUUAACAAACUUCUCAGCUCUAUAACAAACUUACAAACUAACAAAUAACAACCUUGCUUACUCAGCUGCCACAUCAGCAGAAUCAUUACAAAAAUAUUCUUUAUAUUAUAACUCUAACAUCCCCCCUCAAGCUUGAUGUCGUGAAAGGACAUUAAGCUUGCUGCGCAAAUAAGCAAACUGAUCAAAACAGAGGGGCUUAGUAAGAACAUCUGCUAAUUGAUCUGAACUGGGAACAUAAGUAACUGAAAGCUGUUGUUGAGCAAUAUGCUCUCUGAGAAAAUGGAGGUCAAGCUCAAUAUGUUUAGUACGAGCAUGAUAUUUAGGAUUACUGGCCAAAGCUUCAGCACUCUUGUUAUCACAAUGCAGAAGAGGAAUCUAAUCAAAAGAUAUGUUAAGCUCUUGAAAUAAGUAUGUAAUCCAGAGAACUUCAGAGGUAGCCAUAGCAAGAGCUCUAUACUCUGACUCAGCUGAUGAUCUGGACACAAUAGGCUGCUUCUUAGAGGACCAAGAGAUGAGAUUGGAACCUAAAAACACACAAUAACCUCCAACAGAUCUGCGAUCAUCAGGAUCUGCUCCCCAAUCAGCAUCAGAGUAGGCAGUUAACUUUAAAGAACCAGAACUGAAAAACUGAAGACCAUAAUCAGCUGUACUUUGAAGAUACCGUAACACCCUCUUGCAAGCUUGCCAAUGAAGAAUGGUGGGAGCUGAUAAAAAUUGACUAAGCUUGUUGACUGUGAAAGCUAAGUCUGGUCGAGUUAACAGAACAUAUUGAAGAGAUCCCACAAUGCUUCUGUAUAAAGAUGGAUUUUCAAAUGCAGCACCUGUAUCCUUGUGCAGCUUCUCAGAAGUACUCAUAGGUAUAACACAACCUUUACUGUCCAGUAUAUUUGCCCUUUUAAGAAUAUCACCAAUGCACUUAGUUUGAGAUAGAUGAAUACCGUGAACAGAUGGAGUAACUUCAAUACCAAGAAAGUAAUGAAAAUCCCCCAGCUCCUUCAAGGCAAACUCAGAAUGUAAUUGCUGAAUAACAUUUCCUAUGAGCUUUGAAUCUGAACCCGUGACUAAAAUAUCAUCCACAUAAAUGAGAAUGAGCAAGAUAUAUGUCCCUGCAUGCUUAAUGAACAGAGAAGUGUCAGAUUUGGAGACUCGAAAACCCCAUUGAACUAGUGACUCCUUUAAUCGAUCAUACCAGGCUCUUGGAGCCUGUUUGAGACCAUAUAAGGCCUUGUUAAGCUUACAAACAAAAGAAGGGUAAGUGGAAUCAACAAACCCUUGUGGUUGAUGCAUGUACACAUCUUCAGUAAGAAUGCCAUUGAGGAAAGCAUUGUUUACAUCCAGCUGCUUAAUAGGCCAGUGAUGCAUGACUGCUAAGCUUAAAAUGAUUCUGACAGUACAAGGCUUGAUCACAGGGCUAAAUGUCUCAAAGAAAUCAACCCCAUAAGUUUGAUGAUAUCCCUUGGCAACCAACCGAGCUUUAUACCGAGAGAUGCUGCCAUCAGCAUUAUACUUAACUCUGUAAACCCACUUGUUGCCAACAAUUUUCCCAGCUGAUUCAGGAGGCACUAAAGUCCAGGUUUGAUUUCUUUGGAGAGCUUCAAAUUCUUCUUUCAUAGCUGAGUACCACCUAGGAUCUGUCAAUGCUGUUUUGACAUUGGAUACUGGUGGAGAAGAAUUUGAAGAUCUUGAGGGUUGAUCUAGAGAUUGUGAAUGAACAGAAUAGGAUCUGUCAAUGCUGUUUUGACAUUGGAUACUGGUGGAGAAGAAUUUGAAGAUCUUGAGGGUUGAUCUAGAGAUUGUGAAUGAACAGAAUGUGGCAAGGAAUGAGACUCUGAUGCAGGAGACAGAGCAGGACUGGAGACUGCAGCUGAUGGCUCUUCAUUGCUACUGUGACUAAGAACAGGUGUUUGAGGAAGAAAGAAAUGAACUGAAGAUGGAGUGGAGGUAGCAGAAUGAGAUAAGGUGUUGGACUUGGUUUUCAAAAACAGUUCAGAAUAUGGAAAUUCCAGUUCAUUGAAAGUAGCAUGUCUGGCAACAAAGACUUUCCCAGUUCGAUCAAGACACUUGUAGCCAUUAUGAAUGGGGCUAUAACCAAUGAAGACACACUUUUGAGUAUGGAAAUCUAGCUUGUGAUGAUGAUAAGGUCGAAGAAAAGGAAAACAGGAACAGCCAAACACUUUAGAAAACUUGUAAUCUGGAAGCUGAUUGUAUAGUUUCUGAAAAGGAGAUAAAUUGUUUUGAACAGGUGUUGGCAUUCUAUUCACUAAGUAAGUGGCUGUAUGAAAAGCUUCCCACCAAAAAGAGAGAGGUAAAUGAGCUUGAGCUAAGAGUGUGAGUCCAGUUUCAACAACAUGCCUAUGCUUCCUUUCCACCACACCAUUUUGAUGGUGAGUGUGGGGGCAACUAUAUCUAAAUUGAAUACCCUCUUGUUGGAGAAAUGAUCUGAAGGCUAUAAACUCACCCCCCAUAUCAGUUUGUAGUGUUUGGAUGGAUAAAGAAAACUGUUUUUCGACAAGAGAUUUGAAAUAUUUGAAGGUGUCUAAUGCCUCAGAUUUGAGUGUGAGUGGAAAUACCCAACAAUAUCUUGUGAAAUCAUCAACAAAAGAAAUAUAGUACUUGUAUCCAUCCAUAGACAACACAGAAGCUGGACCCCAUAAGUCAGCAUAUAAGAGUUGGAGAGGAAAUUUUGAUUUUAUAUUAGUGACUGGAAAAUGGAAUUGAUGUAAUUUACCAUAUUGACAAGCAUCACAAAAAUUAAGAGAUUGAGAAUGGGUUGAAUGCAUAGGAAGACUUUUCAUUAUUGUUUGCAAGACAUGUUUGGUUGGAUGACCAAACCUAUUGUGUAGCAACUGCAUAGACUGACUACUGGAAGCUAUAAAACUGACAUAAUUCUCAUUAUUGGAAUUGAUCAAAUUUGAACAGACAUUUGUUUGGUGAUUCAACUCUUUCAAAGAGUGUACAUUCUCUUUAUUAGAAAAAACAGACAACAUUGAACUAGGUUUGAGACCCAAGGCUUUAGAAUCAGAAAGAGGUGUAUCUUGAGUCAGUAGCUUAAAGAGACCAUCCUCAGCAAUCCCUUGUGCCAGCAAAGUUCCUUGCAUCUUGGCCUUAAUGAAACAAAGAUUAGAAACAAAUUCAAUGAUUAUAUGAUUGUCAGAGAGAAGUUUAGAUAAGCUAAUCAGAUUCUUGGUAAUUUUGGGCACACACAGAACAUUGGAAAUGUUUAAUUGAUUACCAAAGGAUGUAAGGAGACAUAUAUUGCCUAUAGAAGUAAUUCUAAGACCUUGUCCAUUACCAACUAAUAGCAACUGAGAUCCAAGAUAAGGUGUACCUUCAGCUAGGUUCUCCAUAUUGUUUGUGAGAUGAUGUGUUGCUCCACUAUCCAGAUACCAUCCUUGGUCAACAACUCCUUCUGAUGUAGCCAUGAAAGCAGCUUUGGAAGUUUGAUUCUGAUCUGGAAAGUUUCCUUGCACAGAAAAAUUAGGAACAAAAUUUCUGUUAAAUCUGUCUUUGCAAUCAGCUGCAGUAUGAUUGUGUUUGAAACAAAUCUGACAAACAAUAUUUCCUUUGCCUCCUCCUCUUCCAAAUCCAUUAUAGCCACCAGGAAAUCUACCAGAAAAAUUUCCAGCAGCACCAGCAAAAUUGCCUCUACCCUGAUUUCUAUUCCAGUUAUUCCAAUUAUUAUUCCAUUGUCCUCUACCUGAAUUUUGUCCCCUUCCUGGAUUGAAACCUCCUCUGUUUGUAAAGUUUCCAUUCCAGUUAUGAAAUCCAGGUUUGUUUCCAGUGUUUCCAUUCCAGCCUCCUUGACUAUUAUUAUUCCAGCCUCCCUGAUUGUUAACUUUCUUUUGAUUAUUCUCAGCCUGAGCUAAGUUAGCAGCAUAGUUCUGUUUCACUUCUUUGAAAGAAUUAGAUUGAUUGCUUUCUAAACGUGCCUCAUGUGUCAACAACAUUGAAUAAGCCUCAUUAAUACUCAUUUUUAGAACAUUUGCUUCAAUAUACACAACUACUGGAUAAUAAGGCUGACCUAAUCCAGAGAUGAGAUGAGUUAUAAAAUCCAAAGAACUAACAGGACUUCCAGCAAUAGCAAGCUCAUCUGUAACUGACUUCAACUUACUAAAAUAUUCUGUCAUAGUCAUAGAUCCUUUCUUCAGAUUAUUCAACAUCAUUUUGAGAUGAACUUUCUUAGCAGCAGUUUAAGAUCCAAAUUGUUGCUCUAAACUAGACCACAGUUCAUAAGAGGUUUUAGAGUUUACCACAAGGCUGAGGAUUUCAAUGCUGAUAGAGGAUAGCAGCCAGCUCAGCAGCAUCUGAUCUUGCUUCUUCCACACAUGAAACUCAGGAUUCUCUUGUGAAGUAACAGUUGAACUUGCAGAAGCAAUGAACAUAGCAUCUGAAUUUCCUUGAGUGCUUGAGAGAAAUUGAUCUGGACAGAUUCUGGAUCCAUCAAGCAAACUCUCAAGCUCAUUUGCUCGAACUGAGGAUAGAAUUUGAGAUUUCUAGAUUGAGUAAUUUGAUCGAUCAAGUUUUAUUGGAGUUGUGAAAGUAAAGGUUGUUGCUGAAGAAGAGAUGUUUGUGGUCAAGCUUGAUAAUGCCAUGAGAUUAGACUAGAUGUGGCUCUGAUACCAAAUUGAAGUUUAACCAAGCUAUUUAUGCUUGUUUGGUUGCAGAGAAAAUGAAGGAAAAUUCAAUGAGCAAUAAGAGAAACUAUAAGAAAAAAUAGAUCGAAUUUUAUUCAAUGAAUUAUGAAUACAGAGGUUGAUCUUAUAUACUAAGAUCCAGAACCUUCUGCAUUGCUCACACACGUGUUGAGAGUGAGCUGUGAUUAACAAACUUCUCAGCUCUAUAACAAACUUACAAACUAACAAAUAACAACCUUGCUUACUCAGCUGCCACAUCAGCAGAAUCAUUACAAAAAUAUUCUUUAUAUUUAUAACUCUAACAAGUUCAACUUCUUUGUCGACAAUAAUUCUUACAUAACAACAACGAAAAAAAGAAAAAAGAAAAAUCAAAUAUAGUGUUAGGGCUUCAAGGGAUUCUCCAUGGAGUGAUCUUUAAAUAAAAAACCAGCACCGCCCUCCGUUUGAUUUCUCCUGAAGAAAAGAUUUUAUCGAUAUUUUCCUUCUUUUUCACUCUCACUCUUUUUUUGAAAAAUUUCUUUCUGUACUUAUCAAAAGUUUUGCCUACAGCUGGAACCGAACAUAUAAAAUUUAAGGAUGAUUUAGAAUGUAUGUUAAGGUAUUAAUUUUUAUUACCUUGUAUUCUAGUGAUGGCAGACCUAUUAAUUCAUGAAAUCGAAGAAUUCUGAAGUUGUUUUGGUCCACUAAUCUUAGCUUUAGGAUAAGUGCUGACAAUUUCUUCUUCGGUCAUGAAUUAAGAUCCAAUCAUGUAGCUAGUAAAACAAACAUUCUGUAACUAAUUAGCCUAUAACAGAUUCGAUCUGACUGUACCAUAAGCAUAUGUAUAUGUGUAUUAAUGACUGGAGUUCAAUUAAUAAUUGCAAACUCAGCAAUAAAUAAUCUGUUAAUGGAUUCUGAUGUGUGUUCGUAGUGGAUUUACGAUGGUACUCAAAGUUCUCCAUGUUGAAUGAAAUUUCAAUUUGUAUUGAUAAAUACAAAUGACUUGCACAAUACAAACGCGGGACCCAAGUGGCCAAAAAGUUUUUCAUUACUCGCUUUAUCUCGCACUAGAAAACAUUUACAGCAAGCCGAGGCCUAAUUAAGAAGACCAAAAGGUUCAUUACGAAUAUGAAACUACAAGUUUAAGAGGGGAGAUAAGCCCCUUGCCCACUAUCUUCUUGUCUCCUAUCGAGUCCUGCUAUCCCAUCAAUAGCACUCAAUUUGAAGCAGCCAAAAGGUGGCGCAAUUGGAUUCAACCCACAGAUUGCCUACCAUUACAUGUAUCAUCUCCGAACUGUGCCGUAAAAUGGGAAUCUUGUUGAGGAUAUUAUCUCAAGGAGAAUAGUAACAAGGCUAACAAUAUAAACUCGAGGAAUUUUUAAAUUUUGAGCUAGUUCUUGAACUUUUGAGUUGAAUUAGACCAUGUGUUUCUAUAAAUUUAAAAACCGCGAUUGGAUUCAGCCCGACUGACAAAGGCUUAUCAAACUCAUUUGAGACCAAAGCACGAUUACGAGAUCCCCGCAGAAAUCUUAUUUGUUAAUAGAGCAGAAAAUGGUUUGUUCAAGUGAGCAUGCUAAAGAUUGCUGGCAUCUUCCCCUCGUAAACCUGAAGAUAUGGCUAAUCUUUCAUAAAUGUUUGAGAUGCCAAAAGGCAGUAAAAGUUGUCUAAUAGGAAAUUUGAAAUGAGGAUGCUGUGAAGUCUCUUAUUUUUAGGAAUAGUUGGAUUAAGAUAAAGCAUGAAAUGAUUAUAAUUUUACUGAAGUUGCAGUUAGAAGUUUAUUGAUUUCUCGUGUUCUAUUUUCUAUUUUCUAUUUUCUAUUUCCUAAUUUUAUAUUUCAAUAAAAACAGUCGGUUUGUAUCACUCUCACUCUUGUUGAAUCAAAAAUCAAAAUCACUCUUUCUAAUUAAGACUGUGUCCAGUGCAAAAUAUAUUUAUUUAGAUAUCAUUCAACUUUAUCUAUUUAAAUUGUAAUAAAAACAUAUCCUUCAUUCAUAAUAGCGGCCAAGAUUCGCACAAAGGAACACCAGCUCGACUAUCGUGCAGGGAAAUAAUUGAUGACAAGAUUCUUACGUUCUAAACACGUACGGCAUUGUGGAAAGUUGAACCGUAUUAUUAUAUGCAAUUAACCCAAUAUAUCAAAAUACAUAUACAAAACAUGUGGACACUAUUUUGAGAGAUAAUUGAUUGAGGAAAUUCGGUAUAAUUUUAGGCAAUUAAAUAAAUCUUUUUGAAAUUUACAUGUGUUUUGGGAGAUAAUUGUCGUGUAAAUCAGUGCUCGCGCAUGUAUAAAAUUAAUCUCUAUUAACUGGGAAGUUUCUUGGGGUGACACAAGUGGAUAUACACUAUUCGUGAUGUACAAGACAACAUUAUCAGGAAAACAGACGUGCCAAUUAAUAAUAAAGGACUAGCAGUUGAAGCUGACCAAAUUAAUUUUAUGUGUGUAAGAUUUCAAGAUAGUUUCCUGUAGAAUUUAAUGGUCAUGUGUUUCUUCGGCUCCUUCCUCAAAUCCAGCACAACGGCAUAGUCACAUGCAUGAAGAUUUUGGAGUCUUUGGCUGCACAAUUUUUCUGGACUUUAAUUUGCAUUAGUUAUUGGCUUUUUUAUAUUGCUCUUUAAUCAGCUUUUUCCGAUAAAAUAUUUCUGUAUUAGUUUUCGAUUAAAAUAGUCCUGGCCUCCUGGGAAGUUAUGGUACGAAUCAGAUUCUUUUAUCAACAUUUGACAAUUUCUUUUUCAAAGCUUUGAGUAGUGGAAUCAAUGAAAGAAGAAAUUAAUGUAAGAAGAAUAAUUAAAUGGGUACUCUCUUAGCCCCUUUAUCUGCUUAAAUAAAGAUUUUUGAAUACCUUGUUGGUGUGGCUAGUUAUGCUUGAAGUUGUUCUACAGUGUCUCGCUUGAAAAUUCCGAUACAAAAAAUUAAAAAGAAUCAUCUUCAUCACAUAGUCGACAGAACAUACACAUAUUCAACAGAGCAUACAGAGCAUACAGAACAUACACAUGUUCAAAAAAAUUUAUAUUGCGAUCAGACUUGACUCUUGAGCCUUGGUCAUUCCAUCACUAUCGUAGUUCCCCAUGAUACGUCAUGAGGGGAACUCAGUCAUUCCAAGACGGGUACAGUCAUCUUGUAAGGAGAUGAUUUAAUUUUACGACAUUACCCCUUCAGUGCACUCAUCUUUUAAACCGUAAGUAAUCAUCCUAGAGGAUGCAUCAUGGGACCUUCGCUGAUUGCUGAGUGUAUUGACUCAAGAAAGAACUUUUAAUUUCAUUACAGGUUUCAUAAGAUCAAAGUUGAGGGUAGAUCAAAGCUGUGACUAUUAAAAAUAUGUUCGUGACAUUAUACUCACAAAAUUUAUUACGGCAGUCAUAAUUUUGCCAUUUAUGUAUAGAGUACUCAAAAUUAUUGAAUUUCAUUUAAAAAAGGUUAAAUUAUAGAAUUUCAUUAAAAAAAAUUUCAAAUUAAACUUAUCAUAAAAAAACCUGAACCGUCCAUGCAAAAUCUAAGUGAUUAAAAGAGAUUAUAAGAACAAUUUAAUUGAUUAAUUAUCAAUUCUUUUUUAUAUGUAAAAUUGGUAUUUUACAAGUUAAUUAUAAUUAACUAACAGAAAUGUAGCAAAAUAUAGGGUUUAUUAGAGAUAUUUAACAAUUCCUGAAGUAUCAUGGUAUAAAAUGUUAUACCCUAAUAUUUCCUGCACCAAUUUAUUUUACAAUUCCUAAAAUAGUAAAAUGAAUAUAACGCAUAAAAUUAAUUAAAUUAUUAACAUAGCUUCUGUCCUUUAUAGUAAUUUCAUUAGAUGUUUCAUGAGAUCAAAGUUUUGAGGGUGAAUUAAUCAAAGAAAAUGGUUGUGGAUGGUUAUAACAUUCGACCAAAAAUAAUAUUAUUAUUUGGUUGGAGCCAUAGCAGGGUAGGCCCAGUCCCAGUCCCUUGUGCCCGUUCCGGUCAUUGGCAAGACAGUCUGCCAUGCAAGCAAGCGAAGGAGGAAAAUGUGAGGUAUUUUUACAUCACUUGCCAAAUGUGUAAUAUUUGCUUACUUGGACUUCAAAGUCAGUAGUUUAAUGAAAUUGGAACAUUUUUAGGACUUAAGAGACUCUCCUGAUCUAAUCUUCUUUCUAUAAUUUUGAAGUAGUUCCUAAGUUGAAUUAGAUCGUGGGUUUCUAAAAUCUAAAAAUUCCAAUAGGAUUCGACCCCACAUACAAAGACUUACCAAACUCAUAAUUUUUAUGAGUGAUUGUCGUGUAAAUAAGUGAUUGCGGACGUGACCAAUUGGGCUUUAGCCUAAUGGUGAACCGCUACUUUCAAAGUUAAAAAGAAGUAUAAGAGUAGUGAUUCGAGAAUCCAAUUGGGAUUUUUAGAUUAAUAGAAACAUUUGGUAUAAUUCAACUCAUGAACUAGAUCAAUAACAGAAAAUUCUUUAAGUUUAUAUGGUUGGCCUAGUUACUAUUCUCCAUUGACGUGAGAUGAUAUAUCCACAACAAGAUUCCCUUUGUACUGUGCAGUUCGUGUUGGAAAUUUUCAAAAUAAUUGUGUCUUAUGGUAAAGACAUGUCCUAUUAAUUGUGCCUUAUAGAAAAGGUACCUUUCACUAAAGACUUGUCUAAUUAAAUGAUGUCUUAUUGUAAGGACAUGUCCAUUUAAUUGUGUCUUGUAGAAAAGGUAUCCUUUUACUAAAUGAUAUAACUUUUCAUGGCAACAUUUCACUUAGAGAUGCAUCAUUUCAUAGUGACAUUUCAUUUGAAAUGGUGAUGGUUCAAUUUAGACCAUUGAUUAAAAUCAAAUCUAGAUCCAAUGGCCAUGAAUGAAGGGGUAUCAUGAAAGAUGAUAACCCAAAUGAGGAGGCACAAGUAUAUCUAUAAAUAGGGGUCAUGUUUAAGCCAUUUAGACAUGAAAUGAAUGAUCCUACACCACUCUUUUCUUAGCAUUCCUUUCUAGUACGAAUCUCAACACAAAACACCCAUUUCUUUUGUGCAUUCACAUUCCAAUAUAUUGUUUUCUGCAGGAACAAUAUAUUAUUUCUUGGUAGGCUUGCAACAUUCAAGAGUAUUCUAGUUUGCUUUCGUCGAUGCACAACGCAAGCAAACAAACAAGUGCUUCAUUGUAUCCUGGAGGCGUAUUUGCUUAACCCAUGUGCAUCACUCAAUUGGUGGGGGCAAAUAACGUCUUAAGGAAAGCGACAUUUGUAACGUGCCUUGAAGCACACAAAAUUUCUGCAGUUUCUUCCUACAUACAGAGUUAGUUGUAAACACAUUAUUUUACAUAAUAAAGUUCCACCAUUAUUGUUGUAUUUCUCUACAUUUGUCAUUCCCCACAAAAUUUACCACCAACAAUCUUAAGACGUUAUUUCUACAACAAUGGCACCAAGUUCAUCUCUUCGACAAUUUGCAGUAGAUUUUGUCAAAUUGGAGCGGUUUGAUGGUGGCAACUUUAUUCGUUGGCAGAAAAAGUUGCAUUUCUUGUUGACAAGCCUCAAUGUGGUCUAUGUUCUCACAACACCAAAGCCUCAAGAACGUGAGAAUGAGACAUUAGCGGAAACCAGAGUGCGACAUAAGUGGGAGCAAGAUGACUACGUGUGUAAGGGACACAUUUGCAAUGCCAUGUCUGAUACUUUGUUUGAUCAAUAUCACAACAAACCUACAUCAAAAGAGAUAUGGGACUCAUUAGAGGCUAAGUACAUGAUGGAAGAUGCCACAAGUAAGAAAUUCUUGGCUUCUAAAUUUUUUAAUUAUAGAAUGGUUGAUAAUAGACUCGUGGUUGAACAAUAUAAUGAGAUUUUGCAUAUUCUUGAUCAAUUCAACCAACAUAACAUGAAAAUGGAUGAGUCUAUUAUUGUCUCUUCAAUUAUUGAUAAACUUCCUCCCUCUUGGAAAGACUAUAAGAAAAGUCUUAAACAUAACAAAGAGGAAAUUAGUCUGGAUGGCUUAGGCCAAAGUCUUCGUAUUGAAGAGGAACUCAAGCUUAAUAGUCUUGAGGAUCAGACUACUAUGUCCUCUAAAAUUAAUGUCGUAGAGGAAGGGAAGGAGUUUAAGCAUUCUAAUCACCCUAAGAAUAACCAAAAGAGAAAGUUUGAUUCCAAAGAGAAUCAAAACAAUAAGAAGAAAAAGAAGGGUACAUGCCACCACUGCGGAAAACCUGGCCAUUUCAAAAGAGAUUGUCGACUUCUGAAGAAACAAAAGGAAGUUUCGAACACAAAUCUUGUGGCCAUGAUAUCUGAGAUUAAUGUUCUUGAAGAUGAUAAUGCAUGGUGGAUAGAUUCUGGUGCAACCAAGCAUGUAUGCAAGGAUCGUAGCCUUUUCAAAUCUUAUAAAGCAAUGGAUGAUGGAAGUGUUCUUUACAUGGGAAAUUCCUCCACUGCAAUAGUUAAAGGAAAAGGCAAUGUGCAACUAGAGUUCACUUCCGGAAAAACUUUAACUCUUACAGAUGUUUAUCAUGUUCCUGAAGUUAGGAAAAACCUUGUAUCUGGUAGCCUUCUUAAUAAGUUUGGCUUCAAACUUGUUUUUGAGUCAAACAAGUUUAUAUUAUCUAAGGGUGGUACCUUUGUUGGGAAAUGAUACAUGUAUGAAGGAAUGUUUAAACUCAAUAUCAAUAAUAUGAAUGUUUCUUCUGCUUAUAUGGUUGAUUCAUUAUCUUUGUGGCAUAAUCGUUUAGGACAUGUGAAUGUUAGAAGAUUGCAUGAUAUGGCUAAUUUAGAAUUAAUUCCUAAGCAUGAAAAUGAUAUGCAUGAAAAAUGUAAAGUAUGUGCACAAACUAAAAUCACAAGAUCUCCUUUUCCAAAAAUUGAAAAAACAUCUUCUUUAUUGCAUUUAAUUCAUAGCGAUGUGUGUGAUAUGCAUAGUAAUCCUUCUAAAGGUGGUAAAAAAUAUUUUGUAACAUUUAUUGAUGAUUUUUCAAAAUAUUGCUAUGUGUAUUUAUUACAUUCUAAAGAUCAAGUGUUAGAAAAAUUUAAAACUUAUAAAAAUGAAGUUGAGAAUUUUUGUGACACUAAAAUUAAAUGCCUUAGAAGUGAUAAAGGAGGUCAAUAUGCUUUUUCUGAUUUUUGUGAAUCUGUUGGCAUUGUACACGAAACUAGCACUGCAUAUACUCCACAACAAAAUGGUGUAGCUGAAAGGAAAAAUAGGACAUUAAUAGAAAUGGUUAAUGCUAUGCUUUUUAAUGCUGGGCUUGGUAAAGGUUUUUGGGGUGAAGCUAUUUUAACUGCAUGUCAUAUCUUAAAUAGAGUGCCUAAUAAGAAAACAAAGGUGACUCCAUAUGAAUUAUGGAAAAAGAAAAAGCCUAAUCUUUCUUAUCUAAGAGUUUGGGGUUGUCGAGCCAUUGUAAGACUACCAGAACCUAAGAUAAAGAAAUUAGGAGAAAGGGGCAUUGAAUGCAUAUUCUUGGGAUAUGCAGAGCAUAGUAAAGCUUAUAGGUUUCUUGUAACAGAACCUAAUAGCUUUGUUGAGAUCAAUACUAUAGUGGAAUCUAGAGAUGCAAUAUUCUAUGAAAAUAGAUUUUCCACUAUACCAAAAAGUAUUGAUUCUCAAGAGAAUGAUAAACAAAUAGAAAUUGGUCAAAAGCGUAAUGCUAAUAAUGAGCAAAAUCAUUUGAGAAGAAGUAAAAGAAUAAGGACUCUAAAAUCUUUUGGACCAGAUUUUAUAGUUUAUUUAGUUGAAGGGACAAGAGACUCACAAUCAAAACAGACCAUGAUCACAUCUACUAUAGAGUCUGAUCCCCUCACCUAUGAAGAGGCAAUGAAGUCUCAAGAUGCUGCUUUUUGGAAAGAGGCCAUUAAUGAUGAAAUGGACUCUAUUGUGGGUAAUAAGACUUGGAAAUUAGUUGAUUUACCUCCUGGCUCUAAUCCUAUAGGUUGUAAAUGGAUUUUCAAAAAGAAGAAGAAAGUUGAUGGAACAAUUGAAAGAUUUAAAGCAAGACUAGUAGCAAAAGGCUUUACACAAAAAGAAGACCUUGAUUAUUUUGAUACUUAUGCACCUGUUGCAAGAAUUGCUACUAUUAGAGUCUUGAUUGCUUUGGCUUCAAUUUAUCAAUUUGAAAUCCAUCAAAUGGAUGUAAAAACAGCUUUCUUAAAUGGAGAAUUAGAUGAGGAAAUUUACAUGAAACAACCAGAAGGGUUUGUUAUGCCAGGACAAGAACAUAAAGUUUGUAAACUAGUCAAGUCUUUAUAUGGUCUUAAACAAGCUCCAAAGCAGUGGCACGAAAAGUUUGACAAAGUGAUUGUCUCAAAUGGAUUUAAUAUUCAUGAAUCUGAUAAAUGUGUCUAUAGCAGAUUCAAUGGAAAUAAAGGUGUGAUUAUUUGUUUAUAUGUAGAUGACAUGUUAAUUUUUGGUACUGAUAGUGAGAGCAUUGAACUCACUAAAUUAUUAUUGUCAUUUAAUUUUGAUAUGAAAGACAUGGGACUUGCUGAUGUGAUUUUGGGGAUUAAAAUUAUAAAAAAUGAGAAUGGCCUAGUAUUGACCCAAUCACAUUAUAUUGAGAAAAUUUUAAAGAAAUUUUAUUAUUAUGAUUGUAAGUCUGUGUCAACACCUUUUGAUUCAAAUAUAAAACUGUAUCCUAACACUGGCAGAUCAGUAUCCCAAUUAGAAUAUGCACGUAUUAUUGGAUGUCUUAUGUACGCAAUGACUUGUACUAGGCCUGAUAUUGCUUUCGCUGUUGGAAAGCUCAGUAGAUAUACUAGUAAUCCAAGCCAAGCACACUGGCAAGCAGUGUACAGAAUUCUAAAAUAUUUAAAACAUACAAUGGAUUAUGGUAUAUACUACACUGGAUAUCCUUCAGUUUUGGAAGGAUUUUCGGAUGCUAGUUGGAUUACUGAUCGAGAUGAUCAUACAUCCACAAGUGGUUGGAUUUUUAAUCUUGGUGGAGGAGCUAUUUCAUGGGGCUCAAAGAAGCAAACUUGUAUAGCAGACUCCACCAUGGCUGCAGAAUUUGUAGCUUUGGCUUCAUGUUGCAAGGAAGCUGAAUGGUUAAGGAAUUUGCUUAUAGAAAUUCCUAUUUGGUCUAAACCAAUGCCUCCUGUAUCUAUUCACUGUGAUAGUGAGGCAACUUUAUCAAGAGCAUAUAGUCAAAUCUAUAAUGGAAAGUCUAGGCACAUUGGUCUAAGACAUAGUUAUGUAAGACAAUUACUUACAGAUGGAGUAAUCACAAUUGACUUUGUGAAAUCAUGCCAAAAUUUGGCAGACCCCUUAACUAAAGGCCUUGCAAGGGAUAUUGUAUUUAAAACUUCUGAGGGGAUGGGACUGAAGCCAGCAUCAUCUUAUCACCAAUGAUGGAAACUCAACCCAACACUUGAAAUAUCAAGAUCUUGGGUUCAAUGAGCAAAAGUACAUCAUAUGUUGUGAUAGCAAGCACUAUAAUAUUUUUAGAUGCGUCCCAAAGGUUAGUGCUUGAUACCUGUAACAUAUGGAAAAAGUUAAGCUACUUAGCUUUUAAUGGACUUAUAAAUGUUUUAGUUACAGGGACAUUCUAGAUAAGUCCACCUAUGUGAGUGUAGGAGGUGGUGCCGCUUCCUAUGUAACUUGGCUGGUUACUAAAGCGCUCAUGAAAACAGGAUAUAGACACAGGGCCAAUCCACGUGUCGGCUAAGGAAUACUUGAGAAUUUGAAAACUUAUGUGUGAGAUAUAUCCGGUUAGUCGAUUAAGGUUGCUGGUUCAAAGCUUGCCUACCAUGCCACCUUGAUUAACUUUGAUGUAUUGUCGCUAAGUGAAGGUUCAAGUCCAAAAGACACCUUCAUCUAUGCCUAAGUUUUCCAAGCUUGUGCAAGAUCAUUUUUCCAAAUUCAUUUAUUUUGAAAAUGGUGGGGGAUUGUUGGAAAUUUUCAAAAUAAUUGUGUCUUAUGGUAAAGACAUGUCCUAUUAAUUGUGCCUUAUAGAAAAGGUACCUUUCACUAAAGACUUGUCUAAUUAAAUGAUGUUUUAUUGUAAGGACAUGUCCAUUUAAUUGUGUCUUGUAGAAAAGGUAUCCUUUUACUAAAUGAUAUAACUUUUCAUGGCAACAUUUCACUUAGAGAUGCAUCAUUUCAUAGUGACAUUUCAUUUGAAAUGGUGAUGGUUCAAUUUAGACCAUUGAUUAAAAUCAAAUUUAGAUCCAAUGGCCAUGAAUGAAGGGGUAUCAUGAAAGAUGAUAACCCAAAUGAGGGGGCACAAGUAUAUCUAUAAAUAGGGGUCAUGUUUAAGCCAUUUAGACAUGAAAUGAAUGAUCCUACACCACUCUUUUCUUAGCAUUCCUUUCUAGUACGAAUCUCAACACAAAACACCCAUUUCUUUUGUGCAUUCACAUUCCAAUAUAUUGUUUUCUGCAGGAACAAUAUAUUGUUUCUUGGUAGGCUUGCAACAUUCAAGAGUAUUCUAGUUUGCUUUCGUCGAUGCACAACGCAAGCAAACAAACAAGUGCUUCAUUGUAUCCUGGAGGCGUAUUUGCUUAACCCAUGUGCAUCACUCAAUUGGUGGGGGCAAAUAACGUCUUAAGGAAAGCGACAUUUGUAACGUGCCUUGAAGCACACAAAAUUUCUGCAGUUUCUUCCUACAUACAGAGUUAGUUGUAAACACAUUAUUUUACAUAAUAAAGUUCCACCAUUAUUGUUGUAUUUCUCUACAUUUGUCAUUCCCCACAAAAUUUACCACCAACAGUUCGGAGAUGAUACAUGUAGUUCAAAAACAGAAAAUUCCACAAUUUGAUCACCGCCACCUUGGGGCUGGUUCAAAUUGGAAAUUAUUGAUGCCGCAAUAAAUGAUGAAUCAGACGGCUGGGUUAGCAGGAUUUAUGAGACCUCAAGAUUCUGGGCUUGUUCUUUUCUUGGGCUUCUCUCCCUUCUAAAACUUGUAGUUUUAUCUUUGAAAUGAACCUUAGGACCUUCUUAAUUAGGCCCAGGCUUGCUAUAACCCCACGGCAACCCCGCAAAACAAAUUUUUAGGCAACUUAGGUCCUGCAUUUCUAUAGCACAGAUCAUUCUUCUUAGCCAAUUGUCUACAUAUACUAUUUAAUUUGAAAUAAAUUGAAAUUUCAUUCAACAUAGAGAGAUUUGAGUGCCGUCGUACAUCUUCUACAAACACACAUCAAAAUUGAUUAACCGAUUAUUUAUUACAAGAAGACAAUGGAUUAAAUUAUUGUACUUUCAAAUUAUGAGAGGAAAAAAGAUUAUUUACAAAUGCAGUGUACAUUCACUCUUCCUUUAAUCCCCAAGUAAUUAAAGUUUCAAUUAGAUGUGUACAUGCCUCUCGACCUUUUUUGAGUGGUGGGCUGCUGUCCUCACACGGUGUGAGUUCUAAUGGACUCAACUCUCUCUCAAUUAAGAAUAAUUGAGUGGAGACCAUUGCAGUCUUUUUCCCUUUCAAAAAUUGUAAGUGGAGCAAGAAUCCCUCAAAUAUUAAUAUUAUUACUUUUGGAUAGUAUUGUAGCAGGUGCUGUGGUGAUACUUUUGGAUAGUAUUAUUAUUUUAAAAUAUUAAUUUUUGGUCUGUUAAAAAUAUUUCAUACUUAAAUUUGAGAAUUGAUAUUGGAUCGAGAAUUGGUGUUGGACUUGUAGUUUCUUUUUUUGGGACUAAUGUUGAAAUUUUAAUUUUCCAUUUACAUUGAUGAAAUUUAGAAUUGAAUAUUUUAUGUGAAAUUAUAGGUUAUUGUUACAAAUUUUUAUAUUGAGUUAUUUAAUUUAAUUUUUUAGGUAUUAUUAAAUGUAUUUUUUUAACAUUUGUGAUUUUAAAUGUGGGAACGCACAAAAAAUCCAUUGAAUAUCAUUGCGGUUUUGGUAAUUGUCAAAAUUCGUAGUUGGUGAGUUUUCUUAAAAAAAAUUAAAAUCCAUAGCAGGUUGCAAGUAAAUUUAAUAAUUGAAAUUUUAUACGAGUAUAAGUUUAGUAAUAAUAAACCUGGGGACUAUGCACAAUUGCACAUUGCCAUCCCUAUCUCAACUAGUUGUCUGAUUAUAAUGCCGGUAGUUAUCUGCAAUAAUAGUAAUUCCUAAAUAUCUCUUAUGUAAUAUUAAGUUGUUUAAUUGUACCGGUAUAUAUAAAAAAAAAGAUGUAUACAUGUAAAUAUGUAAUUGCCUAAAGUCUACCAAGCUUCUAAGUCAGUCUAGUCAAAAUUGUCAAAAGAAAUUUCAUAUUUCGCAAUGGAAGAAGUUGUGCCUGCCUUUUGGAUGAGGCCUCAAAAGUGCAUGCUUUUUGGAUUGAGGCCUCAGAGGUAGAAUUAACUAUUAAUUAAAGAACAAAAACAAAGCGCUCUCAAAGUAAAGUCAACCAAACCAUUAUUUUUGGUGCUGUACAUACUAAUUAUUAUUUUAUAAUCAACAAUGACAUCGGCAGCUCUUUUAUCCACUAGCCAAAUACAAACUUUGAUUCUUAUUCAAUUAAAAGAAUUCCUAAACUUUAAUAAUCAUAUUUUUGUUUAAUACUAAUACUUUUUUUCAUUUACCAUUUUUUUCCAGUCUAAGGAUAGUCAAAAGGAAAUCUCGAAUUCGCCCAUUUUGUUAAAUUAAAAUAUUAAAACUAAUUAUUAUUUGCUGCAAGGAAUCUCCAGUUUGACACAUUCAGUUAGACACACUAAUAAAAAAAGAAAAAAAAACGUGGGUAUUCUUCCAUUUCAGAUUUUUUAUUAUGUACAACAAAUAUAACUAUAUGGAACUAAUAUAACUACGUGACAAAUAUAAUAAUAAAUGCGAACCAUAUCAUACGUAUAAGCUUUCGAUGACAAUAUCCCUAAGAGGCAUGACCGAAAAUAAAGGCAUGCAUAAAUUGACAGGCCACAGUUCACCAGACAGACAUCAAUUCUCAGAAGCAAUUCACAAAGAGAUUGCAACACACGUCUUGUUACAGUAUCACUCGUCUCACCAGAUGACAGAUGUACAUCGUUCAUCAAUUAUAGAAAGUAAGUUGAUGCUUAGUGUGAUCAUACUUAAAUAUCACUAUGUUAAUUGAAAUUACAAUUUGACCAUGGACCGACAUAGAAAUGUUUCAUAUUUCCUUUCUAUUUCUGCCUUUUUAGUUUUUACCCACUAGAGGGUUGUUUCACGAUGCACGAACGUUGAAAUCAAAGUCACCUUAAUUAAUCGAACCAUUAUUGAUCAUUAUAUCCACUAAAGUUGCAGCUUAGCUCGAUAUGAUAUUGAUUCUGCAUGACUUAAUUCUCAUGAAUCAUGAUACUAUUGUACGUACUAAAUAGUAUCAGAUUGGAUUGAGCACCUACAGAGGAAUCUCUUCGUUGCGGGGCUUUGAUUUUGUAAUAUGCAAUGAAAGCAACAAAUCAAAAGUAACUCCACCAAGUUUGAAAAAGACUUACCAAAAGAAAUGAGCAAUAAUAUCUGGUUUGGUGAAAGUGUUCUUAAUUUUUUAGUAAAUAAUGGAAGAACUAAUAAGGCACAACGCGUCUUAUUGCCAAUGAUUUUCAGCAACUUGCAUUACCGAAGUCAUCCUCCCAAUUUUCUCUAUGCGUAGUCUUCAAUUUAUCCCUUGCUUACCUAGUCAGAUUUCUUUCCUUUUUGGUCUAACAAUUGGGAGUUUAAUAAAGAAGGAAAAAAAAACCUUGAAUCAACAAAGUGUUGGCUCCACUGACAAUGGAGUCCCCUUAAGUGGCUUGACUGGGUUUGCUCCCCAGUUCGAGUCGCAGGAAAGUCGCAUUUAUUGGGAGAACAUGUGCCUCUUGGUUCAAACGGGGACUUUUAAUCUGGGUUGUGGUACGAAUUUAAAGGUGCUUCUUACAGUUGGGGCCCUCCCCAGGAUACCUCGUGGUCAAAACCAAAAAAAAAAAAAAAACCUUGAAAGGUCUUUUAUUUGCAACAGAAGUCCAAAGGAUGGGCGACGCCGAAUGUGAACUGUUUUCACCUAUGGGAGAGAGACUUAAUCUUCUCUUUUAUCUUCAAAAUUAGCGAUUCAUUUAUUUUACCAAGUAACCAGGAAAAGAGCUUGAACAUCACAGUGCCCAAGAACCUCAGUGCCCAAGAACCUGAUUAAUUUUCUUUACUUGCCCAACAGAAACAUUAUCCUCCAUUAAUAACAAAGAGCUGCAAGAACUUGGAACAUCCCAAAAUAUUAUUUUCCAUUUCUCCAUUUCCUCGGGCUUUUAUUAUUCAUGGCAACAUUGCACUGUAAUUGAGAUAAAUGCAUUUAUCCGCACCCAUAUUAAUUGAGGAGACAGGUUAGAAUUUCCCGUGCAUGAUAAACCAAUUAUCCAAUGGUACAAUUAAAAUUUCAAAUAGAUAUAUCCAAUUAUGUAAUUGCCUAAAACCUACCAAGCUUCUUAGUUAAUCUGCUAAACAUAGAAUAUUCGACAGCCACUUUUUUGAUAAAUUGGGUUAUUUAACUCCUAAAAUUAAGCUUCAAUAGAAUAUUCUUAGUUAACCCAUAAAUGUAUUAGGUACUUCUCCUAAAGCUUAUUUUAAUGGAACAAAACAACUUCAAAUCAAUUCCGCAAGUCAAUAUUCCAAAAAAAUUUUCCUUCUCAUGAAUUAAUAGAUCUGCCAAUAUACAAAAAAGAAUAUUUCAUGUACAUGUACGACCCAGUUUGGAAAAUCUUUUCUACUUUGUCCGUUUGUGACCAUUAUUAUUACUUUGAGUAUGUUAUUUUUUAAGCCUAAAUUUAAAAAUAAAUGCAAAAUCGUAAUGUAUAAAGCCGAUUUAUUUUUCCCAAAUUGAACAUAAUGAAUUUUCAACCAUGCUUCCUUACAACUUAAGGAAUUAAGGAGUUGGAGUGUGUGUGUUCCGCACUUCCACUAAAGAAGAAGCACUGGAUUUUGCUGACAAAAACGUCCUUGUUUAUGAGAUCUUUUGGUCAAUCUCCAUUUGGUAUUCUCUCCCUUUUUUUUCUCUUUAAUGUUUCUAUUCAAGUGAUGCGAUAAAAUUAGCGAACGAGUCCAAGUGUUGAUUCUUUGAUCCAAUAUUGUCAAUCUGUCCGGUUCAAGGCAGCAUAAUUGAAUGUAACACGAAAUCAUUUUAACUCAGAAUUGUUAUAUAUCAAAGGGGGAGAUUAUAAGUUAAUAUAUAGUCAAUACUCCUCCCAGAAUAAUUUUACAGUAUUUCCAUUAUUUUCAAAUAUAUUUUUGCUUAUAUUUAUUAUAAAUUAAAUAAACCAUAUGAAUAGAAAUUAAAAUAAAAAAUUUAAGAAUUAAAAAUAAGAAAUAUAAGUUUCAGUUUGAAUAAAAAAUAAAUAGUAAGAUAAUUUUUCUUAUACUUUUUUUUUAUUUUUUAAAUAAUUUUCUUAAUACACACACACUCAAGAUAAAUUACCAAACAAAUGACCGAUUUUCCUUUAAAUUUUUGGUGCCAUGAGAGGUUUUGGAUUUUAUGAAAACAACAUGCGAUAAAUGAUAUAUAUUGAUUUCAGUAGAGCUCAGAAGACCAACAAUCUUCCCAUAUCAAACCUAUUUGUAGUUUUUUUUUUCUUAUAUUUAUAUUCAUGUUUUACUCUUCUUUUAUUAACAAAUCUGUGUUAAGAGAAGGAAAUUUUUUUUAUUUUUCACUUACAAGCAUACCCUAAGACGCUUGGUGCUUACAAAUUUAGUUAGCUGUUAAUGAUUUACUGUUAAUUCUUUUUUUAUUUUUUAAAUUCACUAAGUUUUUCAGUGGCAAGAACAAGGAAAAGUUGUCGGUUAGAAUUGUGUUGUAUUGUCAAACAUUAUGAAUAUUCUUCUUUUGACUGGAAAGCGAUUUCAUCUAUAGUAGUUGAGGUAGGUUCCUCUUCCUCUACUAUUUCAUUAGAUUGAAAUGUAUGAAAUCAUUUAGUCUCCUUUAAAUUAUUAGAAAUUUGUAGUGUUUGAAGUUAUAUAUUAUUAUUAGGCAUUGUCCUAACUUCAUAUUGAGUCUUAGGUAUUAUCCCAUAAUUAUACUUAAACUUGAUGUAAUAUUGUGUGACGUUGUGUUUUAUCCAUUAUUGCUUUUCUAAUGAAAUGCAUACUAACUAUUAAUUUAUAAUCAACUGACGCCAAGGAUAGUCAAAAGGAAAUCUCGAGUUUGACGUAGAGAUGGCAAAAUCCUGGGCCGGGUCCGGGUAUUGCCAUGACCGGACCCUGCCCGGAUGCAAUCGGUCCGGGUCCGGGUUCGGGCCGGGUUUUGAUUCGGGUACCCGGAUUUUAUAUUUUUUAAUAUUUAUGUGUAUAUAUUUUUUAUUUUUUUAGUAAUUUUAUAAGUUUUAAAUUUAUUUCAAUAAAAUUUGACAUGAAAAUAUAAAUUUUAAGUGUUUAAAACUUUAUAUAUGUAUAAUAAAUAAGUCAAAUAAAUAUAAAAUAUUUAAAAUAAUAUAUAUUUUAUAAUUGUUUUUAAUAAAAUCCGGGUUCCGGGUUUAUCAAGUGAUGCCCAAGACCGACCCGGCUUCAUACCCGGGCGGGAUAUUACCCGGCCCGCAAUGCCCGGGUACGGUCCGGGUCCGGGCCGGGCGGGUAUUUUUACCACCUCUAGUUUGACGCACUCGAAAAUUUGCCAGCUAGACUCAGUAAUAAUAAACAUGUGGAAAUUCUUCCAUUUCACAUUUUUUAUUAUGUACCACAAAUAUAACUAUAUGGAACUAAUGUAACUAUGUGACAGAUAUAAUAAUAAAUGCGAACCAUACUAUACAUAUAAGCUUUCCUUGACAUUAUCCCUAGGGGCUUGACCGAAAACAAAGGCAUACAAAAAUUGGCAGGCCAUAAUUCAUCAGACAUCAAUUCUCAGAAGCAAUUCACAAAGAGAUUGUAACACACGUCUUGUUAUAAUAUCUCUGGUCUCACCAGAUGUAAAUCGUUCAUCAAUUAUAAGACGUAAGUUGAUGCUUAGUGCGAUCAUAAUUAAAUAUCACUAUGCAAUUUGACCAUGGACUGACGUAGAAAUGUUUCAUGUUUCCUUUACUUUAUAUUUCUGCUUUUUCACCCACUAGAGGGUUGUUUCACAAUGCACAAACGUUGAAAUCAAAGCCACCUUAAUUAAUCGAACCAUUAUUGAUCAUUAUAUCCAGUAAAGUUGCAGCUUAGCUCGAUUCGUUAUUGAUUCUGCAUGAGUUAAUUCUCAUUAUACAAUUGUACGUACUAAAUAGUAUCAGAUUGGAUUGAGCACUUACAGAGGAAUCUCUUCGUUGCGGGGCUUUGAUUUUGUAAUAUGCAAUGAAAGCAACAAAUCAAAAGUAACUCCACCAAGUUUGAAAAAGACUUACCAAAAGAAAUGAGCAAUAAUUUCUGGUUUGAUGCAAGUGUUCUUAAUUAUUCAGUAAAUAAUGGAGGAACUUUUGUCGUCUCUCACAAAUUUAUGUUCUAUUGAACAAGUUUCUGCAAGUUAAAAGGAAUUCUAAUUGUUAUUGUCGUUUUUUGGGUUACGUAUUAUUCCCCCCAUUUUGAAGGACCAUUAGAACGAAAAUAAUGUUAAAAGCAAAAAGAGAAUUGAAGAAUAAGAGCAUCUUUUUAUACGAGGCCCGAGCUUGAGGAACUGUUUGAAUUCUUUCAAUGCGGGGCAGGUUUUGCUUAAUUUGUAUACCCAAUUUCUAAAACGGAUCAGCUUUAAAUAAUAUUAAAAAGAAAAAUUUAUCAUUUAUCUUAUCAUCUUUGUAUUUGAUUGUGAGUUUGUAACAAAAACUAAGCUACGAGUAUGCGUAAGGGCUAAGGGCCACCUUUUUAUCCUAUCAAUGUGACCGCAAGAAUUUCUCGGAACCCUUAAAUCAAUGUGGAGAUAUGUGAGAUAUCAAGGAAUUAAGCAUCUUUAAAAGAAAAAAAAAAUAUGGGAAAAUAUCCACCGUCCACCCAUUUUUUAUACCUUUUUCAAAAAUACACAAUUCUUUCAUUUUUUGGCUGGAAUCCACCUAAAGUUACAUUUUUUUCACUUUUCCACUUCCGUUUGGAAUCCGUUAAGAAAACUAACGGAAACUUAAAAAAAUGACCAUUUUACUCCCAAAACGAAAAUUACAAUUUCACCUUAAAAAUUAAAAAAAAUAAUUAGAUUAAAUCUAAUUAUUUUCCCCAUCGGUCAAUAAAUAAAUUAAUUCCACAACCAUCAAAUGCAUGUUUUUUUUUAAAUAUGUCUGUAAUUAGAAUGCUAAAUUAUAACAGUAGUAUUAAAAAUAGCCCAAUCUCACAAAUCAUCAAUUGAAUUUAAGAUAAGUAGAGUUUUAUUAUUAAUUGAGUUAUAAUCUCUAGUAGUUAAGAUUUUUUUGUACUUCAUUAAAGUACCAAUAAUGAUAUUCAUCAUUAAAUCUUAUUAUUUUUGGUAUUUUUUAAGGUGAAAUUGUAAUUUUCGUUUUGGGGGUAAAAUGGUCAUUUUUUUAAGUUUCCGUUAGUUUUCUUAACGGAUUCCAAACGGAAGUGGAAAAGUGAAAAAAAAUGUAACUUUAGGUGGAUUCCAACCAAAAAAUGAAGGAAUUGUGUAUUUUUGAAAAAUGUGUAAAAAACAGGUGGACGGUGGAUAUUUUCCCAAAAAAUAUUUAAGGUAUUAAUUCUUUUGGAUUUUCAGCCACUUGCAAUCUUGCAUUGCCCAAAUCAUUAUCUCAAUUCAAUUUGCCCCUUCGUUAACAGUAAGGUUUCGCACACGAUCCAUGCUCUUGAUGAUUGACCAGCAUACAUAUCUGAUUUCAUGAAAACUUUUUCUGAAUGAUGGAUUCCAUCCUAGGACGCAUCGCUACAUUACCCUUCCCAAUACGUUACACGGUUUUAUCAUUUAAUGAUCACAUUUUAAUCUGUAAUUUCUUCCAAGACAUUUCUUUGCGACUGAUACUACACAAUCCCUAAUUGUAUUCCCAUCAUACAAGGGUCGUCCAUCCUUUAAAGAAGAAGGGGGGAGAAAAUUAUGAAACUUAUUAAGUAAUUAAUUAGUAGAAAAUCUUGGGGAAAAUACUUCAAAAAACAUAAAUUGUGUAUGACAAGAAACAACCAUGCAUGUUUAAUCUUUCGCAAGCAGAGCUCAUGUAUCAACUUUAAACAUAAGGAAAACAAUUUCCUUGCAAAAAUAUGAAUGAAUCUACAAACACCUGAAAAAGUUCCACCAAUCAAUGCAGUUUACAGAUGUUAUGAGACACAUUCAAUCAAUUUCCCUGACUUCCAAACUUCAAUUUAAUGCAAUCACAGUCAUCACCCUCCUAUCCUUACAAUAGGAUAUGAAUUUCCAUUUAUUGUAUAUUUAACUGCAGUGCUAGACUCUAUUGUUUUGGAGAUUGUCUGCAAAAGUAAGACAGAUCAUUCUUGUUAAUUUCCCUGGAUGAUCAGCUUCUUUGGUAAAAUAACUCUCGGGCUCUAGCACUUAUAGCCGCUGAGACUUCAUAUAAGAGAAAACACAUAAUGGUGAAGGUAGACCAAGGAAAAAAAUGCUAAUGGAAUUGAGCAAUAUCAUGAGAACCACAUUGCUUUCCAUAAUAAUGACUAGGGGCAUCAGGCAUGAUCAAAAUAACAGCAUGGCAAAAUCUCACCGCCAUUUAUAAGUCAUCAAUCAGUGUGAAAAUAAGAGACAGGAAGGAAGCAUGCACCUUUAAGAUAAACAAAAAAAAAAAUACAUACAUACAUAUAUAGAUAUAUGCAUAUAUACAUAUAUACAUACAUACUAAGAUAUAUAUACACACUCACUCACGCACAAAAUAGCUCAUUCUCAUCAAAGUUUCAGGAACUAGCAUUAUCAAGAUUAUGCUCUCAAUCUCUAUGCUUAGUCGUAGAUAUAGAACCAUGUAAAAAGCUAGCCCUUCCAAACUAAGUCCAAACAGAUGACAAAAAGUGAACAUCGCACUGCCAACUGGCAAGAAACUUGGUCUUCCCUCUUAUCUUAAAAAAUACAAUGUUGCCACGUAACCCAAAAAAGAGCUAGAACACUGCAGUGCCAGAGAACUUUAGCUUUCUAUCCUUGCCCAAAAGCAAAAACAUUUUCCAUUAGCAAAGAGCUACAAGAACUCGGAGCAUCCCAAAAUCAAUAACAUGAUUGAGAAUCAAUGCAUGUAUCCACAAACAUUUAUUUAGUAGACAACUGAUUCCCAAACCAAUUUUAAAUUUCUGACAGACUUAAUUCGUUGCCCAAAUUCUACCAAGCUUUUCAGUUAAUCUGCUCAAAAUACAAUCCACGGGUGCAUUUAAAUAAAUUGGGUUAUUUAAUACCUAUAAUCUUUAAAACCUCAUCAAAUUGCUAUCAAAAGUAAUCUAUACCAAACAAUCAACACAUGAGAUACAGGGCCUUUAGACAGAGAAAACACUGCUGAAGAAAAAAAUAAAAACCCAUAGAAGCACUAAAUACUUCUCCUAAUGUUAAUAAUGGAACAAAACAAUAUCAUAGAACACUCAAAUAUACUAUUAGAGGAAUAAAUCCAUACCAAUGAUAAGCUAAAUAUGAAAUUUUUCUAGAAUUAAUAAUUCUUCAAACAAAAAAGCACAGUAAUUAUCUGCAUUUUAAAUAAUCCAAAAAAAAGGGCAAUGACUUAUUUAUUUCAUAAAAUAAAAAAAAAGCUACAAACACUUGUUUUUUAAUCUAUUUUAUUUCCAGGCAAGAACGACAUUCUUCUAUUCUUUCUUCAACAAGAAAACAGGUUAUGUUACAGUCACUAGGCAGUAGGCAAAACACUCGAUAACCAAAUACAUAAAAGGAAAUAAAAAAGAGUUACAAAAUCACAAAAGUUAAAAUUGAAAAUACAAAAAGAUUAAAAAAGAAACUGCUUUUGAAAAAUGAAAAUAUCAAACCCCUUCUUCAGAACAAUUCAAACAGGGGGCUGCGGGUUCUUAAUCUAACAGUAAUUAAAAUUCCACUGAAACCCCAACCCUCUAUUUGAUUUUCCAUUUUUUUCCCCCACAAGAAUUAUUUUCAACAUAGAACUUGAGCUUUGGAAGUGACAAAAAGAAAAGACAUAGAUGAGUGACUGAGUCUGACUGAGAUAGAGUCGUCAAUAUACCACACUGGUCAGCUCUCAGUUGAAUUUGUGAGUUUGGGUUGGAGUCCCAGUCCCACAGCCCACAGGUAGUGAAAGUAGGUAAUUAUCCUAACCAGCUAAUGUAUCAAAACCUGUUUGUAUAAGCCUGCACAUUACAAGUUACUCAUAAGCAAAGGAGGGGGCUGCAACGAGAAACAGCACAUCAUGUCCUAAUUAUAAAACAUGUAAAAAUUAACAUAUUUUACCAGUCACAAAACCCUUUUUCUUUAGAGAUAAACUCCCCAUAGCAACUAUAAAUAUGGGAAAAAAAAAAUGACCACAAGGUAGAACAGUCCCUUCUUUUUCUCCAAACAAAUACAACCAUUUCAGUUCACACCUAAGCUGAGAACCAUUCUAGUUCCAAUUUUCAACCAAUGAAACAACCGUAGUAUUCUCAUAAAAAUAAAAGAAUGAAAUAACCAUAGAAUAAAAUAAUUAUACUCUAAUUCAAAUAUUGCUUCAGAAUUUAUGAUUUAUGAUAGACCCAACUGGUCAAACCUACAGAAUUGGAUUAGGCAUUUAUUUGACCCAAAAGGUGAAUAUCAAGCUUAUGGUUCUUACAACACUGAAAUGAUCAAAUUUCAUUCAUUCUGAACAUGAGAUGCAAAGAAUUAUUUCAAGUUAUUCGAAGAGUAAGCAUUAAAAGAAAUUUGUUCAUCCUACGUGGUAUAAGUAGUAUACUUAAGCUAGUAUUAGUGUAUUAUGCAUCAUCGGUUAAAUCAUUUGGAUUAUUAACAUUGAUUUAUAUUUUUUUUAUUAGCUGAAUUGAUAACUGUCGCAUCCCUAACUUAGAUGCACGUGUGAUAAGAAAAUUUUAUCUACAUCAGAUGCAAGUACAAGCUUUUAACAAUUAAGCCGUGACUGUUGGCUUACAAGAACGAACAUAUACUAAUAGAAUGAAUAAGACCCAGCACUUACAGAAAAAUUUGACAUUAUCUGCCCUAAAAUGUAAGAAUCCCAAAUUUAACACAAUCCUAAACUUGCUGCAAGUUACAGCAGCAGCAAGGAAACAAUUAAGAAAACUAGGUGGAAAAAAAAAUUAAUAAAAGUAAGAAGAUUCCAAAAUUGAACCACUCAUGCACAGAAACUUACCCAAACCAAUUCUAAAGAGUAAGAGUUAUGAGAAAAUCCAGCGAAAUCCACGUUGAUUUCCCAUAAAUUUCAUACUUGCUGUUGUUCUCAGCUCCCUUAAGUGCACAAUUAUUCUCUGUAAAAAUCAAUUGCUUUCUUUCCCUCCAUUUCUUUUUCUUCCUCUUCUCUCUUCUUUUGUUUUUUUCCUCGUUCUGUCUCUGUUGUAUUUUUUACCGCUUAUUAUUAUUAUUAUUAUCGUCAUCACCCGAACGUUGGUUUUGUUUGUUAUAGAACUUCACAAAAGAAUAGAGAGACCUUAUAAGUUGGUUGUGGGCUGGGCUUAGCUACAGAUUUUCUUCUCAAAAACACACACACGCGCGCGAGAGGAAGGUGGUGUUUAUUUUUUUAUCUGAAAUCUGAAUAGAUCUGAAUUAGUCUGAAUUCUGAAUAAAUUAUCUGAAUCUGAAUAAUAUAUUUAUUUUUUCGUCUGAAUCUCAAAAAAUAAGUAUUAAGUUGUUUGUUUUUUUCAACUUAAAAAGCUAAAAAUAUAUACUUUUACAUUUGUAUCCUUAUUAAAUUUGAAUGUCAAAUAAAUAAUAUAUUAAAUACCACAAUAUUUUAACAUUUAUAAGUAAAACUAUAUUCAAGUGAAUAAAUAAUUAUUUUAGAAUUUUAAUAUAUAAAAUACCAUAAAAUUUAAAUUUUAUUGUAUAUAAUAUAAGAAAGAAAAAUAUGGAUAUUUUUAUGUGGGAUAAAUGUCUAUGGGUGAGUUUGGGAUAGACAUGAAAAAUAAAUUAUAAAGUAAGGAUAUUUUUGACAUUAGCAAGUAAUUGACUUAAUUCAGAUUUCUCCAUUAAGUAAAAAGCCAAAAAAAUUGGCUUAUUUUAUUAAGUCAAAAUUAUCUAAAAAGUCUCAUUAAGUUAUAAAAACAAACACCUCUAAUUAACUUAAUUAAUUAAGUUAAGUCACUUUAAAUCAUUAAAUUAAAAAAUAAACGUCACCGAAGUGAACUUAGAAUUACUUCCACUUCUUCAAAUUCUUAGUUAUAAAUAAGGCAUGAGUGAGUUUUGAUAUAUUUAAUGAGAUGUAUAUUUCUAGAUAGUUGCGGUUCAUCAACGACCGCAUUCACAAACUGCAGCAGCAAUACGUGAUCAAAAUUCCAAAUAUAAAGCCCUCCUAAAGAAUUCACCACCUAUUUGGCUAGAAAUUCUCCAUUACUCAUUGUCACAGUCUCUAUUUUCACCCCUUUCAUCAAAACACAAGCGUUAUUUACCCAUGUUUAGAAAAAAUAAAUAAAUAAAUAAAUAAAAAUUAACUGACUUCAGCAUAUAAAUUACAGCAAGCGGUCAAUUCACAAAAACAAGGAAAAUUAACUCAAUCAAAGUGAAGUAGGUCACAAAAUGACCUCAAUGAAAUAUCAGAGACCUCUAAAAUGGAAUCCAAUUCAGUUAAACAAAUAAUCACUCAUCAAUGAUGAGCAGAAGGAAAAAAGAAAAAAAAAUUCUUAUAAAAAUUCAACAAAAAAAAAGGCUAAUCUUCCUUUUUGGUUAAGUGAUUUCGUCAGCAAACAUGGCAAAAAUAGAAAUUCCAAAAUAUACCUAGGGUUUCUAGCUUUGGAAAUUUACCUUACAAGUGGGCUUGCUUUUAUUUCAUAAAAGAGUGAGACUAUUGUCACCUCUCUACAAUCCUUAUAAAACCCCUUUCCUAUUACAACGAAAUUAAAGGAUCUCUAAUUAAUCCCCGACAUUUUCCCUCUUUACAAGUUUCUCUCUGAACUCUUUACACCACACAACCACCUAUUAUUUUCUUUUUCCUCAUAAGCAAUUUACACCAUAAUCAAUGUGAUUCCACUAACAAAAUCUCAUUCUUAUCAAUUUCCGUUUAUAAGCUUAAUCAAUAAACCUUUUUUUUUCUAUUUAUUUCCUAGCAUAUCAACCUUUUUUAUGUGAAAAAAAUUAAAGCUUUUUCAUUGGGGUCCACUUUUAACCUCUAAUUGAUUUGAUUCAAAUAUGUACAAGAUUUUUUAUUUUCUAUAUGUAUGUAUGUAUGUAUAUGUGUGUGUGUGUGUGUGUGUGUGUAUUUACCUCACAAGAAACGGGGCUGUCUGUUUCUAGCUUUGUAAAGUUACUAUUAUGGACGAGCCACUCCGAUAAGCUGAGAUGAUCAGAUUUCGCACCAGCAACAAUGAAAUUGUUUGGGUUUGGGUUUGACGAUAGACGGGGGAAUGUUUAGGGUUUUGGGUGAUUUUUUGGAAUUUUUUAUUGAAGUGAAAAUAUCAAAAUAACCUUUACACAUUAAAUAUUCAGGGUACUUAAACAGUUAAAUUUUUCUUUAGAAUAAAAACAGAAUAUAAAUUGAGACUCAGAAUUUUAUUUUAUUUUAUUUUAUUUUUUGAGAGAAAGUAAUACUUUUGAUUCAAUGGACUUUUGAUCCAAUAGAAGAAGCUUUGCACUUAUAAUAUUAAGUGUAAGAGUUCGAACCUCCAUAAGAGCAUUAUGAAUGUUAGUUUCAGUUCUUCCUUAAUUAUUAACUAAUUGAGUGGAAACAGUCUCUCUCUUAUAAAAUAUGAGUGGAAUAGGCACUUCUCGAAUAUUAGAGAGGAACAAUUUGUGUAUAUUAUAAUUCAAAAAAUUUCAUGAGUAGAAUAGACACCCCUCGAAUAUUAGAGAGAAACAAUCUCUAUAGUAUACAUGUAAUGCAUGAUGUCCAUCAUGUAAUUUUUUAUAAUUAUUAUGUUUAAAUCAUGUGUUGUAAUAUCUUAAUUAGUGUAAAAAUAAUGACAAUAUAAAACUUUUUUAAUUAAUGCUGAUACUCAAAUUUUAUUAUCGUGUAAUUUUUUAUAAUUAUUUUGUUUAAACUAUUUGUGGAAUGGUUGUGUAUGUAUUAGUUAAACAAUUACUUUUUAUUCAUAAAUAUGACUUAAAUAUUUAAUAAAAACUAUUUUUGAAAAUGAUAUUACCGAACACAUAUUCACUGUUUUUAUCCUCUCAAAUGUGUCUACCAAACGCAUAUUACUGUUUUCAGUUUUAAAAUACAAGAUACAGAAAAUGAUACCAGAUGCAUAUUUAAAUUUGAAAUACAGCAAUUGCAAAACACUAUUUUCAUUCUCAUUUUUAUUUUCAGAAAAUACAAAUUCAAAAACAAUACCAAACGGACCCUUAAAGGAUCUCUAAUUAAUCCCCGACAUUUUCCCUCUUUACAAGUUUCUCUUUGAACUCUUUACACCACACAACCACCUAUUAUUUUCUUUUUCCUCAUAAGCAAUUUACACCAUAAUCAAUGUGAUUCCACUAACAAAAUCUCAUUCUUAUCAAUUUCCGUUUAUAAGCUUAAUCAAUAAACCUUUUUUUUUCUAUUUAUUUCCUAGCAUAUCAACCUUUUUUAUGUGAAAAAAAUUAAAGCUUUUUCAUUGGGGUCCACUUUUAACCUCUAAUUGAUUUAAUUCAAAUAUGUACAAGAUUUUUUAUUUUCUAUAUGUAUGUAUGUAUGUAUAUGUGUGUGUGUGUGUGUGUGUAUCUGUAUAUGUGUGUGUAUUUACUUACAAGAAACCGGGCUCUCUGUUUCUAGCUUUGUAACGUUACUAUUAUGGACGAGCCACUCCGAUAAGCUGAGAUUAUCAGAUUUCGCAGCGGCAACAAUGAAAUUGUUUGGGUUUGGGUUUGAUGAUAGACGGAGGAAUGUUUAGGGUUUUGGGUGAUUUUUUGGAAUUUUUUAUUGAAGUGAAAAUAUCAAAAUAACCUUUACACAUUUAAUAUUCAGAGUACUUAAACAGUUAAAUUUUUCUUUAGAAUUAAAACAGAAUAUAAAUUGAGACUCAGAAUUUUAUUAAUAUACCGCUGUUCGUUUGGACCAUAAUACAAAAACCAAAAUAAAUAAGAAUAUAGAGGGUGUGUGCUACCGCUGAAAAUGCUUUUCAAACAAAAGCGGAAAACAGCAACUAAGCUUUCACAGACUAUAUAUGUAUAGAUCAUUGUAAUAACUAACUAGAAAAUGGAAAGUUAGCAUAUAUUCAUAAAACACUCGUAGUUCUACCCUAUGUUAUUUUAUUAGGCACUAGGACCCUACAGUGGCACCAGCAAAAUCAUACACGCAUAUAUAUAUUCUCAUCAUCAUCAUCAUCACUAGAACUUGGCUGCAGGGUUUGGAUGUGGAUCCCUUCUACUUCAAUAAUGUUCUCUUCAUCAACUUGUUCUGGAAUUUCUUGAUCCCCGUUCACGCGGUAGAUCAUGAUCAAGAUUGUGCGAGUAAUGGAUGUUAUUACAGUGAGAUUUCGAAGCCAGUUGAAGCAGCGCUUAAACAGAGAAGCUAGCGUUGCAUAACAGAGUGAUAAGAUUAUGAGGCACAAAUAGGCUACCAAGAACAGAGACGGAGCCAAAAUGACAGAGGCCACUACUGAGACAGCCAACAGAACUGAGAGUUCUCCACAACUCACGGAAAUGGGGCGGCUCACACUGAGAGGAAUUCUGAUGGGUGUGAGGAGGAAGAUCAGUAAUGGGAUGACGACGGCAGGGAUCAGGAACCAGAACUGGAGCUUUAAAAUUGGAUACAAAAGUAUCUUACUUGUACCAUCUUGGAUGUCCCAAGAGUUCCCAUCUUGAGACCUGAGGAACAUAAAGAAGAUUAUAAAAUUUAGCAAUGGUAGAAAUAAAAACCUCAAAUCAAUUGAAAAAUUCAUGCUUGUGAGUAUAAGAUUUGGCAGGUAUGACUGGGUUUAAUUAGUACGAAUAAGAUUUGGCAAUGGCAGAGUUGAAAAAAAUGAAAGAAAGAGAAAGAAGAAGAGGGACUAGGGAGAAUCUAAGAAUUAGAUUGAUUUUUUAAAAUGCGGCGAGUCUGAGGCUUUUAUAAAGGUUGAGGAAGAAAAGUUUCUGAGUCUGUACGCACCACCAAUAAUAUCGUUGCAUGAUUUUGUAUCGCCAUUUUUUGCAAAAUGGUUCGAUACUUGUUUUUCUUUUAUUCCGUACAUUUUUAGCUCUUUAAAAGGUAUUUUCAAAAAGUGUGCACAAAAUAUGUCUGAGUGAAUGAUACAUGUUCCACUAAAUAGAUGCAUGUAACAAAUUAGAGCCAUUCAUGACAUACAAACAAAACUAGUGUCGGAAAGAAAUAUACCAAGGCCAAACUACAAUUACGUGUAAUUAAGCUACCUUUUUUUUUUCAUGUUAGUGUGACCAAAAUGAGAUUUUGUACAACAAAUAUAACUAUAUGGAACUAAAUAAUGUAAUUAUAAAUGCCAGCCAUAUUAUAUGUAUAAGCUUUCCGUGCCAAUAUCACUAGUGGCAUGACCAAAAACACCUACAUACACAAUAAUCUCUCAGAGGAGAGAUUGUCAAUUUUCCUCACUCUAAACCCAGAUUAAAGUAAAUUACAGAUUUUGUAGCUUAAUAAGACCCGGUUAAUACACACACAUAAAUAUUUUAUGCUUACAGCACAAUCAAUUUUUGGGCUUUCUCUUACACAAAAAUUAAAUACUAUCCAACCCAAGUGACUUAACAACAAAGUCAUACACAAAAUAGAAUCCUGAUUCAGAAUUUAUAGUUUUUGACGAGUCACAAUUUGUCUUGACUUUGUGAGCCGGGAUUACCUCUGAUGUAAUAUUAUUGAAUAUAAAUAUAAAAGAUGCUUUCAAUUUUCUAGUGGCUAGGCCACGAUAUUCUGGAGUUUGUGCAUGAAGGUUGAGGUCACCUCUUAGCUUUUAUGUUAGUGUGUUACGUGCAUUUUGUGAUCGAAUUCGUCUUGACUUUGUGGUCCAACUCACACACUUGGGCAUUUUGUGUCGGCCAUUUCUGGAUGAUGGAUUUGAAUUUGAACCUACAAGGCAUCAGCACUUGUCCCUAAAGCCAAAGGGUGGAAAAGGAAAAAUAUUCAGAAAGUAUGUAUGAGUGAAUGAAGAGCUUUUGAUUUAAAGUGCGCACAUCUCGUAUUUUAAGUCCUUUUUGUCAAGUUAACUUUGGUUUCUUAAGAGAUUUAAUUUGGCUAUUGACUAGACAUUACUUUCCAAUUUCUUCUUAAAAAACGUUGGUCUCUUAAGAGAUUAAAAAAUGAAAAUUAAAUUAUGGACGGAUAAUAUAGGAGGCUUCUUGGCUCGUUCCCAAAAAUAAAGGGAAUGUUGUGCUUGGUUCGAGAAACACGCUUCUAUCUGAAAUAAGAGAUACAAAAGAGUAGUCUAAACUCUAAAGCAUCCAAUCAUGCACCACUUAUUCUAACACUGAACAGUAAAAUGAUUUGACGUGGAGUCUUCGAAGGCAACAGUUUUUUCAAUUUUAUAAUUAGGCAAAUACUAUGUUACAAUUAAUGUAACAUACACAUUCAACAACAACCACACAAAUUAUAUGGGUCUAUUAUUUAUAUGGUUGUUGUUAAGUGUGUAUGUUAUAUUAAUUGUAAUAUAGGGACUCCCAAAAAAUAAUUUUGAUACAAAAGCAGGCUGCUUUUAUUCCAAUUACGUGAAUGGAUUUUGUCCUUCAAGAAAGUUAAUCAAGAAAAAAUAAUAUUCUAGUUGCAACAGUGGGGCCACCUUCAGACGUUACCAUUUCACACAAACUUGUGCAAGUCAGUGCUUUCACUUUUGAAGACACUAACUGGUACUGCCGGUUCAACAUUGGCUACACGUACAUAAGCAAGUGAGUCCAAAAGUUCUUACCCAUCAGUCAUUGCAAAUGCAAGAUGAUCAAUAGCAAAAAUGUGCGAGUUUUACACACUUUAGUAAACCAAAAGAAGAGGAAAUUUGGAUAAUGAGGAGCACUCGUAGGUAGACAAGAAAGAUAGCUUAUGAAGCACCAGUUCUUCAGAUAAGCUUCAGAAUGUCUCAACUCAGGGUAUGAACUGAAAUUGUUUACCUACAGUUGUUUAAAAAGACGGACACUGAUAUAUCAUCAAGAGAAAUAUAUCAACUAUACAUAUAUAAUUGCAAUACAGGCGCAUCCGAUUAUCAACAAAAUCACAUUGUUUGCUGAGUACACAUGUAAUAUACUCACUCAAAACACCCAGUACACACUGCACUCAACUAAUGCCCCUUUUAAGAGUAAUGAAGGGGGUUGAACUUAGAUGCGGAGGAGUCGAAGUGAAUAGCUUGUUUUCAAUUGGAUUCAAUGGCAUUGGGCUGGCAAAGACAGUAGGUUCCUGCAUAAAAGAACAAUGCAAGUUAGUGAAAAAAAUCAGUUUAAAAAUUUGAAUUUACCAAGUAAAAGCAGCAUACACUUCAACCUGCACGUCAGUGCUUUUACUAGAAGGGUUGUAAUUCUCCUUUGAAGCCAAUGCCAUUACAGGUUCCACCAUGGGGACACUGCUAUACAUCAACUCUUCAGCAUCACUACACCACGAUUUGUCGCCUAAUGCAUUGUAAUUAUGAGUUUAGUUUGUUACAUUUCAACUGAAACACUAUUCCAAAUUAUCCUUUCAUGCGCGUUUAUAUUUGUUCAGUGAUCANNNNNNNNNNNNNNNNNNNNNNNNNNNNNNNNNNNNNNNNNNNNNNNNNNNNNNNNNNNNNNNNNNNNNNNNNNNNNNNNNNNNNNNNNNNNNNNNNNNNCCAUUACAGGUCCCACCAUGGGGACACUGCUAACAGUCUUCAAUUGACAGCAAGAGGAUCAAAGUUUUCAGCAAUCCUUUUUGCUGGUACUGGUGUUCUCAUGUGCUGAGAAAGCUCCCUGUUGUUUCCACAAAGAGUAAAUAUGUUCUGAAUUCUUAACCUUCUGGAGGACUCUGUGUCUUCAGGUUUCUGAGGGGAAGAUGCCAAUAAGCCUGUAGUAAGAUUGAGACUGGGAAUAUUUCCAUCAGCUACACUUGAACAGACCCUUUUCUCCUCUAUUAUAACCUUCUCUACUUCAUCUUCAGCACUUUCUUUAUGAUCGUCCUCCUCGUCUUCUAUCUCUUCUUCCUCAAAUACAGUGCUCAAACAUACUUUGUCACCAUAUUUUGAUGCAAACACUUCGUGUUCAUCAAUUUCGUUAGAAGUUUUUUGAAGCCAGCCCUGAAUUUCAUUAUUGUCUGGUUGAUGAACAGGCCUAUCUACAUGCUUUACAUCACGAACAAAUGGCUCUACGUCACCCAUGUCUAGAUCCAUUGACUUUACCAUCCCUGGGUCCUCAUCAGCAUAUAUGCCCAUCAGCCUUCUGGCAAAGCUGCUUCCAUCCAUGUCCUUUGAACUGCGAACAUCUCUAUCUCUUGAAUGGCAAAGUUCGAACUCAAUUUCCUCUAACCUCCUUCUCAGCAUUUCGACUUCCUGCUGCUGUUGCAGUAUCCUUUCUUCCAUUCUCCUCCUCUCUAUCUCAACAAACUCCUCGGCCAUUCUCUGACACUCCUCCAAUUUCUUCUCCAAUUGAUGUUUCAGAAUCUGAGUUCGCUCAGUCACCUUCAUGUUAAUUUCUUGCUCACUUGCUCCAGAUCCCUUUUCCUCUACAAGCUGGAGUUUUGCUCUCAAUUGAGAAACUUCCUCUUCUUUCUUUAAAAGCUUGUCAUGCGCUUCAUUACGCUCUUUCUCUCUGAGCUUGUUCUCCAUUUGCAGCUUGUAAAUGAACUGGUCCAUCGCACUAAUCUUUGAUCCUAAAAUGACAGCAGAUGAUGAAUCUUCAGCUCCAAUUUUGUCUGGUGUAUGAGGACCCCGAAUGAUACAUUUUGCUUUUGCUCCAUACUCAAGGGUGCAAAUCGUCUUGUGUAUCUCUUUGGGAUCUGGACUUGCACAAAGUACCAUCAAAAUUUUUGACUUAUCAUCCUCAAAAGAAUCCUGGAACAGAAUAUGCAAAGACUCGUUAAACCAUGAUAGCAGAAAAACCUUUUGAAAGUUAACAACUGUUUUGUGUACCUGGAGAAGCAUAGUCAAUUUGCUGUCUCGAAAAGGCACAUGAGAAUCACCAUUGGCAAUGGAUUCAACCACUCUCUUUAAUGCUAUAUUACCUUGGUUAAUCUUUGCUGUCUACAAUUUCAAGAGAAACACAAAUUACUGUUAUCUUGUAACUGCUAGGAAAAGAUCUUGAGCGAUCUUGAGCAAUCCAGAGCAGGGAGUCAAACUAUGAGAUAAACAACUAAUAUGAAGCAAGGUCUGAUUUUUUUUUCCUUUCUUUUUGACAGGGUACCUGCAUUUUUGCCUCAAAUCCUGUUUGACCUGCUUGCUCAAUGUUUUCAGAACCAGCCAUGUCAACAAGCAUCAGCCGUCCUCCCACUGUUGGGACAUCGAGAAUUAUCUGUAAAAAAAGAUAUAUGGCAGGUUAUUCUCAAAUGAGCCAUAAAAAUUCGAAAAAGGAUGAUUGCGUGUAGUGGAAUUAAGGAAUAUUUGUACACAUUUGUAAUUGAAUUUUUGACUAAAUAUAUUCAAAUUUGAGAAGCAUAUACCAUGCAGUGGCUUCGAGAACUUCUUUCAUUGCACUGCGUGCUUUUCACUAUUCUUCGCUUCUCCACUUUCUGGAUUUCUUUUGAAAUCUUGCCAGCCUCUAUUCCAGAUAUAAAAGUGGCAUUCUUUGCUUUUUUUCCCAUUACUUCCAGUCUCACCUGCAAAAUAAAUGUACGGAACAAAAAAUGAUUUAGGAGAACGUGUGCCUACCUAGCUUUAAUAAAAUAUGCUAAGGAUUUGAGAGGCUUCUUAGCAAAAGUCAACAUAAAUAGUUAAAAUCAAGUCUGUCGAUUACCUAAAUAGUAAAAAAAUUGAAUAAGCAAUAAACUUAGUGUCAAACAAAGAGCUGUCUCACGUACAUCAACAACUAAAGUGUUAGCCAAUAUAGUGUCAGAUCAAAUACCAGAAACUGUGAGUAGUCAACAACACAGUCACAGCAUAAGGAGUAAGAAGAGUAAGAUGAAGUGGUUUUAAAGUGAUUGCUUCAUGAGGUAGAACAUAAAUAGACAAGCAUCUUGAUUCUUAAUUAGUGCAUUAAAAUUUAGAAGAGAACAAGGUUGGAGAAACCUAUGAAAUUCUUCUGAAGCAAUUGUGGUUCACCUUCAGGCCACAUGAUGGGACAAUAUAAAUGUCUGAAAAAUCUGUGCUGAACACAAGUUCAAUGGAUACUAACUGCAAUCAAAGACUUAGUUCGAAUAUUAAGAGUCUGCGCACAGGCCAAUUCUAUUAUCUAAACUUUUAACAUAAUUCAACUUCAUCUAUUCAACAUGUGAUAUCCUAAUCUUACAAGUUACAAGCUCAUAUAACUUAACAACCAAACUUAUAUUUCACAAUAACAACAGUCCGUGGCCAUCUUUUUUAUAUAAUCAUACAAAUUCUUUUUAUAAAACAUUAAAAGCAAUCCAUGCCAUCAUUUCUAUGAAGCAAUGCAUACAGUGCUACAACACAAAUACGAAGAGAAAAAAUAUGUACUAUCCAACAUAGCGACACACAAAUGCAGAGUUAGAAAAUCAGUAUAACACCAAUUACAAAACCAUCAGAAAUAAUAAAAAAGAGUGAUUUUUAAAAUUACCUUAGAUCCACUUCCUUUAGGCCACCCGAUUCCGAACCCACCACCAUUGCUGCUCGACAAAAGAUCAUAAAUCUCCUCAUUAUAUAUCUCCAAAACGGUUACCUGAACAAAAGUACUAAAUCCAAUUUUCUCCCCAUUAUCACUUUCAUCACCCAAAAUAUCCUUCAAAGACUUGUAGACAAUCCCUGGCUGCUUAGCACACCCAAACAUUGUGUGACUCUUGCCAGAACCAGUGGGUCCAUACAUCAUAAUAGUACAUUUUUCCCCCAAUUUCACUCCACUGAUUCUUGACUCCACAAACUUCUUGUAGAAGGAAUCAAGAUCCUCUUCUUCCGACAAUGAAACCCCGUCAAGGCUAAAAUCUCUGUAGCCAAAAUCAGCCCUUACUCUCAGGGUUUGCUUAUCUGGGUUCACUUGUAAAACUGAAAUGGGUUUUUCUUUAGGGUUAGGGUUAGGGAAAUUUCGGAUUCUGCCUACAACUUCUAUUGGAUGGUCUUGUGCAGCGGAUUCUUUGGCUGUAGAGUUAGGGUUUGGUGUUGUGUUUCUUGCAGAGGUGAAGUUAAGUCGAUGUUUGGAUUGAGGAGUUUUGAAAAGAAUUUGAUUUGAUUUGGAAGAUGAAGAUGGUGUUGGAGCCAUUUUCUCUAUGAUACCCAGAAAAGAUUUUGAGCUUUAAAUUUCAAGAUUGUGGGAAUUUUUUGGGUUAAUUUUCCGGGUAUUUUCCAGAAACAAAGAUUAAAGACUCAAGAUUGAAUUCACGUUUUGAUGUUGAGAGAGAAAGAUAGAAAGAAAGAAAGAGGGAGAGAGCUGUGAUUGAGUUCUGAAAAUGGAAAGAAACAAUUGAAAUUAAAAUUAGGGCUUUGAAGUUUUUUAAAAAAAGAGCCGUUACAGUUUCUAACGUCUCUCUUCUUCCGGGACGGAUGUGAUACUUGUCUUUUCUCGUGAAAUGAAAUAAUAUUAAUUUCUUCUAUUGUCCGAGGGUUAAAAUGGUCAAUGCGGGACCUUGCUAGGCUGAAAAAUUAAGCCCAACUCAAACUGGGCCAAUAUUCUCUACUACCCAUCCCAGCCCAUUAUCAAAGUAAGAAUCUUUAGUUAAGCUUUUGACACCCGUUUAAAAUCCUUUUAAAACCCCAUUUUUUGUAAACCCCAGUUACUAUUUGAAAUUACAUAAAAGGACAAAUUGAAUUGAAUUAAAUUAAAAGGCUAAAUUAAAAUAUCUUUACCCCCAAUUAUGAAGCUUAAUAUCUUUAAAUUUUAAUAUAUCAUGUAAUUAAUUUUUUAUAAACUCAAAACCAUUUUGAAACAAUGAGGAAAUAAAUUAUUUAAUGAUUGGUAUUUAUUAUAAAAAAGUAUAUUUUAAAAUUUAAUUAAUUUAUUCUAGUCUUUCUAGAUGAUAUUUGAAUUUUAUUAAACUGUCCUUUCUGCAACUGUGGUCAAGAGAAGCUCUAUAAAUGUAACAAGUGAAGUUUCAUAAGAGUUUUCACAGGGUGUUAAAAGCUGCACUCUAAUUUCUGAGUUACAGGUGAAAUUUGGUUCACUUCAGCUUCAUAAGCAUUGCAAAUGGAAAGUGGCAAAAGAGUAUCUGCGCAUGAAAAAUAUAUAAUUGUGAAAAAUAUAUUUUGUGCCUUUUCACGGGGCUUCUUUUCACCACUUUUGUGUAUACAAUCAUCAGAAAAUAAUGUAGAUACAAGCUGGAAACUGUAAGGAUGUAAGGACCCUAAGUGAUCACGAAAACUCUCAGCUCGGCUCUGUCUCCUCUGGUAAUGCGGGUAUCAUUAUCGAGGUAUGUCACCUCAAAUUCACCACUUCUUGUAUCAGAUGGAGGCCUUAAUGCAUCUGGAAAACGAGGUAACUCAAGGGGUGGAAGCUGUGAUAAGUUCCCUGUUGUCUUUACAGUCGUCUUCUCAAAUAUUAUUUUAAUAUUUGAUGAUCCUGUUCUCAUCAGAAGGGGAAAAAAAAAAAAGGCUUUAUCAGAACAGUUGUCUCUUCUACGGCAAAGAAUAUUAUAGCAUGAGAUGUAUAGAAGUUAGAACACAAGACAUGAGUUCAUAAGAAGCACCAACCUAUGAGUUCAAAUUUAUGAGCUAAUGUGGCAGUCACUUCAACUGGUGGCAGGGGCCAUGGAACACCCAAUUCAAGUUCUGCUAUGUUAUCAAAAUCUUUGCUUAAUAUGUCAAUCCGUUGAAAGACCUGCGCCCACAACAUAUUUUCAUUCGGAUUGUGGAUAAUUCAUAUAUUUAGUAAUCCACAAAGAGUAUAUUUUGUGCCUAUUUCUUGCUUAAAGCAGAUGCUUCUGGAGCAACCAGUUGACCAAUUUGUCAUAACAUUGUGAUUCUUCUAGUUUUCAUUUUAGGUCAUGAGGUAACGUGCCUGAGAACCUAUGCUUUGGCCGAAGGCUCAGGUGAGCCAUUAUGAACCAACAAAUAAACCACACGCAAAAAUAAAUAAUAAAUGACCAUGAACAACAUAAACACUAGAGGUGAAGAGCAAACCUGGCCAAGAGUUAUGGGGAGUAGCCUUCCAGUGGGAGGUCCAGGCCGACUUCCACCUAGAGUGCGAGAUGAGAAUGCACUGCUGUACAGUAGUCUCCAUUUCCCUUGUAGUCUAUCAAGACCAACCGAGAGGUCUACUGGUCCUCCAACAGCCUCAAGCUCUUUUGCAGCAGCGUCUGCCUUCUGCAGAUCAUCCGUGUUUGCAGCAAGACCUCUGUUCAGCCCAGAAACAGCACUCUGUGUUUCACCAACCCAAAUUUGCCAACAUAUUACAGACAAAGAACAUAAUAAAACAUCAACUCCAUAUAGGCACCAUCACGUUUAUCUAUGACUUUGUCUUCAUUUCCAAUUACCACAGAGGAGAUCAACAUCAACUCCACAUAGGCACCAUCAUGUUUAUUUAUGACUUUGUCUUCAUUAACAAUAAUCAUAAGGGAGAUCUGUGUCAAAAAACUUAAGACUAUUUCCCUCUUCCGAAAAUUAUCUCAACAUUUCUGGAGAUGGAGACCAGUGUCAAAAACAAAGAAAGUUGGGAUGCAUUAACAAACUAACUCUACUGCUGAAAUGGAAAAUUUUUAAAGAAUCACCGUGCACAUAAAUAAUUCGCAUUCAUUUGUUGCUCCAUUGAAAAAGUUCUAUUAGCUGAACCUUCUAUAUAGAUGAUAACAAGAAUAACUUAAUAAUAUCUAGACUGUCAAUUUUCAAAUCCAUAUCCCUGAUUGGUACUUUACACUAACAAUUAAGGUCAAAACUAUGUAAUUUGCUCAAAAUGAUGGUUUGGGAAAUGAAAAGUGAUUCAGUAAACUCCAAAGUAAAAUUAGCAAUCACAACGCAGAAGCUAGAUUUGAAAAUCCCACAAAUUUGUUUCAACUAUGAAUCUACUUUCAUCCAGCAACAUUGCCAAUAAAUUUAAAGAAACUCCUCCCAUAUAUAGGGUCAAAUGCCCAAGUCAGUAAAUGAUCAAUCUGAGGGCUCCCAGGCUAAUUGUUGCACUACACAUUCAACAGCCAGUCAUUACAUCAAACUCUUCAGCAUCACUACAACCACGAUUUGUCGCCUAAUGCAUUGUAAAUUAUGAGUUUAGUUUGUUAACAUUUCAAACUGAAACACUAUUCCAAAAUUAUCCUUUCAUGCGCGUUUAUAUUUGUUUCAGUGAUCACAAAUGCUCAUCGAAACUGCAACCAGAAAUCCACUUCUUGUUCCGGUUUUCCUUCCAUCAAAUGAUUCUAGGGGGCCCCCCACCAAAUACAUGAACAACGAUUCAUGUUUCUACUAAAAACCUUGUAAUAAUUUAAUCAAAACUAAAUAAUACAGUUGCUUCAAUCAACUUAGCGUCUAUUACAUGUAAAUUAAAAAAUUCGAAUCAAUCAAUACAUAAAUUGCAUAAGCAGAACAAACAUGAGACAAAAUUCAACCGUAUCCGCAAAAUCGGCGGACCUAAAACUGAGGGGAAAAAAAACAAAAUUGAGAAUAACCCACUUCACUAAAAAAGUAGCAAACGGAGCACAAAACGAAAAAUUUGAUCACCCAGUUCACAAAAUCGAAAAGCUUACGAGCAACUUGAGCUUCAAAGAAGCAAUGAACUCAGUUUUGUCGCUUUCUGAAGAAUCGGGAGGAGGAGGAGGUGGUGGGUCAAGAACGGGAACGUCAUCGACGGCUGACCUCCUCAAAACAAGGCUUCUUCUUCUACUUCGAUACUCUUUACCAUUAACAAGCAAACGACGUCGUGUUGGAGAUUGAAAAGACAGUUUUUUUGUGACUCUUUGUGUGCUAGUGUUGCUGGAAAGGGAUGUUGGUGAAUGAGAAAGAGGGGUUAGAGUCAGAGAAGCCAUGAUGUGGGUGGGGGAGUUUCAAUGUCAGAGUGUGUUUGUGGCCAACAGGGAAUGAAAGAGGAAGUAGUGGCUGGAAACUCAACCAAUGAAAUUAAGACAACAACUAGUUUUGGUUCUGUCAUGCUGAUUCUGUGUCAAUGUGCUGUGCAUGUUUGAUUCUGUUUUUGUUUUGCGUGUACCUUUUGUAGAACCUACUUCUUGGUCCUAAAGAUUUUUGAAACUCGGCUUUGGGGCCCAUUACAAAAUUGCAAUCUCUUCAGAUAUUAUCCUUUCGGAUUAUAUAAUAUAUUAUAUAAUUUCACUUGAAAAUAAAAGAUACUCUGAGCAUAUUCCUGGUUUAUAUACUUGAUUGGGAUGAUGUCUUUUCUUUUUUGGGUGUACCUGCUGAGGCGUUUUAAUGCUCAAAUUAAUGUCACUCAUAAGAAUGUGUAUAAAAGCGGAAUAUAAAGAUACCGCUUGAGUCUCCCUACUUUUAGUCAGUAUUAUUACUAUUUAUAUGCAUUCUUAUGUGACGCGGACAUUUUCAAAUUUAAUCUCAUUCAUUCAUUCAUUCCAAUAAGAUCAGUUUUUUUUUUUUUUUUCAUAUACCAUUUUUUAUAAGCUAGAUGAUUCUAUAGUCAUUCAACGUCCAUUUUGCGUAAUUUUAUUACUAAGAAACUUGACGUUUAUCUUGUUUUAUUUCAAACACUCUUACUCACAAAUUCUUUAAAGUUAAUUAAUCUUUUUUAUUAAGUUUUCGUUUCAACCUAAUGGAAAACCUGACGUAGUAUAAAUCCUCUAAAAAUAUUAAACCUAAGGCUUGUUUGGUUAUUGUAUUAAAGCACCUCAUUGUAUUAAUUUUACACAAGCCCGUGUUUGACAAAUAAAAAACUACAGAACCACCACAUUAAAAGCCCAAACUAAUGCGGCAACUGCUGCUUGUUUUGUUUUUUUUUUUUUUUCUCUCUCUCUCCCUUUUUGCUUUUGCAACUGUCGCUGGAGCCUUGCUUUUUGAGUUUUGCUUAAUAAUAAUAAUAAUUAUUAUUAUUAUUAUUAAAUAUAACUUUUAAUUUAAUAUUAUUUUUAUAUUAUAAUUAUUAAUAUAGAUUAAUAAACAUGUAAUUUAUUAUUCAAUAUUAUUAUAUUAUAUUAUUUUUUACAUUAUAAUUUUUUACAUUUACUAAUAAUAAAUAGUUAAAUAUGAAUAAAUUUGAAUAAUAUUAAUUUAAAAUUAAUAAUAAUAUAAAAUAUUAAUACAAUUUAAGUAUAUUAAUAUAAUAUAAUAUAGUAUAAUAUUUAAUUUAAAUAAAUCAAAAAAAUUAUUACAGUACAAGGUAGUACCAAACAUUGUAUAGUAUUAUUAUAAUACCGUACUAAUGCAAUACAAUAUAAUACAAUAUACCAGCAUUAAAAUAAUGCAAUAUAACAUAAUACAAUACAUGUACCAAACGCACCCCUAGUGUUUUACGAUAGAGAACAAAGUCAACUUACACUUAACAAAUGACAAUAAAUUAUUGAUAAUAUAAGAUACAAACUAUGUAACUGUAGCAUUAUUGGUAGCAUUUACAUUUUGGAUUGGAGUGGAAAUCUUGAGGAGUGAGAAUCCUAGGAUUGGGAAUCUUAAGAUUGGGAGUGUGGAGUGGGAGUGGGAGUAGAUUGUUUACUUACAUUGGAAUGGGAGAAUGGAAUUGAAACAAGAAUUCAAUUUAUGUGUUUACAUUGUCUUGGAUUAGGAGUAAAUAGUUUUAAAUUAUAAUUUUACCCUGAUUUAAAGAAUUAUAAUUUGUAAUUAAAAAAUUAAUAAAAAUAUAUUUAAAAAAUAAAAUCAAUAUUUUAUUAUAUUUUAAAUUAAUAAUAAUUAUUAAUAUUCUUAAUUAUGUAAAUCAUAAUUUUUUAAUUAAUUUAAAUUUAAAUUAUGUGAAAAAAAAUUAUUAAUAAUAGCAAAACAAAUGAAACAUUAUUAUUGAUAAUAUAGUACAAAAUUAAUAUUUUCUUCGAAUAAAAUAUUUAUUAUUAUUAAAUAAUUAAAUAAUUAAUAUUUAUUAAAAUUAAUGUUUAAUAUUAUUAUUUUUAAUGAAUUUAAUUUAUAAAAUAAUAUAAUAUUAUUAUUUAAAUAAAUAUAAUAUUUAUUUAUUUUUAUUUUAUUAAAUUUAAUAAAAUAAAUAUGUUUAUAAUUAUUAUUUUUAAUAAAUAUGAUAUUAUUUAUUUUAUUAAAUAUUAUUUAUUUAUUUUAAUUAUAAGGGUAAAAAGGAAAGAGGGGGGAGUGGAUUCCCACUCCCACCUCCCCCCAUGGGAGUGAGAAUCUCAUUUCCCACUCCAAAAUUAGGUGGGAUCCACGGAAUGAGAAUCCCACUCCCCCCUUAAAAAUGGUAAGUAAACAUUGGAGUGGGAAGAAUUCACACUCCACACUCCCACUUCAGAAAGUAAACACAGCAAUUGUUUCUAACAAAUUGAUUCUUAAUAUAUUUUCUUUAUACUUAUAAUUACAAGAAAGAAAAACCCUAAAAAUUUGUAGAUUAAUGGAUUUUUCUAAUUUUUUUGAAAAAAAAAAAUUGAAAAACUUGUCUUUAAGACCAAUUCAAUCUUGAGCCCUUUUUUUGAAAUUGCAUUGACACAAAAAUUUGUUUAAAAAAAAGAAAAAGAAAAAGAAAAGCUGAAGGACCAUAUUAGCCCUCGAGAAUAAAGACGACGCAUGGGAAUGUAUACACAGUAACAGAACCCUCCCGAAAAAUUCAAAACAUAAAAAUCAUAUCAAUUUCCCGCCCAUUCCCCACUCUUUUCCCAUUUCAAGUUUUGACCCAUAAAACACCUACCAAAAAAACAAAACAUUUUCAAUUCGAAUAAUCGAAGUAUCAUUUGGCUCUUAUUUAACUUCGAAAUUUACCAAAAUAUCCAUGUCCUCUUUAUCAAUUCACCGGCAAAGAGAUCGCGGCGGCGGUAGCACAGGCACAAAAGCGGUAACCCCAAAUUCUGUCUCCUACAAAAACCCUAGUCCGGGCCUCAAAAAAUCAUCUUCAGGAAAAGAAAACCCUAACUCCAUUACUCGGUCCCAGAAGCCUGUCAUCAAGUCGGUGCCACGUGUCGAAAAGGCUGCCGUAGAGAGCGGCGAUUCACGCAUCCGGCGAUCAACGUCAUCGGCCCCGAGAGGUAGGAGCCAGAGUCCAUCUGAAUUUAUUAGGGUCUAUAGUGAUUUGAAGAAAGAUAGGGUUUCUAGGGUUUCAGUUGAAAGGAAAGGGUCUAGGGAUUCGAGUGUUAAAGGGGCUGAAUUAGGUUUUAAUGAGAAAAGGGGUUUCAGUGAACUUAAGAGCGAUAAAGAGAGGAAAUUAAGUGGGGUUGGGGUUUUAGGUAGUAAUUAUAACAAAGGUGUUAAUUUGGGAUCAAAUUUGGGGAAAUCAAGUGGAAUUAGUGUUACUAGUAAUUUUGUGAGUCGUAAUGAAAAGAGGUCUUCAGAUGUUGGCUUAAAAGUUGAAAAAUAUGAUAAAGUUGAUGUCUUGAAUUCUGAGAAUAGACUUGAAAAGAUUGACCGUAGUGUUGGUUUGGGACUAAAUGAGUCUGAUGAGAAAAUUUCACGUGAUUCAAAGGUUUCAGAGACUUUGAAAGAGAAAAGCUUGAGUGAAGAAGGUUUGAGCACUAAGGUUGGUGUAAAAUUUCCGAGUAAGCUCCAUGAGAAGCUUACUUUUUUAGAAGGGAAAGUGAAAAGGAUUCAAUCAGAUAUUAAGAGAACUAAGGAGAUGUUAGAUAUGAAUAAUCCGGAUGCAACAAAAUUGAUUCUUUCUGAUAUUCAGGAAAAGAUUUCUGGGAUUGAGAAGGCAAUGGGUAAUGUUGCAGGUGAUUCAGGGGUAAAAAUUGUUGGCUCAAAAGGUGUAGGGAAAAAUGUUGAAGGAAGCAAGAUUGUCGAGAUGAGUCAAGAUAAGAUAGUGGAUGGUGUAAAAGGUCUGGUUAAGGGAUUGAAGAGCGAGGAACUGGAAGCUAGGCUGUUUCCUCAUCAUAAGUUGCUAAGAAAUCGAACAUCAAAACCAGCAUCAGAGAGUUCCCAAAGUAAUGAACUUAAUGAUGAAGGAGCCAGAAGUGAUUUAAAGGUGGAGGAGAAGUUGCUGAGCCCCAUCGAGGAGAACCCAAUAGCAUUACAAUUUUUGGCUUCAUUAAGCAAGGACGAAAAUAAGGUCAGCGCAAAGAGUGGACUGGUUGAUCUGGAGUGUGAUGAAGUUCUUGAAACAGAUGAGGCUGCAAAAUCUGGAGAAAAAGGUUUAUCAGGCAUGUUUAGUGGGAAAGGAGAAGCUGAGCUCGAGCUCACUUCUGAUGAAAGGCUUGAUGAAUUUGAUGAUCAGGAGAAUAGACAAGCAUUUGUGAUUGAUGAGGGAAUUGAAGAUACUUGUACUUAUCAGCUAAAUGAAAUAGGCCAAAGGACUUCAACAGGAGGAUGGUUUGUGUCAGAAGGAGAGUCAGUUCUUCUUGCUCAUGAUGAUGGCUCCUGCUCCUACUAUGAUAUUACUAAUUGUGAAGUGCGUAUUCUUGUUCCCUUUUAAAUAACCUUCAUAUUUCAUUUAAUUCACAUUAAUUUUCCAUUUUUUCCACUGAAUAGUCCUGCUGUUUACUUUACUUAAAACUCUCUAAUGAUGGAACUCAUCUGUCAAAUUGUUUGCAUAUCAUAUUACCUAUAUCUUACAUUUUUCCUUUCCUUAAAAAUCUGGAUUUUUUUUCCUACUGACUGCUUGUAAAUGUUGUUUGGCUUCAUAUACUGAUUAUAUUUUUUUCUUUUUCUUUUGUUGAAUGCUCUUUCUUCAUGCUAGAGCUUGUUUAUGAACUUAGUAAGAUUUUUGGGAUAUUACCUCGGAUUUGUUUCCUCCAAUUAUCGUUCAUCACUGUUUCAGGAUAAGGCUGUGUACAAGCCCCCCACAGCAGUUUCAUCUAGUAUAUGGAGAGAUUGUUGGAUAAUCCGUGCUGCUGGUGCAGAUGGUUGCUCAGGAAGAUAUGUUGUGGCUGCAUCUGCUGGGAAUACUCUUGACUCAGGAUUUUGCUCUUGGGAUUUCUAUACCAAAGAUGUGCGAGCUUUCCACAUUGAAGGUGAAGGAAAAACCACAUCAAGAACUGUUCUUGGCCCUUUACCGAAUAACAAUAUAUACAGAAGAAAUGCCUUUUCUAGCGUACUGGUGCCAGAAACUCAUCAAUGGUGGUAUAAACCAUGUGGACCUCUUAUUGCCUCAGCUGCCAGUUCUCAAAGGGUCGUUACAGUAUAUGAUAUCCGAGAUGGUGAGCAGAUAAUGCAAUGGGAGGUUCAGAAGCCUGUGUUGACAAUGGAUUAUUCUAGCCCCUUGCAAUGGAGAAAUAGAGGAAAAUUAGUUGUAGCUGAAGCAGAAACAAUAUCCUUGUGGGAUGUGAAUUCUCUAAAUCCUCAAACAUUGCUAUCUGUUUCCUCUUGUGGCCGAAAAAUUUCAGCUCUUCAUGUGAAUAACACUGAUGCUGAAUUAGGUGGAGGGGUUCGGCAAAGGUUUAACUUUCAUACUCUUGUUUCUGUUUAUCUUAUUUUCUUAUACACAUGUUCUGGAUCCUCUGGUUUACUUAUUUCAAUCUUAAGCUUAUCUUUUUACACAAUUUUCUGCAUAAUUGAUAUUUGUGUGUGCAUGCCUUUGGUUCAUUGCUUGCAGCCCCUUAAUUUUUAUUCUGUUUACCUUUAUAUUAUGCUAUUGAUGUAACUAUUGACCAUGCAUAUGAAGAAGCUAGUGAUUUGUCAUACUGCUGCUUAAUCUUUAUUAUUUGAAAUACAGAGUGAGUUCUGCAGAAGCUGAAGGAAAUGAUGGUGUUUUCUGCACGCCUGAUUCCAUUAAUAUAUUGGACUUUCGCCACCCAGCUGGGAUAGGUCUUAAGAUCCCAAAAUUUGGUGUCAAUGCACAGUCAGUUUUCUCCCGUGGGGAUUCUAUCUUUCUUGGUUGUUGUAAUGUGAGGUCGACAGGAAAAAAGCAACCUUCUUCACAAGUGCAACAGUUCUCUUUGCGAAAACAGAGGCUAAUGAACACUUACUCUCUGCCAGAAUCCAAUGCUCAUUCUUAUCACUCAGCCAUAACACAAGUUUGGGGAAAUUCAAACCUCGUCAUGGGUAUUUCUGGAGAAGGGCUGUUUGUUUUCGAUGCGUUGAGUGAUGAUGGAUUCCAGUCCUUCGCAAGUGAUAAUAGCAGUAUCCAAAAUGUUAGAGAAAUCAUUGGCCCGGAUGAUUUGUUUGCACCCUCUUUCGAUUACCUGGCAUCUCGCGUUCUCCUUAUUUCAAGAGAUCGCCCGGCACUGUGGAGGCACUUACCGUAGGCACUUACCUUAGAUACUGUAUGAUACAUGCCUUGAAGCUCCUGUAAUUUGGCUUUUGAGAACCAUCAGCAUGACAAUGCAUCGUUUAUGUUUUGUUGUUUAUUGCAUGCUUUAUAAACAUUAAAAGUAAUUUCGCUAUUUAUUGUAGUAGUGCUGAUUGAUAUGAAAACGAAAGGGGCAUGAUAUUCACUAUAUCGUAUCUUUAUUUUAGCAUAUAUUUGGGAGGAUGAAUGGAAUCUUUUAAGUACCACCAAGGCGCCAAUAUUGAAGAAAUAGAAGCAAAAACAGAAUGUGUUGAAUAAAGUGAAUGGUCAUUUUUAUCUCUGAUUUAUGUGGAAAUAAUUACAGCAGUUGUGUGAGCAAUGAGCACGUUCAGUUAUUUUCUGUUUAAUUUUUUAUCCGAAAGAAGAUGCUUUCCUAUAUACUUUAUUAGAAAUCCUUUUUUUCUUAUUUUCGGACAUUAAGCAUUUGUUUAAUGGUGUGUUUAUAUUCGGGAUUGAAAAUUUAAAAUUUUUAGAAUUAAGAUUAUUGAUGGUGUUUACUAGAGCUGGCAAAAUUUGACACGAUCCGAUUACCUGACACGAACACGACAUAAAUAAAUGGGUAUGGGUCGCCAAAUUUAACACAAUUAUUAAAUGGGUCGGGUAACACGAUUUUUUUUCGUGUCGGGUUUGGGUUAAAAUUCUUGACCCAUUUACCCGAUCAAUGACCCGAUUAUAUUUUCUAUUUUAAAAUAAUUUACAUAUUCUUAUCAUUAAAACUCAAAUAUUAGAGAUGAUUUUCUUUUUUUAUUCUUUAAAAAGGUGAAUAUAAACACUGUGUUUUAUUUAUAAAAUUUUAAAUAAAUUUAGAGCUUCAAUAGUGUAAAUGUGUAAAAAUUGAUAGACAUGUAUAUUUUAUAAUAUUGAUAUAUAAUAUUAUAUAUAUAUAUAAUUAAAACCUCAAUAGUGUAAAUGUGUAAUAUAUUGGUAGAUAUGUAUAUUUUAUAAUAUCGAUAAAUUAUGUAUGUAUGUAUGUACAUACGUAUGUAUGAUAGUAUGUAAAUAUUUGAUGUAAUUUUUAUUCAAUAUAUAGAUAUUAAACGGGUUAUUGGAUAACCCGAUUAUUUUUUCGUGUCGGGUUUGGGUCUCAAUAUUUUGACACGAUUAUUAAAUGGGUCGGAUUUGGGUCGACCUAAAUUUGACACGACACGAAGUUGACACGACACGAACACGACCCGAUGACCCGUUUUGCCAGCUCUAGUGUUUACUUCCGAAAAUUUUUUUUUUGGUUUAGAAUCGAAGAUAAAAUUGGUUUUAGAAAUGUUUUAAGUAGGACUCACAAGAAAAUGGGAUUGAGGAAUUUCCAUUCAUGGGACCGCCAUUUUUAAACCCAAUUUUAUCUUCAAUUCAAAACCCCAAAAAAAAAACAAACUCAAAAGUCAAAACCAGCAGCCGUUAUUGAUCAGAUUUAGCAGCCAAGCAACCAAGAUCGACCCACGCCGAUUGCCAAAUGCAGCAAAGUCAGUUGCUGCGCACACUGAACUCGUCGAAAGUAACAGAAUCUAGCAAUGCUGCAGAUCAUCAGCCUCUUGUUAUUGAAAGUUGCGGGUUAUAUACAGCACUCGUGCUCGUUGCUACCACUCUCCGAACAUCGUUGCCGCUCGCCGGUUGUACAGCCACCACUCACGGCGUAGUCAAAAAUGUUAUUUUUGUUGUUUUU